CUUGUUGUAGUUUUAGCUUGUAUAUGUGAAAAAACGAGAUUUUCUUUCAUAGAAUAACUCUUUCACAUAAGAAAGUGGAGGCAGGCUUGGGGGGAUACGAUCUAAAAUGAUUCCACAUGAAAGAGGACCGGGCAAUCGCCCUCUUUUUUAAUGAAGAAGCGGGCUAGUCCCCGAAAAUGCCCGUUAAUCAAGCAAGUUGGGGAAAAAAUCUUACCUAUUAGACGGAACACGAAGAGGUGAACUGCCGGAACAGGAGGACUUAAAGCUGAGGAAACAGGAAGGGCAGCUAAGGGAACUUGCUUCGGUAGGAGUGUGCUGAAGUUGGCUUCAAACAAAGAGAAAGAAAGUAGUGUGCUGAAGGAAAGAAGAAAGAGAGAAGGUUAAGAAGAGGAUACUGGCUUCGUAAGUAAAGUAUCUGAAGAUGAGAUAGAUCGGAGAGGUGAGUUACCAGCGAAACUAUUCACUCUGAUGUCCAUUUCCUGCAUUUUCUUUGUGCCGAUAGAGGAUUUAAUAUGUAGAUUCCUUUCCUUAUUCCCUUUCUGGUAACCAUAACACGUCCCUGCUUUUUUCUGUCGUUGACUGCUAGAGCAAGAGGGGACGACCUUUCCUACCUUAUGAUACACUGAACUGCUACGGCGGCUUUAGCUCUACUAUGGCAGAAGGAAUCGCCAACUUUCAUUUCAUAUAGCUGUAAAAGUUAGCAACCCCAUUUCUAAGGGAAAGAGCAAUCUUUUUUUGAAAAGUUUCAUCUACAGUCAAAAGAAAGCAAACCUCGGCAGCACAGAAGAGAGCUACUACUAUUAUUGCAUGCGUGCUCACGUGUAAGAGUGUGCUAAAUAAGGAAACUUCGGUCUAAUCCUCGGGUGUGCUAUCACAAGGAACUCGUCCGGUGUAGGAUUGUAGAUUACCUGUCCUAUUCAGCACACUCCUCCAUUACAGCACAGAGGAUUAGCUCGGGUUAGGAAAACAAGUAGCUGGUCAAAGCAUCGGAAAAGCAGAGGAGUGUGCUGACUUCAAGUAGUAGCUAGUCAACCAACUUCUGCUCAACCCUAGGAACAAGGAAAGUAUCAGCCGAUAACUCUGUUCACUUGGUGUGGGAUUCCUAAAAGUGUACUAUUAUCGCACGCCAAAGAGUGUGCUGAAAAGGGAAUAGUUGGUUAACUACCGAAGCUAGAAACAAAUACCUGCUAAAACCAAGGGAAGCAAGAGUAGGAACUACCCACCCAGGAAUCAGCAUUCUAAACUGCAGCACAAGCACACCAGCGUGUAUCAGGGGUGUGCUAUAAAAGAUCACAGCUAAGGUUGAGUCCUUACCUUCUUAUUCCUUCCGUAGUUAGCAGAACAUACUAGCCUGGCUUAUCCAUUCCUCGUAUUUGAGGAAAGUAGGGUUUGACAUCCCAUUCUCGGAUGCACGAAUUAUGCGUUUAAUCCCACGCAACAAACUCCUCUGUGCUGGGUUGUGAUCUUAAAAAGGAGCUUUACUGUAUAGUGUUACAGUAGGAAUACCUACUAGAUCGAGGAUUCGGAACAGUACUAUCCUGUUUAUAUUGACAUUCUUCUGUUAAGAUUUCCCGUUUGAGAAACCCUUUAAGAUCUGAGUAUCUCGGAAUUGAAAAUAGGACUUUAUUUGCAUCCCUUCCAUUUCAUAGGAAUACAGCUAAGGAUACCAUCAGCUCGCAUACUAUUUACGGGAAACAGAAGUAGGGCAAAGAGGAAAAGAGCAACUCCCUCUAUUAGAACAAUAUUCUCGAAUCGUUGCCCUUUUAUUCAUGAAGAAAGAAAACACAUCGGUCUAUCUAAAGCAACAAAAUUCGUUCUAUCUUUCUUUCUCUCCUAUUAAUAAAACUGGACUUCUCCUCUGCUCCUAUCUUAGCGCGACGGAGAAGCCAGCACUGAGAGAAGACCUCCCUUUCAAAGUCCAUCGCCUGCACUUGAACCGGAUACCUACUAUUUAUUUUAUUGAACUAGACGAUCAGCGGACUUUUAUAUCAUAUCACCAACAACGGGUUUCGCCCACAGUACAGAGAUGAUCUCAAUCGCAUCGGCAUAAAGGUCCGGAUUCCACUUCAAAAGGAUUUACGCGCGAAUUCAACUAUAGACAAAGGUCCGGAUUCCACUUCAAAAGGAUUUACGCGCGAAUUCAACUAUAGACAUAUCUCUUUGGCGACCCAGGGACGGGGAUUCAUCAAUCCCGGGGUUCGAGGGAGACUUUAGAACCCCUAUAUAUGAGUCUCGAAACCAUUAUUUAUACAUUUCUCGAUGACAGAGAUCAUCUUUAAGGAGAAUAAACAUUGGUCCUUUAUUUAAUAACCCCGAUAUUAUCAAAACCAUGAUUUCCUUAUUUCUCGAUGGCAUAGGUUCCAGGGAAGGAAAACAGUCCGGUCCUUUUUCACCCCGAAAUUCGAGAGUAGCCGUAUAAACCAAUACCGGCAGAACCACCCAAACUCGGCUCAAAGCAGGAACAAAGACAUCUAGAAAGCCCACAUCACGUGGGGACUUGGCCUUGGUGGGACAUUCAACCGACAUACACAACCAAAUAAUAAUAGGUUUUAGCCAUGUAUUCCGCUACACCGCCCUAUUGAUCUACGCUUUCGAAGCAACCACCGGUACCAUUUUCACACAACAGAGCCGACUUACUUAUUACAUUUAUAGGACAGGGAACCGGUCUCGGUAGGACUUCCAAAUCCUACCUCAAGCAACCGACAUCUCUUUACUUACUUGACCGCUAGCCAGGGGCUUGAAACCCCUUACAACCUUCCUUGCUUGCCGGGCUUACAUCGCUAUCAUCGCUAGCCAGGGACUGGAAAUCCCUUACAAUCACAUGCCUGCGCUCGUCGUGCCUUUAAUACUUAUUUAUUAACCAAACCCUCCUUGGCCCCAAUUGGUCUAAGACUCACCAACAUCUUACGAUGAGACAUCGGGCUACCUGGCAAGAGUCAAUAAAUUGGUGAACCUAUGAGAGACGCUUCUAAUUCUUUUCUUUCUCCUGACACUCACUAUCCUACCCGAUCCUGCUAACAGGAAAUUUGAUGAAAUAAGGAAACUUAGGCUGUUGUUGAAUCAACUUAGAAUACAACCGGUACCCACGUCGCAACUAAAGCACUCGUAGCAUACGUUCCAUCCACAUCCGGCCAGUUGAAGUGAAGAUCGAGAAAAUGUUCUUCAAAGCUUGCUAAUAACCAAAAAAGAAUUGGACUCGUGUAAGGGACUUCCUUUUCAAGCUAGCAUUUUAGACCAAUGCAAUCGAGUGAAAGUGCUUCCUAUCAUUUGUCUGCUGGAAACCUUGCAUUGAGUGUGCACCUUGGGAAUACUUGAGUUUGGAGGUCUUCAAGCCUUUCUAUGGGAAAGGUUUCCAAUACGUAUUCUGCCGUUGUCGAGCUUAAAAGCGGAUGAUGAUCCCUAAUCAAGAGUUUGGUCCUAGCUUUUCGAUUUCAUUUUGAGUUCUGUCCUCGCAAAGAUAUGAAGGGCGCUUUUCCAGGACGGAUACGGAUACAGGUGACCCCUUUUUCCCCUUUGCUUUCUUUAUUACUUCUCGUACGUGCCCAGUCUCAACGUCACUUCCAAAACCGCCUUUCCCAGAUCUAUGAAAGGUGAAAGGUUGAAGGUCCACAAAAGGUAACAUAAAUGAACAAGUUUAUUUUGUAUUCGAGCUGCUGAGGGCCGGAGCUCGUAUGGAUACAUUACUUCAUUGUUCUAUGAGGCCUUGCACAAAGCCCAUACUCGGAUAAGGAUCGCGAAGUGCAAAGAUCCGGUCUUUGACAACCCAACCGUCGUAAGGACAACAAAACCUAUACUUAUGUGUGUUCGACACUAUAGGCGAGACCAGUUGUCAGAUGAUCGCCGAGUGGCGUUCUGCUUGAUUAGGCGAAUGCGAGUGAGGUAUCUAAUCCCGUUCGCUAGGAGGGAGACUCAGGAAGAGUUCGGGCAGAAAUAGAUGGUGAAAAGCCCUUUAUAUUAUAUAAUAAAGCGCGCUCCUUGCAUGACUCCAUAUCAUUCAUUAUUAAAGCGAAAGCGACAACGUGUCACCCUAACCUUCAAAUCGAUAAACGGGAAUGCGUUACCUAAUAAUAAUGAGCAAUGCUGCUAAGAGCAAAUGGUUCCUAACCUCAUAAAAAAAGAGAUAGUCAUAUCCGACUAUCCGGCAACACGCUUGGAUAAGUAAGGCGAUGAACCGUACCUUUAUCUCUAGGCGCCUAUGAUGUCUUAUUAUGUAGAUCAUGUCUUGCUUGAGAGUUCCAAACCUCGCCCUUCUAAAAAAGUACAAACCCACGUCUAGGGAUAUACGAGCGCCAUUCUUCAGAUGGAUCGCUCUUCGAUAGUUAUUUAUUGUAGCCGGGAUAAGCAGGGGUUCCUCCUUCCGUCCUAGUUUUUUUUUAGUACAAGUAGCUAAGGGGGCUGGGUUGCGUCUUUCUUGUGAAAGAAUACUUGCUGCGCACCUGCUGAAAGGAAGUCAAACGGAGAUUACCGGUUCCGGAGGGACCAACCAUUGUACUUAUAGGGUCAGGUCUAUCUUGCCCUUCCAAAUCACCCAUGUGUAGCUCCACCGCACGAGUCAGACCUUGUACGGGCUUUUCCACAGGCUUGAGGCAGACUCUUUCCUUAUUGGGCUUCAAUCCGUUUGUCUUUGCCUCCUCUACUGAGUCAGUGACAGAAGUGCAGCAGCCAAUAAUACGUAUAUAAGAAGAGGACUGCUUACGGGAUCAAACUAUCAAUCUCAUAAGAGAAGAAAUCUCUAUGCCCCCUUUUUCUUGGUUUUCUCCCAUGCUUUUGUUGGUCAACAACCAACCACAACUUUCUAUAGUUCUUCACUACUCCUAGAGGCUUGACGGAGUGAAGCUGUCUGGAGGGAAUCAUUUUGUUGAAAUCAAUUAAUCCAAUAUGCGACGAAUCUUUUUGUUUGAUGAAAAUAGUCUUAAUUCAAGUUCCACCAUUGAUACAUCUUCUGCUUCCACCAUUGAUACAUCUUUUGCGAGUCAAUGCACUAACUUUUCUAGUGGUCAAGCGUCCGGUACUCAGGAUACUCAUGCUGGUAUUUUUGAGGAUUGUCCGGGCCUUAAUCCUAACGAUGAGCGUGUAGUAGAGCUGCAAUGUGAGAUACGCGAGAAGUGUGAGGCAUUAACGCAAGAUCCCGAAAUGGGCUUGAUUUUGGGCGAAGCUUUACAUGCGGAAAGCGACAAUGUCCCUUUUUUGCAGUCCAUUGCUGAUGAUUUAACCCAAAACGGAGUAUCCGGGGAAGCCUUUCAAGAAGCUCUGAAUAUAGUGGGACAGGCGGCGGCCUCCCCACUGGACCAAUUUGAGAUUGUCCCAUUGAUUCCUAUGCAUAUCGGAAACUUCUAUUUCUCAUUCACAAAUCCAUCUUUGUUCAUGCUGCUAACUCUGAGUUUUUUCCUACUUCUGAUUCAUUUUGUUACUAAAAAGGGAGGAGGAAACUUAGUCCCAAAUGCUUGGCAAUCCUUGGUAGAGCUUCUUUAUGAUUUCGUGCUGAACCUGGUAAAGGAACAAAUAGGUGGUCUUUCCGGGAAUGUGAAACAAAUGUUUUUCCCUUGCAUCUUGGUCACUUUUCUUUUUUUGUUAUUUUGUAAUCUUCAGGGUAUGAUACCUUAUAGCUUCACAGUGACAAGUCAUUUUCUCAUUACUUUGGCUCUCUCAUUUUCGAUUUUUAUUGGCAUUACUAUAGUGGGAUUUCAAAGACAUGGGCUUCAUUUUUUCAGCUUUUUAUUACCCGCAGGAGUCCCACUGCCGUUAGCACCUUUUUUAGUACUCCUUGAGCUAAUUUCUUAUUGUUUUCGCGCAUUAAGCUUAGGAAUACGUUUAUUUGCUAAUAUGAUGGCCGGUCAUAGUUUAGUAAAGAUUUUAAGUGGGUUCGCUUGGACUAUGCUAUGUAUGAAUGAUAUUUUCUAUUUUAUAGGGGCUCUUGGUCCUUUAUUUAUAGUUCUUGCAUUAACCGGUCUGGAAUUAGGUGUAGCUAUAUUACAAGCUUAUGUUUUUACGAUCUUAAUCUGUAUUUACUUGAAUGAUGCUAUAAAUCUCCAUUAAAGUUCUUCUUUCUUUUAUUUAUAUUUAUAAUUGAACAAAAGCGAGGGAUGGAUGUCUGAGCGGUUGAAAGAGUCGGUCUUGAAAACCGAAGUAUUUCUAGGAAUACCGGGGGUUCGAAUCCCUCUCCAUCCGCGAAGUCAUAAGUUCUCUCUUGCCGCCUGAUAAGAACGAAUCGGAUCGACUCGACUGAUAUGAUAGAUGGAAUGGGUACCUUGUGUUAUGAUUUUGUUAGGAACUUUGUCUCCCUUUCGUUAUCUUCUCUUUUUUUCUUGGUCGGCAAGGGUUAGGGCCUUUCUCGCUGGGCGAGCGCAUCCGAUUAGUCCUUUCCUAAGCCACUUCCCGUUCAGUUGCUGAAAAAAAAAUGGGGAUAAGCUAUGCGACGACAGAGAAAUCUGAAUCUACUUUUUGCCAGUUCCACGAAUUCUGCAGAUAACGACGUUCUGCCAGGAGUGCCAGUUCUGGACAUGUUUCCUAAUAUAUCAGUAGACACCAUAAUUAACCACCCCUUCUACUGUUCGGGUACAGUAGCUCUCGCAGAAGAAUUGGUGGAUCCUAUUAUUAUGGAGAGGUGGAUAGAUAGGACGACUAGUUGCUCGAUCAGGACCUUAGCUUUAUUGCGAGCCUAGAAGUCUCUCUUUUUUCGGAACAGCCUUUAAGUAAAAUCCAACCUAAUAUCAUUCAGAGUAAAAGGACUACGGAACCAAAGAGAACCACACUUGCUUCGCUAGGAAUGAAGCAGCACACCAAUGGGCAAAGGGUAUGGGCGACCUAUCUGCUGCGCUAGAGAAAGAAAGAAAGUGCUUCGGGCUGCUUUGCUGCGCUAGAGGAAGGAGACUGAUAAGGAGAGGAGUGAUCCAAGCUCAACUCGAUACUCCACUCAUCUUUCUCGAUUCUAUUGACAUAAUUUGGUUUCUUCUAUAUUAGUGAAAUCAUUACAUGACAGUGGAUCUUGCUUGGUACUUGUCCGAGGGGAGAUCCAUACUCAACUCAUCUUUCUCAAUUCUACUGACAUGAUUACUUGGAAUUGAUUGUCGUGAACUCAAUCUCUCAUAUAGGCAUAGUUGAAUAUCGCGAAGCAAAAACCCAAACUUGAAUAUCGCGAAGCAAAAGGCUACAUCAGACGAUGUACAAGUUUUUCAAAAAUGAUUUGAUCGAUUGGUGUGUUUCGAUCUUGUUGAUUCACUAGGUAAAUCACAGCCUCAUCCUUCUAUAUUACCUGUUGAUCGAUCAAAAAAAGCACCUUACCUCGGAUCAAGAAAAAAGAAGAAACCGAAUCUCGGAAAACGACAAAUCACACAGUUGAACAAGGUGGGAGUAGCUCGUGUGAUCUAGUCGAAGGUCCAUAGGAAACUGAUAAGGAGAGGGGUCUUCCAUCUCACUAUUCUAGAUUCUACCGAAUUAGUUGGAAUUGAAUUCGUCCAAGAUUAAAUGCCAGUUGAAUGUCGACUAGUGUUGAAGGUCCAAGCUGUACUCGACUCAUAAUUUUGCUUUUCUAUACCUUACUCGUGAAAUCGAUGAUGAUUACAUGACAGUUUAAUGUCGCCUUAUUGCUUGAUCCUUAUCUUGUAUCCAAACCAUACUCAACUCAGAAUCUACUGACGAUCGACCACCAACUCAUGAUUACAAAAACCCUCUCUUCGAAAACCCAAUAAUCAUAAACCAACUCGUCGACUUUGGUUGAUCCUUCACUUGGCCAAAGGUCCUAGCCGUACUUCCCUCCACUCAUAAUCACCAACUCUAUCAAAUUUUUAGAAUUGAAAUGUUUGACUAUUACAAAAGUACAUUUUCCAUAGAGUGCAGGAACCCCAUCCCCUCACCCCUCAUCAUCUAGCACACCCUUGGGGUUCACAUACGGUUUUAAAAAGCAAAGCAACUCUUCAUACUCAUGGCGAAGCACGCAACAAGCCGAACCCUCAAUCCCAGUGAGGACUACUCCGUUGGGGGUUACUUCGCAAGGACGCCGCAUGUGCAGUUCCUCAGUCUUCCUUCUCCUCCAUAUGAAGAUUUAUCCCAUACGGUGCUAGCGAAGCAAGUCUUCCGAGUUCAUACUGCAUCUCGAACGAAGGUCACUCACAGUUCCGAAGGUCACUACGGUUUCCGAGUCUUAUUGUUCUUCUUCUUCCACGUAUGACAGAUACCCUCAACCCUCAGGCCCACGGGGGGUUGCUACGCCCAGGGCUACUCCGUUGGCCCUGAAGGGUUACUUCGUUAGGGCUACUUGGAGGAGUUGACCAACCCGAACAUGGUGCCUUGAUCUUCAGCUUUCCAAUAAGAAGAUCAUUGAUGCAGCACACUGAGCUAAAUUCUUAAACUAUCUUUACCGGUGUGCUGCCUCGCAGAGAUUCUCAACCUAGUCCGCGCAUACUCUUUCCGUUUCUGUCUUACAGUCUUUCUUGUUCUUCUUUUCCCUAUAGUUAGAAGAUGAGCCCCUGGGGUGCCCUGCCCUUCUUUUACGGCUGAUGGACAUUCAAUAGAUUUAUCUGCUGUUGCCUGAUCUACGACCCCCUCAAUCUGUCGAAGCAAAUGCUGCACAGAGGGAGAAGUUGCCUGACCGGGCUAUUCCCUUGUUAUCUGUUGUCCAACUGGUUGAAUAGUAAUCUGUGCUGGAUCCCUCUGAAGCUGGUCAUUCCUUGUUUCCAGUUAAUAGUGGAGUCUUACUUACUUGAAUUCCUAUUACUGUUAGCUAUUAGCACUUGCUUGUUAGGUGAGGACUCUCUUAUCUGGUUAACCUUAGUGGUAGCACACUCCAAGUCUAGACAAUCUUCCUCCCAAGAACCUCUCGAUACCAGAAUGGCUACCAGGGCGCUACUAGACCAACUCAGAUCAGAUCGUCGGCAUAAUUAAUUCUUUUUACUUGCCCAGUAGUGGUCUCUGAAGUUUACUACUAGUGGUAGUGCAGAAGACCUCUUUACCUACCCGGCUACUGACAGGAAAGGAUGAUUUUAGAUUCUUUGCUUGCCCAUACGCCGAUCCUGUUAGCUGACUGGUACUACGAAGAUCUAUGCCAUUCAAAGGAGAGAUAUGAAUACACCAACUACAGACAAGAAAGAGACUCUAAGUCCAACCCAUGUCGUGGGCAGGGAGAGACAGGCAGGCAGCUAACACAGAUAUCAGAUAUUAGACUUGGCAACAGACGCUUUGAUAUGUGUUACACAGACGCCCUGUAGACAUUGAAUCGGCUCACUCCGACUUCGAUUGCUAAAAUGUUGACGUGAAUAGUGAAUACGCUUGCUGGUUGUGAUAUGUUCCCUACUAUACUACUAUUGAAGACCUUGACUUUUGAUCUUCCUUCUAGGAGAAUUCAUCAAACCUUGCUUAUCCUUCUGAUGAGCAUUCCUCUAACUAAGUUAGACUGCCUCUUACGAGCAGGUAACCUACCUUCUAAACCAUGCCCACUAUACUUUCUUCUAAGCCAGCUUUUAACUCUUUGUUUUCGUAUCAUCUCAUUGGACUUAUUUCAAACAAACUCGUUACACUCGCACCUGAUUACACGGGAACGAAGAAAACUACAUGGGGAGCACGCUUACACCUGCAAGAACUAAGGGUCCAGACCAAGCACAGACAGAUAGAACCAGACAUCAAAAAUCUUCCUUUGCAGCCUAUCAGAUAUGGAAGUUUUCGACCUGUCUUUCACUGGAUUGAAAAGCCUUGUAUGUUGAUAGGACUAUGUGGGCUGCAUUUUGAAGUUUCUUUCAUCGCAAACUGGCCAUGGGGUAAACCCUCUGAGAUAGGGGGCUGCUCAAUCCCAUGUAUGUUGACAGGGAGAGGGAGCGAACUUUCUUAUCAUAUCAGAGCAAGCCGAAGACCUCUUCCGGGAAAUCGGUUCCACUUCCAAUCUUUUUUUUGAAGAAAGAAAAGUAGCAAGAGAAUGGUUCAAGUUCGGAUCGAGUAACGGUGAUUGAAGGGAUGAGAUCGGAAGCUCCUGAUUCAAAUAGUUAACUGGGCUGUGGUUGUCGAGUCUGCUUUCCCUCUCUAUCAAAGCCCUUGCACCUGCCUUCUCAGUUCCUCGUGCUUAGCGGGACUCCUUUUCUAAUUAGAAGGAGACAGAUUAGGUCAAGUUGCUCCAGGUAUGAAAUCAAUCCCAUGUUGGUCGUAAGAGUGGCAAGCCAUGAGGUAGGUCUUAUGGAAAUAAAUAAGCAUCUUCCUCAAGCAACUCCUUCAUCUGUGGCGGCUGCUCCUCCAAGACAACUGCCCAGCAUAACUAAACUCUUAUCUUUGACUUGACUCUCUUUUGUUCUAUGCCCCUUAGGUAGGAGUCAGAUCUGUUUUGUAGCUUGUUUCACCCUUCUUUGUAGCUUGCCGUUUGGUGUGUUCAUCCCCGCCCUCCCUGAACGGAGCUGUUGCUAAAGCAUAACUAAUAUCUUAGCUGUUUGGAACGUAUAGCUACCCGGUUCUUCCUUUCUUUAGCGGAGGCGUAGGUAACAUAUCUAUCUAUGAGUUGCUGAGAACGUCUCCAAAGCAUAAGGAGUUGUUCUUCAAUUUCAACCAAGAAGCACAGGUUCCCGCAACCCUGACGCCAGAAGAGUUGCAAGACGUGGUCUGGUCGAACAGAUUACGACCGCUGACCUUUACAGAUCAAUUAUUUUCCAUCUUGAAAGAACAGCCGGAAGGUAUGAAGCUCUAGUCCUUCUUUCUAGCCGUAAAUCAAGAACUCGAAAGGUUUAUUACUUUGUUUAAUCGCUUGACUAGCUUCGAAAGAGCAAUCUCCUCUUCUAGUCUUACCACAAAUCAAUGCUUUCAAGAAAGUGCUCAGUUCCUGACAACAUGGUUCCCGGUCGCGCAUCCCCAUGGAGGUGGAUAUUUCACACAUUGGGGUCAUCAGCCGUCGAACACAGUCAAGUUAGCAAAGAUUCGUACGAAGGAAAAGAAGAAAGAUAGAUGGUUUCUAAUGGGAAGGUAGCAGCUGUCAUCAUUAUGAUGAUUCAAUCCAUAUUAAUCCCUAUUUCAGAACUAUGUAUUAGUUAGACGACGUCAACGGAACAAGAACUCCUUCCUUUACAGGCAAGCGGGGUAGCUGCUGUCUCGUUUAGGAACUUGAGUUAGUCGACUAAGAGGUAGAAAGUGGAAAGAAGCGGCCUAAAGGAUUAGCGACGACCCCUCUCGGCUUAAAGUAAAGGAAGCGGCUUGUCCCAUCCAAUGCCCUACUUUUAAGUACUCGGUAUGUUCACUCAAUCAGAAGAAGCUUUCGGAAGUUCAUUGGCCUCUGCGGAGCAUGAAAAGGCCUGUUUUGAAGCUCCGGGGACUUAUUAGCCCGUCAGCCUUACUUCUUAGGAAGAAGAGAAAUGUGCUUGACUUCUUCAUCUUAUAAGAUGACGGCAACAUCCUAGAUAAGAUCUACGAUUCCUGCUUAUGAAUCAUGGCAAACCGGUGGUGAAAACAGUAUUACAGAGUAGGUUGGUUAAAUUAAAGCGGGUUACUUUGAUCUUAUCGUCUAGCCGGGCAUGAGAGCCCAAUAAAAAAGGACCGACGACGAUCCGAGAAGGACGAAUCAAUAAAUCGACUUCCUUUAGAGCAGACAGACUACGCGCUAACAGCUUUAGAAACUUUGCUAUACUAACAAAGCAAGCAUAGCAAAGUCAAAGUUUGAGUUAGACCGGGUAUGAGGCAAAGCCAAAGGCAGAAGUGGUUUAUCCAGGUCGGUUGAAUCCCCGAAAUAAGCACCAAUUGCUACCGUCCAAUCGCUAUCAUUAUCAUGGUUGGAGCAUAGAUAGCAAAGGUAUGGUUAGAGGUCAAAUACACAUAUCUACCAGGUAGGUGAAACGAAUUCCAUACCCAUAUCGGGUAAUGGGCCUCCAAUUACUUCAGCCUAAAACGAAGUCUGAGGUCGGGUCAACAAUCUAAUAGGUUGCCUUCCCCCGUUCGAGAGUCAGAAUCCUAGCCAGGUGAAGAUCCACUGGAUGGCGGGCGGAGUGGCUUUAGAACCGAAAAAGUAAGAAAUUCCAGAGACGGUUGACCGAGCGGAGACAUCAGAGGAAGGAGCACUAAUGGAAGAGGCAUCCAUUAGCUAGGGACACAAGGGCUCUUCUCUGGUAGCGGAGUCUAAGAUCAAGCCAGCUAGAGAGGCAGGAAGAGGAGAGGCAUAACUGAUUGAUUGUUGUUGACUCUUUUUUCCCGGUUCUAAAGCCAAUCACAGAGAAAUGGGGGCAAAAGAGCAAGAAGUAGCACCUACAAUGGACCGGGUUUACCGAGUCUCACUAACAGCAUUUAGCCUAGCAUCACAGCCACCAGCCGAAAAAAAAAGUCCCUGACCUCAAACCGAAGGCAUCCGUGGCAAAGAAAGCAUCUGAGCUGGAGAUUGUGUUCGGUUCAUGUCUUUGUUUUUUAUUUUGAAGGUUGGGUGGGAUUAAUGAGAGUUACGAGGCUUUAAAGAGAUAUAUAGGCACACAAACGUUGAUGCCUUUUUAAAGGCUAUGAAAGUUGGAAGCUGGUCUUUGUUGACUUUUUGUAUCAUUCUUUUCUAGAUGUGAUAAUCAUAACUCUCAUAUAUAUCAACUUUAAGGUUUUUUAUAAGGACAUGGUUAUAAUAUGAAAAGUUUUUGGAGAGAAAUCCCCAUUUUCAGUAAAACAAAAGUUUUGCAUAAACGUAUCCGAAUACACACAUACAUUUUACUUCUCGGAUUAGUUUACCAGUUGAAGACUAUAGAUUGACAAGAUCCAUCAUGAAUCCCAUCCGCUAUCGUUAUUCGUUACGAUUGUCUCCACCACAUCAACCAAAAUUUGUUGUUAUUAGCCUUUGUUCGUCAUUGCCAACGUUCUAAUCAUGUAGUAACUGCUUGAAUGAUCAAGAGGUAAGCAGAGAAAUAGAAAAUAAAAAAUGAGCAGAUUAAAGAGGUGGAUGUGGAAAAGCAAAGCAGAAAAGAGAAAUCGAGAAAAUCUUUUAACUCGCUAGAAGAAUCAUACAUGUAAUUCUACUGAGUAUAAAAAAAUUUGGUGGUUUAAAUGUCUUGAUAGAUGAAAAAGUAAGAUAAUUCAAGAGGAGAAAAAGAACAAUAAUACUAUAACAAAUAAUAACACAGUACGUAGUUAAUUCAAAUAAGUAUGCAUUUUAAUGUGUUUUUUCUUCACACAACUAUAUUUUCUUUAUCUUAAAUUAAUCCAAUCGCUAGCUCUCUAAUGUCGUUUUGUUCUUCUAUCUAAGGGGUUUUAAUUGUGAAAUUCUGUCUUUGUUUUAGAGUUUAUCUUUGUUGUUACUUAUCAGGGUUUGUAGAAAGAAUCCUAUUCAAGUUCCUAUAGAUGCAUGGCGUAAAAAUCUUUGAGGAGGACCUGCGUCUAGAGAAGGUAAAGUUUUCAAUCUUUAUCUUUUUAUGGCGUAAGAUGGUUCACCUUCUCAAGAUAUGCUUUUUUUAUAUCCAAUCAAAACAAUUCAGGUUUUGCUUUAAAUCUCUGGGAAUUCAAGGGAGCUGGGAUGAUGAUAGGUUUAUGUUGGUUGAUAGGUUUGAUUUUUACUGUGAUAAGUAUUUUUGAAUUUUAUAUUGGGUCAUUGCACCAUAAACUGGAGAUCGAAAAAGAAAAUAUACGAAGACAAACGUAAAAGAGAAUGUUUUAUCAAAAAAACUUAUAAAAAGCGAAAUCAAUUCUCUCGACUUUUAAGACAUUUAGCAGACCUAGAAAUCAAGAUGGUGGAUACUUUCGGUAUUUGGUUUUGUUGUUGUUAACUAAUCCAUUGUUCUCUACUCUAAAUUUGUUUAGUACAUAAGUCAUUUUCAUAUCGUUUUUCUUCUGUACAUUGUUCAGUGGUAUGAUAAGUCACUUCCGCAUCAAGAUGGCAAAACAGAUUUUUGAUAAGGCCAUGCAUUUUAUAAAGCUCCAAAGUAGAGAUAUAUUUGUUUAUUGGACACGUCCCAAACUAGAAGUUUUUCCGGUGUGGAGAAGACUAAAAAUACACUAAUUUUGGUGUGGUUUACAUAGACUAGAAUAAAAAGAUGGUAAAUGUCAAUAGUUGUGCCUUCUUCUCAUGUAAGUUAAUCAGCUACUUUAACACUUGUGGUUCUUGAGGAUUUAAGUGCUAAAUACUAAGAAGAGCUUAUGAGAUCAUGUUCUUUACCAUCUCAAUUUCUAUAACUUUUAUGUAAUUUGAGUGAGCUCUGUUUUUUUUUUCUUUCAAUCCGUUGAAAAGUUUCGAAAGAGAUGUGAUGACUAUUUUGAAAGUGUAUAGUAGUCAACUAUAGUGUUAUUGUUGGAAAGCAUGUAUUAUGUUAUGUGUAUUUCUUUAAUUACCUUGGUGCUUAAUUUCUUAAUGUUUACUUUACCAUGGAUUAUACUGAUUGAAGAAUUUUAAAUUGUUUAUCCAAAUUUAUCUUAACCUUCAAUUAUUCCAGAAAAAGUAGUCAAAGAAACAUAGGUCGAAUAAUUAAAUGAAAAGAUAUUUUGAAAAUUCUUAUAACAAAUAUAAUGCUGGAAACAAAGUUGAUAGAGUUAUUUAAGGAUAAGUUUUAAGGGCUGCAAGCUCUUCAUCCAUAUUUUUCUGGUUAUUAUCGAUGAGUUAAAUUUUUAUUUGUGGGAGUAUUGAAAACGUAUAUUCGAAGGGAAAAAAUGAUUUUGUGAGCUAAAUUUGUUGCCGUCUACAGCAUCCCAGCGUACUGUGUGAGCCGACAUGUAGAAUUUACAAUUUAAAACUGUUAUUUUAAUAAGUAGUUCUCUUACGUUCAAUAUAUUUUUAAAUAUAAAAAUAAAAUAAAUCAUCUAAGAGCCAAUUUCACGAAAGAAAAACAACAAAAAGUUUAUCUUAAAAGAGAAUUAAUUUCAUUCUCUAUUUUAGAUGAGUGUUAGAGUAUAUAUGUAUAUAGCGUCAUACAUCUAGACUAAGUUAAAUAUUGGUGUUAUUUGGUAGGGCUUAAGAUAUAGUGUUUAACAUUUAGAUGAAGUUAAUUAUAUAGGUUUGGGUUUAUAAAGUAGGAACUAGGGUUUAGUGUUAUAAAUUCAGAUGAAUUUGAAUAACUAAUUUGGGUUUAUAAGGUAGGGUUAGGGUUUAAGGAAUAACUGAUGGAAGCACAUACAAUAAUGUAAACUUAUAUCUUUAGUUCAUAUCUAACUAAAAAUAUUUGAACAAUUUGAAACCUCAUUCGAUUAUAUUUAAAAUUAUUUAUGACUUAAAGUUCAUUGUAAUUGUGUUUAUUUGGUAUAGUGUUUAACAUUUAGAUAAAGUUAAAUAUAGGUUCGGAUUUAUAAGGUAUUAGGUAGGAUUUAGUAUUAUUCAUGUAGACGAAUUGAAAUAACUAAUCUGGGUUUAUAAGGUACAGGUUAGGGUUUAAGGUUUAGAAGUCUCAUGAAUAUUAAAAAGGGGUGCUAAGUAAUUUGCAAGGAUUAGGCACUUAUGGGGCUUGGAGUUAUUCCUCUUCUCCUCCGUUGGGAAUAAGUUUUUUUAGUGAAAGUUGUCCAGAAAACGAGAGGGAAGAACUCAACUAUUUCUCAAUUUGAAGAAGCUUCCGGUGGAUCCUUUUUUUGUUCUUGAGACCUUUGAAGUUAAUCAGUAGGGGUCCUAGGCGCUAGAAUGUCUAGAUUGAAAAAGUAGCAUAUAUAAGCUUUUUUAUUUCAAGAGAGUAAAGUUUACCCUGUUUUAGUGUACCAAAAGAUAAGAGACUGUGUUUUUGUGUGUAAGAAAUCUCAAGAGACAAGCUAAAGUAGUCGAAACUUUGUGUAAAACCAAUUAAGAGAGUUACAAGUUCUUUAUAAGAUUUUUUGAUGAAUUUAUAAGCUCAUUGUUGCUGAAUUUUUUAAAUUUUUUUAGUUACUUAUUAUUUUGAAGUUAGAUUUUGAUAUUGUCAAAAGUAUUUAUGGGUCCGGCGCAUAGGCAGACACAAAGAAGAUUAAAGGAGGUCAGCUGGUCUUUUUAGAAUUCUACAUUUGCAUUGUAACCCUUUAAAAUUCAUGAUAUUAUUUAUAUAUAUUUUUUUAUUUUUACUCUUUUAAAAUUACAAAUUCAUAUGUAAACCUUCUAAGUUUUAUUGUAUUUUUCUUCUACUUUGUGGUUUGACACUAUUUCUAACAUGUUUUUUACUUUUUUUGUUUGAUUCACCCAUAAACAUUGAACCAUAUUUUAUCUAUUUUUUAAAUGAAGUUUUUUGAGUUUUAAAUUUUUUGGUUACUUAUUAUUUCGAAGUUAUAUUUUGAUACUUUAUAAAUUAUUUAUGGGUCCGCCGCAUAGGCAGACCCAAAAAAGAUUAAAGCAGGUCAACUGGUCUCUCUAGAAUUUUAUAUUCGCAUUGUAACCCAUUAAAAUUUAUGAUAUUAUUUAUAUUUCUAUUGUUUUUACCUUUAAAAUCACUAAUUCUUAUGUAAACAUUUAAAGAUUUAUCGUGUUUUUCUUCUACUUUGUGUUUUGAUACUAUUUCUUUGUUUUCAACUUUUUUGUUUGAUUCACCCAUAAAUAUUGAACCAAAUUUUGGUGUUUUUAAAAGAAAUGAAGAUUUUUUUAGUUUUUUAAUUACUUAUUAUUCAAGUUAUAAUUUGAUCCUAUAAAAAGUAUUUUGGAUCCUUGACUUGAAAUGUAAAAUUAACGGGUACAAUGUGAUAGUUAAUAUCCUAAACAUUAUAUGACACAUGCCUUUGAUACGGGUAAAUAGAUAUAAAUAUAGGUGUUGUUAUAUCCAUAUAAUAUAUAUUUUUUAAUUUCGUAAAUGUCUCUAACUUAUCACUCUAAAUUAUGAUUGAUUCAAGAAGAUACUCAUUUUAAAUUUUUUUGGUCGAAUUUCAAAAAUUUUGGUAUGCUUGAUCUUUAAAAUUUAAAUUUAAUUUUAAAAAAACAAAUUUUGGUCGCGCAAGGCGCGGGUGGCUCACUUAGUCUCAUAUUAUUCCUUCACGAAUCUGGACUUAUUACAUUUUCGUUUAUAAAAGGAACGUUAAUACCCGGUUCAUUCCAGUUUACAGACUCAAUCAUAGUUAUUCUAAACCAUACUCUAAUAAAAACCAAAUUAGUCAAACUGACCCAAAUCAGAAACAAAACGAACCAUAAAUAAAUCGAAAUGCACAUCACUAGCAACUUUUCUAUAAAAGUGAAAGUGGGUGGACAGACACUUGGGUAGAAAACCCAAGAGAUGAGUGGCUUCCACGUCAUCCUUUACAGUGAUCCUCGCACGCAUGUAUAACACUUAUAUCAGUCAAAGUCAUUAUUUUAAUCAAUGGACCAUUUCCAACUUAACUUUAACUUUAAUGAUGCCAGCUUUGUGUCACACCACUUACUAAUAAACGUAGAAAUAUAUCCAAAAAUGAACUAAAACACUACUCUGGAAAUAUUAAAUAUAGAAAACCAAAGAAUUGGAACAGUUCAUCGGGAAGGGUUUUGGGACCCUAGAGAAUCCAUGGCUAUCACUCUCACUAAUUUCACUGUAAGUACACUAUUUCUUUACUUUCUCUAUGGUUUGUUGAUGAUGAAAAAUUUAUCAAUCUUUGUCUCAGUUUCUCUAUAUGGAUGCAAACCUGAAACGUUUAGGCGACAUAUAUCCUUCCUUGAACUUCAUGGGUUUAUAGGAGUUUGCGUAUGUAUAUAGAUACAUGAAUGCUCAAUUUUGGAUUGUUGUUCCUUAAGAAUGAUUACAGUUUUAGGGUUUGGAGCAAAUGUAGUUACUCUUCUUCUGAUUCUGAUUCUCACCAUAACGAGAAGAAAUGGUAGAUGUAACAGAAGGGUAAGAGUAAGCCUAAUUUUCUACUUUGGUUUUGGUAAAAAAAAAGAACUGAUUCGUCCUCAUUUGAUUUUCUUUAUUAGAAAAGCUACAUUGAGAAGUGUUUGUUGUAUGUAACACCUGCACUUGGAGCUUGUUUGUCAUGUGUGGACUUGGUGUUACUUGUGAGAACAAACCGUAGGAGAGAAGUCAUUCUCUGUUUUGUCCCCUUGUCUGGUUUCGUAAUGUGGGUAAGCUUCUUGUUACCAAACACGAACAGAACUCUGUCUUUGUCUUUCUCUUUUGUUUCUGCUUUGAAGGUUUUUUUUACCUUGUAGAUUGCCGUCAUCCUCUCAUUGAAGUUUGCUUGUUGUGCGUGCCACGUUUUCACUAGCCAGAUUCUAUGUUUCUGGUGGAUCUUUAGAUUCCUAACAGAUGCCCUUCAUCUUAACAUGAUUUUCACAUUACAGGUAAUUAAGUUGUCUUUAUGAAUCUGUCACAUUCUCCAUAUAAGUAGAGUUGGUUAACCGAAUUUGGAGCGUGUACAGGAGAUUUGCCUCAUCAUGUUGGACAUUGCUUUUGGUAUCUCUAUUAAUGUCCUCAGGAUAAAGCAGGCACAUCCCAAAAUCAUGUAUAUGCUUUAAUAUGGUUCUCUUAUUUAAUAUUUUUUUCCUUUUCAUUUCUUGUUUAAUUCCUUAUUCUCCUUGUAGUCCUUUGGAAGAUCCACUUAUUGAAGACGACGAUGAUCAAAAGCGCAUUGUACGACGUCUCUUCCUUGUAACUAACUAGUUUAAAGAGUAGUUAAAGACCAAUAGAUUUGUUCAUUCUUUGAAGGAGAAAAAUGGAAGCUGGUGGGACUUAUUCACUUUUGGGUACAUUGGUUCAAUAAUGAAACAUGGCUCGGUGAAGCAGCUAGAAUUGGAAAAUCUACUUACACUACCACCUGAAAUGGAUCCUUUUACAUGUUGUGAGAAUUUAUUGAGAUGUUGGCAACUUCAAGAGUGUAAUAAUUACUCAACUCCAUCACUAAUUUGGUCAAUAUAUGGUGUAUAUGGAUGGCCAUAUUUUCGUCUUGGACUGUUAAAGGUACGUUGCUUAUUUGACUUUCUUAUAUAAUCUUUGUUAAUAUUGCUACUACAAAACAUGAAUUUUGCAGGUGUUCAAUGAUUGCAUUGGAUUUGCUGGACCCUUACUUCUCAACAGACUUAUCAAGUAUCUUGAAAAAGGUUGAGAAUCUUUUUAAAGAUUUAGUAAAUAUGAUUACUAAUGGAAUCAUUGACACUGUUUAUAAACUAAACAGGUUCAGGAAGUUCUGUUGGCUAUACACUUGCUAUCUCCUUGGGCUUCAUAUCUAUCUUUAAGUAAAUAUAGUGCAUAGUCAUCAUAUUUCUACAUUUUUUUGUCAUCUCAAAUGUGUUCCAAGUGUAGCAAUAGUUACUAGGCACUUGUGAUGUAUGCUUUUUUGUCUUGUAGGUCUUUUCUUGAUACACAAUACACGUUUCGUCUUUCAAAGCUGAAACUCAAGCUACGGUCUAGUAUAAUGAGUGUCAUCUACAGGAAGGUAAAACAUGUGAAAAGUGAAAACUUUUAUUGUGAGUGGUAGUAAUUGGUUCCAUAAUUUCUUGAAAGUGAACUAUUAUCACAAGAAUUUUGUAUAUAUACAGUAUGGUUUUGGAAAUUUGUGCUUUGCUUCAGCGAGUAUUCGGUUAAAGAUAUCGAUAUCUCCUUGCCGUUACUACAAACGGAGACGCACCUUUUGAGUAUACGAUAUAUAACUUCAUACAUAGUAUCAAACGUUUUGGUUCUUUUGGUAAAGAGCUGUUUUUGUUUAUGAAAUUAUAUUGUAUGCAGUGUUUGUGGGUGAACACAGCAAACCGGUCAGGAUUUUCUGAAGGCGAGAUUCAAACAUUUAUGUCGGUAGAUGCUGACCGCAUUGUUAACUUGUGCAACAGUUUGCAUGACUUGUGGAGGUAAGAACAUUUGCCUGUAAACAAUGAAAGUGCUUCCAAUAUUGAGUAACAAUAAAUUGGCCACUCUUACAAUUUUUCAUUCAAAUAUAUGUCUCAGCCUGCCUUUGCAAAUUGGGAUAGCUUUGUAUCUUUUGUAUACUCAAGUCAAGUUUGCUUUUCUUUCUGGACUUGCAAUCACCAUCUUGCUGAUACCAGGUACCCAGUUUACAUUAUCGUAACUACAAUAUAGAAUGCCCAUUUUUUUCUUUUGAAUAUCUGGAAGUGUAAGCCCAAAGGCCAUACAUCUCCUAGAGGCGAGACCCACACCAUUUUAGAUUCAUCUCCUUUGAAAAAGAAAUCCCUCCCAACGUGCCUCGAACCUAUCACCUCCACGGAGAUUUAGUAUUGGGCCAAUAGCUCGUUGGUGAUGCCAGUUUUUCUCAUUUUCCCUUUUUUUUUGGCAGUGAAUAAAUGGAUAUCGGUGCUGAUUGCAUCUGCAACAGAGAAAAUGAUGAAGCUUAAAGAUGAGAGGUGUGAGAAAACGUUUAGUAAGUGUUGAUCAUAAGAGGGAUGUUAGUAGUAAUUUCUCACAUUGUAAAAAGUUUUGUUAUCUAUCAGGAUUAGAAAAACAGGAGAGCUUUUAACAAACAUACGCACACUUAAAAUGUAUGGAUGGGAUAACUGGUUUGCUGAUUGGUUGAAGGAAACAAGAGCCACCGAAGUGACUCACUUAGCGGUUAGGUCUUCGUAUCCUUCCUUUUGCUGUUUUGUCCAAGUACUUUGUAUUAACGUUUAAGUCUUCGUUUGGCUUUUCUAGACUCGGAAGUAUUUAGAUGCUUGGUGUGUUUUCUUUUGGGCAACAACACCAACUCUUUUUUCUCUUUGCACUUUUGGUCUCUUUGCUCUGAUGGGUCAUCAACUUGAUGCAGCAACGGUACUUUUUGAAUCUGCUCUAUAACAUUUUCUGAUUCAAAUAUGUAAAAUUUUCUUGACAAUCCUGUUUUUUUUUUUCCAGGUGUUUACUUGUCUUGCUUUGUUUAAUAGCUUAAUCUCUCCAUUAAACUCGUUUCCAUGGGUCAUCAACGGUCUCAUUGAUGUAAGAUUAUCUUUCGAUCAUAUUAAGAAGCAUUUUUAUCUACCAUUUUAGUUAUAUAUCAUUUUUGUUACCUUGUUGCAGGCCUUUAUAUCCACCAGGCGUGUGAGCAAGUUCUUGUGUUGUUUGGAGCAUAGUAGAGAUUUUUCUAUAGAUUCUGGAUUUACAUCUGAAGACUUAGCUGUAUGUGUGGAAGAUGCAUCUUGUACUUGGUCAAGUAACGUAGAAGAGGAUUAUAACUUGACAAUAAAACAAGUAAGCCUAAGAGUGCCAAAGGGAUCUUUUGUUGCAGUUAUCGGGGAGGUAUACGAAUCGUCCCCACCGUUAGAGCUGCAUAGUUCGAUUAAAUUAUGAUUAGGUGUUUCUUAAACUCUUUUUGUUUGCUUAAUUUUCAGGUUGGUUCAGGUAAAACAUCGUUGUUGAAUUCACUUUUAGGCGAAAUGCGGUGUGUUCAUGGAUCUAUACUAUUAAAUGGCUCUGUGGCAUAUGUACCACAGGUUUGUAAACUGGUUAAAUACUUUCUUUUUGGUUUCCACUAUGAGAAGUCUUACAUGUACCUCACUCACCUUCAAGGUCCCAUGGCUUUUGUCUGGAACUGUACGUGAAAACAUUUUAUUCGGGAAGCCUUUUGACUCCAAAAGGUUUAGUAAGUUUGCUUCAUCAACUCUUAAAGUUAUGAUCUAGUGUAACUGAUAGACAAAGCUAGUGGUGACUUUGUUAAACUAGGUAUUUCGAGACAUUGAGUGCUUGUGCACUAGAUGUGGAUAUUUCACUUAUGGUCGGAGGAGACAUGGCGUGUAUAGGUGAUAAAGGACUAAACUUAUCCGGAGGACAGAGAGCUCGGUUUGCUUUGGCCAGGUUUGCUAUAUAUCUCCUAUGCUCUUUCACCAUCCAUAGACUUGAGUGUUGUGUUUCUGAUGAUUUUGUGUGUGCUUUAUCAAUAGGGCUGUUUAUCAUGGUUCAGACAUGUACCUUCUUGAUGAUGUACUGAGUGCAGUGGAUUCACAAGUAGGAUGUUGGAUAUUGCAAAGAGCACUUCUGGGUCCUCUGUUGAACAAAAAGACUCGUGUUAUGUGCACUCACAACAUUCAGGUCUCAAAUCUCUCUACACGUUAAAUAUUUAUCUAUCUCAAUUUAAUUUUUUCUCAUACCGUCAAGCUGUUUCUACUAUGACAGGCGAUAUCUUGUGCAGAUAUGAUUGUUGUGAUGGACAAAGGAAAAGUGAAUUGGUCAGGAAGUGUUACUGAUAUGCCCAAAUCCAUUUCUCCAACAUUUUCUUUAACCAAUGAAUUUGAUAUGUCAUCACCAAAUCACUUGACCAAAAGAAAAGAGACUCUAUCUAUCAAGGAAGAUGGUGUAGAUGAAAUUAGUGAAGCUGCGGCGGAUAUCGUCAAAUUAGAGGAACGAAAAGAGGGUCGAGUUGAAAUGAUGGUUUAUAGGUAAACAAAAUUUGCUUAACCAUGUCUUUUUUUUGUUGCCUAUAUGUAUAAGUAAGUGAUUGUUAUCUGUUUAUGCAGGAACUAUGCUGUGUUUUCUGGUUGGUUCAUUACUAUUGUAAUAUUGGUUUCAGCGGUUUUAAUGCAAGGGUCUCGUAAUGGAAAUGAUUUGUGGCUAUCAUAUUGGGUUGACAAGACAGGAAAAGGAGUAUCGCAUUACUCAACCUCGUUUUAUUUGGUAUUAAACUCGCGCAUAAAACCACGAAACGUAACUCUUAUGUCUCUGUGUUUUUCUAGUUUAAUAAUAACUACUAAUCUUGCAGAUGGUUCUCUGUAUCUUUUGCAUCAUUAACUCAAUAUUAACCUUGGUGAGGGCAUUCUCAUUUGCAUUUGGAGGAUUAAAAGCAGCAGUGCAUGUUCAUAAUGCAUUAAUCAGUAAGCUUAUAAAUGCACCUACACAGUUCUUUGAUCAGACACCAAGUGGAAGAAUACUUAAUAGGUUAGACACAAGGAAACUCUUUGAAUCAUGUGUCUUGUUCUUCAUCUUAACUUCUUUUUUUGGUUUUACUCUGUUCAGGUUUUCCUCUGAUCUAUAUACCAUCGACGACUCUCUCCCGUUUAUUCUCAACAUUCUUCUAGCAAAUUUUGUUGGCUUGUUAGGGAUUAUUGUAGUAUUGUCUUAUGUUCAGGUUUGUCUGAAACUCUUCUCUCUUUUUGCUAAGUAUUAACUCUUCUGUUUUGUUGGAGAAGUUACAUUAAUGUAUAAUAUGUAUACAGGUUCUAUUCCUGCUUCUGCUUCUGCCAUUUUGGUACAUAUACAGCAAGCUUCAGGUACAUAUACAACUUCUUGUAGCCAAUCUGAUUUCAUAUUUGGUGUCCCUUAGAGAAGAAGAAGAGUUCAAAUUUUCUACUAACUGAAAAUUGCUUCAGGUCUUCUACAGGUCUACUUCAAGGGAACUACGAAGGUUGGACAGUGUUUCACGAUCACCGAUAUAUGCAUCGUUCACGGAGACACUUGAUGGGUCAUCAACUAUCAGGGCUUUUAAGUCUGAGGUAGUUUUGGUUCUGCUUCUAAAUGUCAGGUUUUGCUUCUCCAUUAAUGACAAAACUGUAUGCUAAUUCCGGUUUGCAUGACAGGAGCAUUUUGUAGGUAGAUUUAUUGAGCAUUUGACGCUAUACCAGCGGACUUCUUACUCAGAGAUAAUCGCAAGCUUGUGGCUCUCCUUGCGUCUUCAGGUACACUAAUACAUCUUUGCUUACAUUUUGUAGAACAUUUUUCAUUCACCUUUUGAGAAUUGGUAACAAUGUUUAGUUUCAUGUGUCUGCAAUAAAUAUGGAAAUCUCGAAAAAUCGCUGAUAAGUUGAGUAAAAUGGUGCAGUUGUUAGGAUCAAUGAUUGUCUUAUUUGUCGCUGUAAUGGCUGUCCUCGGCUCCGGGGGGAACUUUCCAAUCAGUUUUGGUACACCUGGACUGGUAAGAAACUGCAGUUUUCAUAAAUAUAUAGGAAAGUGAAAAGCAUACUAUUUAUAAUUUGGAUCACAGGUGGGAUUAGCGCUCUCAUAUGCAGCUCCAUUGGUUUCUCUGUUAGGAAGCUUGUUAACAAGUUUUACUGAAACAGAAAAAGAAAUGGUUUCUGUUGAAAGGGUUCUCCAGGUAAUGAUUCUGAUUCUUUUUUUGGUUUGUCAACCGAAAUUAAUUGCAGCUCAAAAGAGCCAUUCCUGAGGAAUGUUGUUUACAUAUAUGAUAUGAUGUGGUUCGGUACAAAUUCGUCGUGCCAAAUUAUCCACUUCUACAUUCGCACUACGAGAAAUCAAAGAUAAAGAUAAUGAUUCUGAUUCAUUAAGUAAUUUUUGUAUGUUAGUGUUACUAAUUACAUGAACCAUGCUCUCCUGUGUUAUUAGUACAUGGAUGUGCCUCAAGAAGAAGUUUCAGGUCCUCAAUCUCUCAGCGAUAAGUGGCCUGUUCACGGAUUAGUUGAGUUUCACAAUGUGACAAUGAGAUACAUCUCAACUCUGCCUCCGGCCCUCACCCAAAUUUCUUUUACAAUCCAAGGAGGAAUGCAUGUACGUGUAUCGCCGAGCACUCUACAACAGACUUGACUUUUUCUGUUUUUAUCUUUUCUCCCAACAUAUACAAUUUAUAUGAAGUUAUCGGGAAGAGACUAUCCGCUAGAGAGAGCACUCUACAACAGAAUUGACUUUUUCUGUCUCAUGAUUGUUUUGUUUUCAUUUAUCAGGUAGGAGUAAUUGGAAGAACUGGUGCCGGGAAGUCCUCGAUCUUGAAUGCGCUUUUCCGGCUUACUCCUGUUUGUAGUGGAGAGAUAUUGGUGGAUGGAAAAAACAUAAGCCAUCUUCCGAUAAGAGAACUCCGUUCUUGCCUCGCUGUUGUUCCUCAGAGCCCUUUUCUGUUUCAAGGAUCACUGAGGUGAGAACUUAACUCCUUCAAUUCACUAACCAAAGGUGUUGCCUGCAGUUUCAUAAUGAAAAAAAGUUGUGGUUCUCGUAGGGAUAACCUUGAUCCUCUUGGGUUGAGUGAGGAUUGGAGAAUCUGGGAGAUCCUAGACAAGUGUAAAGUUAAGGCAGCGGUAGAAAGUGUAGGAGGGUUAGAUUCAUAUGUAAAGGAAUCUGGUUGUUCCUUUUCUGUUGGACAGAGACAGCUUUUGUGCCUUGCUCGUGCUUUGCUCAAGUCAUCUAAGAUCCUAUGCCUUGAUGAAUGCACCGCCAACAUCGAUGUUCACACAGCUUCCCUACUCCACAACACGAUAUCGAGUGAAUGCAAAGGCGUAACCGUCAUUACCAUUGCUCACCGCAUUUCUACGGUUGUUGAUUUAGACAGCAUCCUAAUUCUUGAUCGUGGAAUUCUUGUUGAACAAGGAAAACCACAACAUCUUUUGCAAGAUGACUCCUCAACUUUUUCAAGCUUUGUCAGAGCUUCUCAGUGAAAUGUUGUUAGAAUCUGAUCACUUGUAACUUCUGAUCUCUGCUAUAAUUAUCUUGUCAUGGAAAUUAAGAAAAACUAGUUUCAACUGUAGUAGCUCAUUUAUAUGCUCAGUUUUCCAUAAUAAAUGAGUCUUCAUGGACUUGCCUAAUCCAAAUUCAUAAAUAUCUAUCUAAUUCGAUGGUGAUUGAGAACUGAGAAGUAAACAAUGGUACUCUUAUUGUCUGUUUUUCUUCCAAGAAGUUAGUUCAGAAGGAAUUGAUUCUUCAUUGCAACUUAAAACAGCUUUAGCCAUGAGUUUCCCAAGCUAUGCAUGAUAGAGUAAAGUAAUUGGCCAAAAAUAUGUUAAAUAGAGAAGCAAUUAUCUCUCAACAACACAAGAACAAAAUGAAAUUGAGAGAUUCCGGGAGCUUCAGAACCAGUUCAAAAUUCAACAACAUACUAGUUUUGUAACCCGAACCAGUUUAAAAGAAGAACAUUUUGAGUCAAGUUCAACCAUGGUUAUUUAUUUCAUUUUUUUUUCAAGGUAACAACAUUCUACUAAUAACAACAUUAAGAAAAUUUUAAUUUACAUAUACGUUCAGAUUACACUUUUACUUUAUCAACUAUUCUAUCUGCAUCUUUACUUUAACUAUCGGCACUAGAUUAUACCAUUCAGCAAUCUUCAAACGCUUUCCUAACAUUGGCGUGACAUUUUAACUAAGGACAACAAAGGUGGAGAAUACAUUAGUUUGAAGCAAGCGUAAAAGUUUACUAAGAAUCUUCAUCAAAUACACAUGACAUAAGCUUCUCUUUCUACUUUUUGCCUACAAAUUAACUUGAUAAUAUUAAAUAUUUUGUUUUGUUUGGUCAUCGCUGCUACUAAAGAAGAGAGAUUGCAUGCCUAGACGAUCAAGCUUUGCGGACAAUAGAACGUCUCUCUCGCUGGUACUCAACUUCACCUCUCUGGUGCAUUAUCAACAAAGCUCUCCUCACCUGCCAUUUUAACAUGCACAUUACCUCAAAAAUCCCAUUCACAUUACUGAAAAUUAAACAACAAAGAUGUUAGCUUAGGUACCAUUGAAUCGUUCAUUCCCAUUCUAGCCAGAUCCUCUAUCAGUCUUCUCUCUGAUAAUCGAGCUCCGAUCCCCAUUCUUCUCUUUAUCUGUGUUUCCGCUUGCUGUUUUUUCACACCAAUACCAAAUUUAGUUAUUACAUCUAGAGAUACGAUGAUUCUUUCUUCCCCACAAGCAACUAACCUUGAUUUCAUUGGCCAUCUCGCCUGUUAUGUUUAUCUGUUGAUUUAUCCCUGAUCUUGCUGCAUCCAUUGUCGAGGUAUCAAAAAGUUUAAAAGCUUUGUCUACAUCAUCUGGUGUGGCCUCGUGUGACCUGACAUAUUUAACAAUGUCAAUGGACGGCACAUCCCAUCAGGUUUCAGGAAUCAGGAAUCUCUAUGUUAAUAAGAUUACUUACAGUCUCAUUUUUGCAAGUGACUCACUCAGUCUGACAAUAGCUUCGAGUUGUCUCACUGUGAUAGGUAUCGGAGCAGCCUCUCCUGUUUCAUGUGCACGUCUCUUCAUAUCCUGUUUAGCCGAAAAUUUUAUACUGACACCAACUUUGUUUUUUAACCAUCUUAUUGUCAAAUCUAAUGUAAAUGACAAUUACCAUUCUGAUUGUGACAUAUUUCCGCUGCAGGUUCUCAGCAGCGUCUUUUGAGAGACGGGGAUGACACCUUGCUCGACAGUAUUGUAUAUACCUAACAUAAAAAGAGCAUUAUAUUUUAGAGUCAUGAUUUUGUACAGAAAACUGCGAGAACACAUUGUUUUCUCGACGAAUGAAAACACACCUUUUGAGCCAAUUAUCUUCUUUAGAAUCUGUGUUUUCAUCCGAAAAUUUGUUUGCAGAUGCAUGAACCCUUAUAAUAUGGCUGGCUAUUUCCUGUGAAAAGAUUAUAAACAUUAAUCAUGUCUACAUAAUAAGCAAGCAACGAAGCAAACUUUCCAAUAACAGUGACCUCCAUCAUUAAUCUCUGUUUUCCCUUUUAACUACAUAAAAUUUCUGAAAGAAUUGUUCCUUUCCUUGCUUACCUUGUCUUGGGAAUACUUCCUGAUGUCCUUGACAAUGAAGAUAAGAUCAAAUCUAGAAAGAAUUGUUGUCUGCAGAUCGAUAUUGUCCUGAGCAGUCUGCAAAUCCAAAGAAAAAAAAACACACCCAUCUCUUAAGAAUAUUGCAAACAAGAAUCGGGAAAACCAUGAUAUUGCCAAAGGAGAGUACCAGAUUUCAAACCUUAAGGUCAUCAUAUCGACCAGAUGGCGGGUUAGCAGCAGCAAGCACCGAGGUUCUAGAAUUAAGGACAGUUGUUAUCCCAGCUUUUGCAAUGGAGAUUGUCUGCUGCUCCAUUGCCUCAUGAAUAGCAACCCUAUAAAGAAAAAAAAAACAUUCCAUCAAUUCUACUCAUAGAGAAAAAUUAGAUUCGUCAACACUAUGAUUCAGAUUUGAAUUACCUAUCUUCCGGUCUCAUCUUGUCAAAUUCAUCAAUACACACAACACCUCCAUCAGCCAAAACCAUAGCACCACCUUCAAGAUAGAACUCUCGCUGCAAUGAACAUAUGUAUAAAUAACUGAGAAUCUGUCAUAGCAACUACUUUUAAACAAAUCAUAGAAAAACACUUGAAGAUAGGACAUACAGUGCUGCUAUCUCGAAUCACCGAAGCUGUGAGCCCAGCAGCCGAUGAACCCUUUCCAGAUGUAUAAACAGCAAUUGGAGCCGUCUUCUCCACAAACUUAAGAAACUAGAGAGAAAAAAAAUAAGCAAUUAAGCUUUAAACAUGUAAGCUACAGGUGUUGGAAAUAACACAGACAUUUUGUAAGGAUUGUAAUCUAACACUUGAACAGAAGGAUGUAAGACGAAUAUCAAGCAAAUAAGAGAGACGUAAGAAAAUAUAAAAAGAAUAACACACUUAUUAUAAACCAUUGAUACUGAGACCACAUUACAAACCUGUGAUUUUGCAGUUGAUGGGUCUCCCAAAAGCAAAACAUUAAUAUCACCUCUUAGUUUCACUCCAUCGGGCAGGCUCUGAAUCAAAGAUAGAAAUGUAUAUAAAUAUAUCAAAAACGUAUACAAAGUGCACAGAAAAUAAAAACUGCUAUCACAGUUUCCUACCUUCCUGGAUCCUCCAAAGAGAAGACACGCAGCUGCUCUCUUCACAUCCUCAUGGCCAAAUAUAGAAGGAGCGAUCUUGGUGCAAAUGUUCUUGUAUACAUCUUGACUAUCAGCAAACUUUUUGAAUUCUUCCUCCUAAAAGUAAUAUUAUGGAAGACAAAACUGAUAAAUGGAAUUGUACAACUAGGCUUCCAAGCAGGCCUAAAUGUUUCAUAGUAAACUAGUAGCACAGAGAAUAUUUCCAGAAAACACCAUCACAUUCAUUUGGGAGUUACACAAAGAAUUUCAUAGAGCCAACAGCUACCUAAGGCAUUUGGUUUCCAGUAACAAUAAUUCAGCCAUGUUAACUUCAAUAGUUCAUUGUGAAACCAUGGAUGACAUAGGCUAUCAAAUGAGAAAACAAAAAGAACCAAAUGAUGCGAUACUAACUUCGUCAGGAGUGAAGUUGGCAGGGCCACGGGAACUGGCCUCAUUUGUGUCUUCCAGUCCAACAACUCGGAUAUAAGGCUGGCGAAUUGCAACUGCUCCUUUAUGCCUACAUCAGAAAGUAGGAAAAGAUGUCCAUCAUUGUUGUGGUGUAACUCUCCCAGAAAACAAUCUACACUCUCAUUUGACAUAAAACUACAAAGCUUACGAGUUAGAUGAUGACGAAGCUUGGAAAAUGCUGUAGAUACCCAUUACUGUCAGUCUGGUUCCAGGUACAAUUGUUUGUACAAGAUGCCGAUCAACUGAGAGAAGCAUAUUUCUUGGAAGCUCUCCAGUAGGAACAUCCUUCAAAACUCAGAAGCAUUUAAUAUAUACAAGUGCAAAAAAAGCGAAAACAUUACAAUGUAAAUCUAUACCUCCGGAUUCUCCUGUAGCUUUAAGGUCUGUUGAUCAACAUACUGGCUCCUAUCAGGAACCACCAUCCAAGGAUCAAGAGGGCAAGGCUCCUCUCCAGGCUAAACAAAUUCCAAUUUGGUCUAAUCAACACCAAGGAUAACUACAAACUCAAAUCACAAACGAAUCAAAAGAACUCACCUGUGGAAUAUUAUCACAUGAUCGAGGAACAAUUGCCCCACCAAGACCCGGACGACAUGGAACUUCCCUUGUCUUUUUACAAUUCUUACAUACCAAAAACACAUAAGUCGCCUUUGCUUUCACUCUCGAAGCUGCAAUACUAAUCCCAGAGAUUUUCACCAACUUUGAGAUGUACUGUGCCUAUCAAGAGUAAAGAGUACAUUAUAGACAUACCCCAAGUAAUCUCAUUGAUACUAAAAACAAAAAAACAGACAUACCCCAAGUAAUCUCAUUGAUACUGGAUCCUCUCUUGAAGUGAGCAAAAUCUGCACAUCUCUAGUCAGAGGUUCCUCCAUUACCCCUCCCUCAUUAGCCUCCCUCAUUUUCAAUCCAGUCAACACUUCACCAGCUGCUUUCUCAAACUACAAUUCAAAGAUUGACUCACUCAAUACAAAGCUUAUAUGAACCCUAAUUUUUUUUGAAGUCAUACCACAGGGAGAUAAUCGGCAGGAGCAGAUCGGAUUAAGGAGGGGAGAUCGGAAUCAAAGGAGAGGAGAUCUUCGAGGUGGACAACAAGUCGCUUAGGGUUAUCGAGGAGAGCUUCUCUGUAGGGGAAACAAUUCUGUUCGAUCUCGAAGUUUCGAAUGAAUUCCUUAAAUUUGGUUAAGACGGCGUGGGGACUGAUGGUUGCGGCGUCUCCGGCCUCCGGGAACUGCGGCUGGUCGCUGUAGUAAACUGCUCCUUCGUCCCAUCCUGACAUCGUUGCUUCGUCUCCGUUACGAAUUUCUCUAUCUCUUUCUCUCUUAUCAAAAAGUUCUAAACGAAGAGAGAGAGUGGGGGCAAGGGCUUUAUGUCGACUAUGAGUUUUGGCGGGAACAAUGUGGCGGGAAACUGAUGGGCCGAACCCAAGACCUAUGGACGGGUAAAUGGAUUUCGUUGGUUAUUGGGUCUUUCUUUCUUUUUCUUUUUAGCUAAGGUUACAUUUUUUAUCCAUUUUUUCUAAUUUAUUAUAAAAAACCAAACAGAUAAAAAUAUAAUUAUGGACUACAUCUAGGAAUCUUAAAUUUAUGAAUUGCACAUUUUAGAAUUUCAUAUUUUUAAGCUACUUAAUAUCGUUGUAAGCAUUUUCAAUUCCAUCGUAAUUUUCUUCAAUGUCACUUAAAAUUUAAGGCUAUAUUAAUAUAUAUGUUUAAAAGAAUAGUUUUUAGUUUUAUAACAUUAAUAAUUUGAAAAUUAAGUAACUAUAAAAAAGAAAAGAAAAAUCAACCAUAUAUAUCCUUCUCAUUUACGUUAAUUACAGAAAUGUCAUUAACAUGAUAAAUGUUUUUGAGAAUAUUAGGUAAUUGGACACUUUUUUGAAACUCAAUUACGCAAUAAAGCACUUUAGAAAGAGUAAACACUUUUUAAAGUUUUUUUACUACUACACCAUCAACCCAACCUAAGCAAUCCAAACUUACCAUAAUUUACAACCAUUACUUUUUCUCUCUUUUCAUUCAUUUUUUUCUCUACUCUUUACAAAAUUAAACACACAAAACACUUAAAAUAUCUUAAUGAAAAAAGGAAAUGGUUUGAGACAUUAUCUCUCUUCUCUCUCAUCAAAAACACCAAAAAGUAGAUCUAGAUUUUUCUUUUUUCUUUCUCUUCUUAGAUCUUAAAAGUUGGAAAUUUUCAAGAUUUUUAUUCAGUUUCUCAUUCUUUAAUCAACCUCAUAAGGUUAAAAUUUUCAUUUUUAAUUGCUAGGUUUCUUCUUCUCUUAGUGUAUCCAUCAUUGUCUUGGUCAAAUUUUUGUCUUUUUACAAAUCUUAGAUUUGGCCACCAAAUAUUUGUGGAAAUUCCUCAAAGAGAGAGAGAGAGUUGAAUUAAAGAACCCAAACAUAUAUUCUUACUAUAAAUUUGUAACUUAAAGGUAGUUUGAUGCUAUUUUCAUUAAAACACAUGAGCAAAUAAUGAAAAAAUGGAAAAAAUACAAAACAAAUCAAAGAAGAGUGAUAGGCGAUAAUUUGAAAUGACCACAUGGUCAGAGUUUGGUGGAUGUGUGUUGACGGUCGAUAAUUCAAAAUGAUUGUGUUUUGUUAAUACUAUUCAUAAAACCAGUGUUACGUUAUGUAAAAGAUGUUGAUAAAAUGUGAUGAAACAAGUUUUGUUGGUCAUAUCAACAAAAGUUUAUUUAUGAAAAUGUUUAUAUUUAUUUAUCCACGAUUACAUAUUAACAAAACAUAAAUACGAGUGUAUAUCGUAAGAUUGUGUAUGAACACAUCGAUCUCAAUAAUAUUUUACGUUUUCAGGUUAAGAAGCGUGCUUUAGAUUAUCAUGGAUCAAAAGUGGUGGUUAUAGAUUAUGUACAUAUAAAACUUAGGUUUUAGGGUUUAGGCUUUAAAGUCAAGGGCUAGGGUUUAAUGUCUAGGGUUUAAGAUUUAGUAUCUAGUGUUUACAUUUUAGGAUUUAGGCUUUAUUGUUUAGGAUUUCGCGUUUAGUUUAGAUGAUUUAGGGUUUUGGGUUGAAGAAUCAAAGUUGUCUACAAUGAUUUAGGGUUUAUGGUUACAUGUUUCUCAUUGGAGAUUAUAUAUUCCAUUGUUGUCCAUAUGGAUUGGAUAAUAUGGAUUUUCUAUCUCAAUUUGUUUAUAUUUAGGGGAUUUAUGUUUAAUAUUUAUGGACAACAACAAGAAGUUUUAAAGUGAAGAUCUUAGAAUUUAGGGUUUAGGGUUUAGGGUAUACGUGAUAUGGUAUAUGUAUAUUGUUAAGGGUUUAGUCUUUAUGGUUUAACAGGUUUAGGGUUUAAUAUCAAGGGUUUAGAGUUUAGGGUUUAGGGUUUAGGGUUUAGGGGUUUAGGGUUUAGGAUUUAGGAUUUAGGAUUUAGGAUUUAAGAUUUAGGGUUUAGGGUUUCGGGUAUAAAUUUAGGGGUUAGGGUUUAAUGUUUAGAGUUUAGUAUCUAGUGUUUAGGGUUUUAGAUUUAGUGUUAAGGAACUAUGAUUGUUUACAAUGAUUAUAGAGUUUAUUGUAGAUGGUAUAAGGUUUAGGGUUAAUUGACCAUGGUCAUAUACAAUUAUUUUUGGGUUUAGGGUUAUAUGCUUCUUGUUAGAUUAUAUAUUUCCAUUUUGAUCAUAUGAAUUAAAUCAUAUGAAUUUUUUAUGUUCUCAAUUGGUUUAUGUUUAGGGGAUUUAUGCUUAAUAUUUAUAAGCAAUAAUAAGAAGGUUUAAAAUUUAGGGUUUAUAUGGUAAAUGGUAUAUGAUAUAUUUCUAUGGUUAAGGGCUUAGUGUCUAUGGUUUAAAGUUUAGGGUUUAUGGUUUAGGUGUUUAAGGUUUAGAGUUUAGGGUUUAGCGUUUAGGGUUUAAAGUUUAGGGUUUAGGGUUUAGGGUUUAGGGAUAAGAGGUUUAAGCUUAAUAUUUAUGGGCAACAUUAAGAAGGUUUGGGAUUUAGGGUUUAUGGUAUAUGGUAUAUGGUAUAGGGUAUACGUAUAUGGUUAAGGGCUUAGUGUUUAUGGGUUAAAGUUUAGGGUUUAGGGUUUAGAUAUAGAAGUUAGGGUUUAAUGUAUAGAGUUUAAUAUCUAAUGUUUAGGGUUUAGAAUUUAGUGUUAAGGAACUAUGAUUGUUUAUAAUGAUUUUAGAGUUUAUGGUUAUAUGGUUCUCAUUAAAGAUUAUAUAUUUCAUUGUUGUCCAAAUGGAUUAAAUCAUAUGGAUUUUUUGUUUUCUGAAUCUGUUUAUGUUUUGAUGAUACAAUAAAUAAUAGUAUGAAUAAAUAUAGUAAUAUGGAUUUCAUGAAGGAAAAAAUGUUAUUAUUAUAUAUUUUAUAAAAAAUGAUUUUUAAUCAAAUAGAGAAUGUCUUAAAUUAAAUAAAAAUUAAAUAACAAAAGGAAGAGAGAGAAGAAAUUGACAAGAAAGAUAAGAAAGUGAUAGAUAGAGAAAAUAUGUUUUAUUUAUUUAAAUUUGACGGUCAAGAUUAAAAGAGAUUAACUUUACCUUUCAAUUCGAUGGACGAGAUGAUUCCGUCAAAACCAUUUCUUAACCAUGCUACUUGAUUUAAGGUGAAGAGAAUAAGGGGUAAACUGGUAUUGAUUUUUUUAAAAUAGUGAAAAAACUCCAAAAAAGUGUCUAUUCUCUUCAAUGUGCCCUAAAUGCACUAAAAACUUGGAAAAUGCCCCAAUCAUGAAAGAAGCCCAAUUUUUUCUGACGUAAUAUGUGGCGACACAGUUCAUAAACCGCUCGAUAACACUGCUCACAUGCGACCGAAACACUAUUCAUCAGAUGAUAUAGUAAAACAUCAUAUGAUUUAAGCAUUUAUCUAUUUGUUUUAUAUGCUAAAAAAUAUGAUAUCGCGAUAAGUUUACUUUUAAACAAAUCUUUUAUCGACCUAGAAUUGAAAAUUAAUAUAUUUUUAUUUAUGUAAAUAUCAGUUCAAUUUAAAGAAUUAGUUUAUUUCUUACAUAAUUAAUAUAAUAGCAGUUAAAACAACAUGUUAUAUAAAAUAAUAACAUGCUAACAUAUUUAAUAUCUAGAUAAUAUUUGUAUGAACGUGCCAUCUCAAUCCACGUUUUCAUUCACGCCACCUCUUUUUUUGUCAACUCACCAAUACUGAUUUUAAUAUCUUUGUUUCGAUUUGAUUUUAUGUUUCCAUUAUUAUUCUUAUAGUUUUGUAUCGUCAGAAAUUAAAUAAAAGAGAAACAAAAGAAAGAAAAAAAGAAAAGAGAGAAAAGGGGUAAAAGAGUCAAAAAGAGGAUGAUAAAAAGAGGAUAAACAAAAAAGAGGAUGAUAGUGACAUGUGCACAGUGAUCAAGUGGUCAACCUAAUUAAUGAGUCGUUCAUGUAUAUCUAUUGAUAUUACCCUAAAAUUUAAAGAUGUGAUUCAACUAAAUAAAAUAAGUUUAUUACAAAAAUAUAAACUUUUUAUUACCUUCUAAAUUCACAAAACCACGUAGUCAAUUUCAAGUAUAAAGCAAGGUUUUGACAAUUUUUAGAAUAAGACAAUUUUUUUUACAAAGAUUUAACCACUUACAUCCAAUACUAAACGAUGAUUUUGUUACUAUUGUGGUGAUUAAAAUGCUAAACACAUAAAGACGCUCAUAACCUCCAUGUACGUUAAAGACAUCAAAUCUAAAUAUUUUUCCAAAUUUGAUGUUGUGUUGUCAAAACCAAGCUGGAUGCUCCUCUUAACAUCAAAGAGAUCAUGUAUGAUAUAGACAUACUAAAUUAAACAAGUAUGAUUAUUAUACUAUGAACUUGAAAUGUGAAUUGAUUUAAGAAUUUACACCCACAACCUCAUAUCUAUCCCAUAACUAGAAUGGUAAUGUACUAAUCCCGAUAAUUUAGCAAACUUGAAUUAAAUCUUCCUAGCCAUCUCUUCUACUCUCAAAUCACUAAUAAGGUUCAAAUUACCCUAGAACUACUCUCUCAUAUAAGAGAUCAAUUGCAGUAUUUAAGGAUCGAAUUCACAAAGUUCUUUUGUUCAAACAAUAAGUUGAAUGUCGAGAUUAAGCUAGAAGGUGAUGAUUGAAAUAGUAAUAAAACAAAGUAAGAUAACAGCAGGUUGAUUGUGUUGUAAAAAAUUAGGAAAAGAGGUAGGAACAGAGUAUUCUCAAGAAACUAUUGGUUAGUAGAUCUAAUGAAAGCUAGGUUGUUAUCGAACCAUUCUUAAACUCAAACCCUAAUUAUGGAAUAACCGGUGGCUUUAGUACCCCGCGCAUUGACCCCAGGCAAGAAAGAAGGGCAAGAGAAGAAGAAGAGAGAAUGGUGCGUGAAAUGAAAGGAAGGGCCGAGUAUUUAUAAUCCGCGGAAGCUAGAGUAGAGCCCAAGUCUUAAAACGUGGAGCCGAAUCCAUUCGGGCAAAGCCGACUUGGUGACCAAGUUUUGUCCUGAGCAAUGCACGCCAACUUUAGCCAACUUGGUGAGCAAGUUUUGUCCCAAAGCCAACUUGGUGACCAAGUUUUGUCCCACUCCUCAUAUCCGAACCUUGAGCCUAUAAAUAGAACCUUACCCCCCCCCCCUUAGUUACACCUUAGAAGCUUUCGCACCAAAACUCUGCCCAAACCGAGAGGGAGAGAGAGAAAUCAUCCGAACCCUUAACCCGAGAGAGAGAGAGAGAUCGUCCGAACCUUAAAACCCGAGAGAGAGAGAGAGAGUCUGAGCAAGAGAUCGUCGAGCCUUAGGAUAGUCCGAAAGAGAGAUCCCGAGUAGAAACCAUCGGUCGAGUUAGGAAGAUUCAUCGGUGAUUGUGAGUUCCGGUUUUUGUUUUGCAUGUUUGAUUUUCCUUCUUGCAUGUUCUCGAUUCUCCCUUCUCUUAGUUUUGUUGUUGUUAUGGUUGAGUUUGUUGAGGUUGUUAACCUAAUAGCUAGGAUAGUUGAGACCGAAGCACCUUGCCCUAUAGGAGUGGUUGUGUUAGAAUAGCACCAUUCACUUUAGAGGGAUGGUUGCAUUGUCAAGACACUACUCGCUAGUAUUCGGGAGACAUUUAGAGAGAACUUUAUGAACAUGUGCGUUGAAAACGAACCGCAUGUUUCAUAGUGUUGAUUGGAAGAUCGUAGUGUGUGGAGCUUGAAGAGUAUCUAAGUUAACUCCAUAAGCAUGCUACGGUCAAGUGGGAUGUAUCUGACCUUUCCUUGUGAUUCUGUUCGUUCGUGGGGUGUGCUUGACGAGAUGCAAGUGACCUCAAGGGGUUCAAAGGACCUAUAGAGACUGGGUUAGCUACCCAAGGCCCGGUGUCGCUUACACGAUGGUGUAGCCAAGGUGAUGUUCCAGUUAUAUGCAUUUGUGGUUAUAACUAGGGUGUUCACGAUGUGUUGAGGAAGGCAGUGCAUUCGGGUCCUAAUUAAAACUUUAAGAAACGUUAUCUUCUUGUUGUGUUGUGUGUUGCUUACUUCCUUCUUUGUGUACUCUGAUUAUUUAUGUUAUGCAUGUGGGAUUAUGGGUGGGGAUUAAACUAAUGUUUCCUUAGGGAACCCGAGCUCAUUGAGUAAUGCUAGAUUACUCAUGACUUUACUUGUUUUGCAUGAAACCUUAGAGGGGAUUAGAGGGAGUGGUGAACACUAGGGAACCCGGAGUAGUUUUUCAAUGUCCUUUUGUAAAACUUAAAAUAUGUAUUUUCGUAUCGUGUACUUUUGGACCUCAUGCCUUGGCCACAAAAACGAUGUUUAUGUUGUGGUUUUUCCUUGUAUUUUCGUAACUCUAAAAUAAUGAAAUCGGUAUUUAUUUUAGAGUAUACGGGUUUCAAACUGAUAAGACUUUGUCCGAGUCGACACAACAUUUGGGUGAAGUGAGGGUUGGCAAGCCUAACACUACAAAAAAAUUUGAAUAUUCUUACGGAAAAAUUGCGACCAUUUUUUCGUCAGAAAAUUGUAACCAUUUUCUUACAAAAAUGUGACGUAUUUAUUUAGUCAUAAAAACGUUACUAUUUCGUUAUAAUAUUAUGUCUUAAUUGAAAGUAACUAACGUUUGUCACUAAUUAUAUUAAAUUUGUUACGAAUUAUAUAGUCAUAAAUAUAAAUACGGAUUUGCGACCAAAUAUGGUAACUAAAUUAUACAAUAAUUGUGACUAAACUUAUGUCACGUAUAGUUACGAGAGUUUUGUAACUAUCAUGUCACAAUUUGUCACUGUUUUAGUGACUUUUGCGUUUGGUCAUAGAUUGUGACAUAAUUAUUACCAAUUUUAUCACAAAAAUAAAAACAUGUGAACUAAAAGUCAAAUAAAAAAACAGCUUCAAUUUUGGAAAGAAAAAAAUCUGAUAAUACAUAAAAUUUUGAAAAGAGUAUAAAAAGUUAUAUAAGAAAACAGUUUCAAUUUCUUUGUUAUUUUUUCUUUUUAUUUCCAAUGCUUUGUUUUAAAAAAAAAAAUCCCACGAUCUCUCUUUUGCAAUGCAUGAUCUCCAAAUUAACUUCCCAGUUUUAUUAAUUAUUUUCAUCAAUUUCACUUUCUUUAAAUCACCAUAUAUAUCCCACAAUCGAUUUAUCUCAAUUGUUCUUCCAUUCAUCCCUUCUGGAAAAAAAAACUGUAAAUACUUUUACGGAAUCGUCAUUCAACACCACGAAUUCAUCUUCAUUGUUCGCUAAAUCCAACAUUCCACGACUCCGAUCGUCUUCUUCCUCCUUUCGUAAGGUGGUUUCAGUAACCCAAAUCACCACAAAAUCUAAUAUUUUAAGAGAAAAUCUUUGUUUUGAUUUUUUUGAUGUAUUUAGUUGCAGGCACUACUGUUUGCAACAUGAAGUCAAAAUCCCCUUCUUUUUAUAUCUCCAGAAAUAUGAACAGUUAAUGCUAAUUAAAAGGUGUGAUUCUGCUUCUUCUAAUGUGGAUCUUUUUGUCUAAUUUAGAUACAUUAUAUAAUAUCUACCCUAUUUACAUCCUAUUCUCUGUCAGCUAUCCACCUCUACGUCCACACUUUUGUUUUGUUGGAGCGGCAUCAAUCGUUGAUUAUAUGUGAUCUUCAUUUAAGGACAAAAGUUGGAAUAUCAUCAUAUGCUUCGAUCAUGUCAAAGAACCCAAAUUAAAGAAGCACAAUCAAAUGAUCAACUGCUUGAAGGAGACACCAAAAGUUUCGUCAUCAAAGAAGAAGAUAAUUGAGUGACAAAGAAGAAGUCAGGUGAUGAGAAGCAAGAGAUGUUCAAAGCAUCAAAAGGCCAACUCACGGUUUCAAUAAAACAUUACGAAAAGUAAUGGUUUUUGUGGGGGGUUGACAUUAUUUGAAUUCAUUUUCACCCUUUUUAUUUGUUCAAAGUUUAGGAUCUAAUAUGUAGUAUACAAAAGCAAAGAAUCUUGAUCAUCAAUAUAUAGACCUAUUUUACGUUCUAUUUUUUUAAUUACAAAACUCCAAUAAGAAAGGAGUAAAUGAAUAACGCCAUGUCAAGUUGUUUUAAUUUCUGGAUAUCACUAAAUUUAGUUUUAUAGAUAAUUUUAAUAUGUUAAAAUGGCCAUGUAACGGGACAGAGCAUGACAUUGUGUGACUAUAAUCGAGUCACUAAUUGUGUUGGAUUUGUGAUUGUAUUUUGGUCGCAUAAUAUAACGGGACAAUGACUUAAAAAUAUGAGUAGUAAUAAUCUGUGACAAGUAUGUUACGAUUUUAUCGCCACUAGUUGUGGCAUAAUUGUGACAGUAUCGUCCGCCACGAAAUGUGUCCAUUUUUGCGACUAUAUUAACGUCGUCACAAUUAGUAACGAAUUGUUACUAUUGUUAAUCGUCACAUUUGUUUGUGACUUUUUUGAGACCUUCAUGGAUUUGUGACGAUUUUAUUGUGACAUUUUAAAUUUCGUUUCAGUUUCGUCAUAAAAAAAUUAUUGUGACCAAAUAUUUUUUUAUUGUGACGUUAAUCAUCGUAUCAAUAUUCAGUUUUUAUUGUAGUGUAAGUGGAUCCCAAAUGGGGAAAUGGGUAACCUUGAGUGGGUAAAGGGUCGGAAUGUGUUUUUGAACCUCAGCUACUCUAUGGGAAUUCAUUUCCAUUGUGGCGUCUCCGAGCCGUGCCGACUGGCCGAGUUCUAGCGCGGACCGGGGGCGUUAGAAUGGGUGGUAUCAGAGCAUGGUUUUAGGGCUUUUGGGAUCCGUUUUUUUUUUCAAACGUUUUAUCGAGUAAAUAGUCGCAAAAGGCACUUAGGAUAAUCCGAGUCGUUCACCACUAUUAGGAUAGGGGGGAAAUAUUAGAUACCUAAUAUCGUUGUUGGAUUGGAUGCAGAUGUCAAGGCAGGUGUCGGACGAGAACUAGUCGAGAGAUGUGAUGUCUAGUCGUGGAAACUUUGCGCAGUAUCCGGAGUCGGAUAACUAGAUACCGAGUGAGAGUGGUGAGAUAAAUGGAGAUUAUAUUCACUUGGAGCCGUAUGGAUUACCUGAAUGGGAAACCCCCGAUUCCACGCCCAGGCACUCGUCGCCCGUAUCGAUGUUCUUCGAUACAUCAAAUGAGAGUUACUUUCGUUCUCGAUCACAUAACCCCGUACAAUCCCCAUCGAUCGAGCAAAACCAUGGAAACCCUAUCCCUGAAACCAAGAACCAAGGAGCCCCGAAAUGCAGCAAACCUUAGACAUUAUUCAGAGUCAAUUGGGUCAUAUGAUUGAAACACAACAACAUCAACAACAAAUUCAAGAAAGCCAGCGAGAGGAAUCAACAUCCGCAAAGUUCCUGAAGCUCGUGAUGAUGAUGAGAGACUUAGGAAUUCGCGUGUUUAAAGGAGAACAUAACACGGUCGUGGCAGACAAGUGGCUACGAGACCUUGAGAUGAAUUUUGAGAUUUCUCGAUGUCCUGACAAUUUCAAGAGACAGAUCGCGGUUAACUUCUUGGACAAGGAUGCACGAAUUUGGCGGGAGAGCGUAACUGCCAGAAACCAAGGCCAAAUGAUAUCAUGGGAAGCUUUUAGAAGAGAAUUCGAAAAGAAGUACUUUCCACCGGAGGCCCGUGAUCGAUUGGAGCAGCAAUUCAUGAAGUUAGCACAAGAGACAAGGAGUGUCUGAGCAUACGAACAAGCUUUCACGCGACUAAGGAGGUACUUAUAUAACGGACAAGAUGAUGAAGCAUUGAUGGUUCGCAGGUUCUUGAGAGGACUCAGGCUAGAGAUAUGGGGACGACUACAAGCGGUCAAAUAUGACAGUGUCAAUGAGCUAACCGAACGGGCAGAUAAUGUGGAGGAGGGUAUUGAGAUGGAGAAGAGUGUAACCAACAAGGAAAAUGAUUGAUCGGGAGGGAGGAAGACUAAUAACGCGUAGGCCAAAAACAACGCUCCUAAAUUCACACCAAAUCAGGAGAGAGACAAUGAUCGAGGAAGAGCAAGAGCGAACUUCACAAGGUGUUUCAUGUGUCUCAAUUAAAAAGACAUGUACCCAAACCCGAUGCUGUAAUUUCAGAAUCGAUACCCGAAUUGAAGACCAACCUCACAUAUCCGGAGGGGCCACUCGAGAUCGGAGAACGGCGCAUUCGAAAGUUUAAGAAGCGGUUAAUUCCUCAAGUUCAAGUAAUUUGGGAAAACAAAACCGACGGUUAAUUACAUUGGAGGGUGAAAAAAAGUUCCGGGCAAAAUAUCCUCAACUGUUCGACGUUGAAGAAGAAGAUGACAAUGAAGCCAGUCCAUCCAAUACUCAGGGAAUUUGGGACAAAUUCCUAUAAGGAGGGCAAAUGUAGUACCCCGCGCAUUGACCCCGGGCAAGAAAGAAGGGCAAGAGAAGAAGAAGAGAGAAUGGUGCGCGAAAUGAAAGGAAGGACGGGUAUUUAUAAUCUGCGGAAGCUAGAGUAGAGCCCAAUUCUUAAAACUUGGAGCCAAAUCCAUUCGGGCAAAGCCGACUUGGUGACCAAGUUUUGUCCUGAGCCAUGCACGCCAACUUCGAGCCCACGCCUUAGCCAACUUGGAGCCGAAUCCACCUGAGCGAGCCAACUUGGUGACCAAGUUUCGUCCCAAAGCCGACUUGGUGACCAAGUUUCGUCCCACUCCUCACAUCCGAACUUUGAGCCUAUAAAUAGAACCUUACCCCCCUUUAGUUAAACCUUAGAAGCUUUCGCACCAAAACUCUGCCCAAACCGAGAGAGAGAGAGAGAUUGUCUGAACCCUUAACCCGAGAGAGAGAUUGUCCAAACCUUAAAACCCGAGAGAGAGAGAGAGUCCAAGAUAGAGAUCGCCAAGCCUUAGGAUAGUCCAAGAGAGAGAUCCCGAGUAGAAACCAUCGGUCGAGUUAGGAAGAUUCAUCAGGGAUUGUGAGUUCCGGUUUUUGUUUUGCAUAUUUGAUUUUCCUUUUUGCAUGUUCUCGAUUCUCCCUUCUCUUAGUUUUGUUGUUGUUAUGGUUGAGUUUGUUGAGGUUGUUAACCGAAUAGCUAGGAUAGUUGAGACCGAAGCACCUUGCCCUAUAGGAGUGGUUGUGUUAGAAUAACACCAUUCACUUGAGAAGGAUGGUUGCGUUGUCAAGACACUACUCGCUAGUAUUCAGGAGACAUUUAGAGAGAACUUUAUGAGCAUGUGUGUUGAAAACGAACCGCAUAUUUCAUAGUGUUGAUUGGAAGAUCAUAGUGUGUGGAGCGUGGAGAGUAUCCAAUUUAACUCCAUAAGCAUGCUACGGUCAAGUGGGAUGUAUCUGACCUUGCCAUGUGAGUCCGUUCUUUCGUGGGGAGUGCUUGACGAGAUGCAAGUGACCUCAAGGGGUUCGAAGGACCCAGAGAGACUGGGUUAGGUACCCAAGGCCCGGUGUCGCUUACACGACAGUGUAGCCAAGGUGAUGUUCCGGUUAUAUGCCUUUGUGGUUAUAACUCGGGUGUUCACGAUAUGUUGAGGAAGGCAGUGCAUUCGGGCCCUAAUUAAAACUUUAAGAAACGUUAUCUCCUUGUUGUGUUGUGUGUUGCUUACUUCCUUCUUUGUGUACUCUGAUUAUUUAUGUUAUGCAUGUGGGAUUAUGGGUGGGGAUUAGACUAACGUUUCCUUGGGAAACCCGAGCUCAUUGAGUAAUGCUAGAUUACUCAUGACUCUACUUGUUUUGCAGGUAACCUUAGAGGGGAUUAGAGGGAAUGGUGAACACUAGGGAACCCGGAGUAGUUUUUCAGUGUCCUUUUGUAAAACUUAAAGUAUGUAAUUUUGUAUCGUGUACUUUUGGGCCUCAUGCCUUGGCCAUAAAAACGAUGUUUAUGUUGUGGUUUUUUCUUGUAUUUUCGUAACUCUAAGAUAAUGAAAUCGGUAUUUAUUUUAAAGUAUACGGGUUUCAAACUGAUAAGAAUUUGUCUGAGUUGACACAACAAUUGGGUGAAGUGAGGGUUGGCAAGCCUAAAUGGAUCCCAAAUGGGGAAAUGGGUAACCUUCAGUGGGCUAAGGGUCGGAAUGUGUUUAAAUAUGCAUUUUUAAUGAGUUCGUUUGUUCACCUUAGUAGAUAGGCCGAUUCUUAUUACACACCUAAAAACCAGACUCAUCAAAUAAUAGAUCCAACUACAUAUACUUAUGGUGGGCAUAUCUAUUGUCUGGAUUCAAGAUCUAGUUAGUUACUCUAGAUCUAGCAUUAAGCAUAAUUAAAGAUGAAGAAUUCUACAGAUAACCUAGCAAAGGGGGCAAUCUACUAAACUAUAUGAAUCCCUAAUGAGAAACCCUAUUCCUAACAAGCAGAUUACUCAGACAUAUUGAUUGAAGGAAACAACAUAAUUGAGUAUGAAAACAUAAACACGGCAAAUAGAUUUAAGGGAAAGAAGGGAUCUCUUCACUGUAUUAGGAACUGAAUCAAUCUCUGAAAACACUCGAUGAAUAGCUUAUGUCUCUCAGUAACAGGGUUUGCAAAAAGCUUGAUAAAAAACUUGAUAAUGAAAACUUAGGUCUAAACAAUGUAUAUACACCCUCUAAAAACGUCUAGGGACUAAUAAUGUAAAUAGAAAAGUUUUCUAGGGCAAAUUUCCUCUUCUGUAAACUUGAAAGCGUCUAGGACUUUGCUGGGCCGAAACUGGUGUCGAUCGACACUAGGAGUGUGUCGAUCGACACUCCUCUUGAUUCGUGAAACCAAAGUCGUCCUUACCUUACUUUUUCUUAGCUUUUGCUCCAAAAUGUCUCCUUAUCUCCAUUGUUGUCCCACUGCAUAGAAUACCUGAAAAGACACUAAAAAGACUCGAGAAAUAACAUAAAGACUCAAGAUCCUAUACCUAAAACAUAGAUAAAAUCAGUUAAAAUAAGGAUAUAUCAAUCACCACAAUCUACAUAUUCAAUUUAUAGGAAGUUCAACAUUUGUAGUAGGAUCCUCACUCUCACCUUCUUUAUCUUUCUCAUUUGACUUAUCUUGAUUCUCUAUUUCCAUGUUGUCCUCAGCUGGUUCAAAAGUACCCAAAUAUUCUUGCUCCACAUCCGUCUGGUCAUUCUGCUUUCUCUUUUUGGGACGAUCCAUUUACUUCACCUGAAAAGUUCAAUCAAACAUAAAUAAUGAAGAAGCCAGUCAUUAGCCAUUUAAAUAUCAUGAAGUAGAACAAGGUCAAUUUUCUCUCUCUACAAAGGCAAUUUAUUAGAGGUUAGGUCUCGGCCGAAAGGGCCUUUGCCUGGGAACUCGAAGUUUGUCCGACUGGUAGCCAGUUCCCACCUUUCCGUCCACACUGGUUCUCACACUUGUUCUCAUCCACAUGUGGAAGUCCGAUCUACUAUUGGGAAUCCCUCUUCGAUUGCUGUUUUUGAUUCUCUUCCGGUUGAGACGCUGGGAACCUCUUCCCCUAUUCCUAGAAUUGUUGAAUUUCCCUUUAGUGACGAAUCUUUAAAGACUCCUUUACUUGCCGUUAUCCCCUUCGACGACAAGCUCUCUUCGAUAAAACAUUAUGUUUCUGGCGAAAGCUCCUCCGAUUUGGCAACAAUGUCUGAGAACUCCUCCACUAUCGUCAGAGAGUCUGAUUUGGUCCCUAAUUCUCGUUUGGUCGAGGCAAAGGGCUAUUCCACCCUAUCACCUAACGUGGGGGCGUCAAUGCCUAUCGAUACCUCUGGCCUGAGCCACGCUGUACCUUCGUCCAUACCCUCUGAGCCUACCACAAUAUCUGAGAAUUCCUCUGCUGCGGUGGAUACAACUCUCCUGAAAAAUCCUGCUAACACUGGAUCAAGCUUUCCCACUAAUUUUGGUGCCACUGCCACUCCUCUUCCGGUUAACAAUCCUCCUCACACUUCCGCUACCCUUCCAUGGGCGAAGAAAUUUAAGGCCUCGUUGCUAAACCUUAAGCAAAUGUCCAGCCCAACCUUUCUCGAUGAUGGUACCCCUGUUGUUGUUGCGCCACCCUCUGUAUUACUGAAGACAGCAGAGAUGUGGAAAGGCCAUCUUAUAGCCCAAUUUUGGGGCCUUUGUCCACCGGAUUCAAAUAUCUUCAAUGAUCUUAAUCUUAUACGAUGAAUUUAUGGCGCCAUCACGGUUCGUAUUAUCUCGGAAACAGCUUCUUUGAUCUACAUCUCGUCUUUGGCAACGCGAGAAUGGGUAGUGGAUGUGGGGUCCUUGUACAGUGUACCCUUGGUAUCCAGAAGGCCCUCUAGAACUCGAAGAAUUACAAACGGCUCCUACUUGUACAAUUCUCAAGAACGACCUUCCGUAGUUGUGUUUACUUGAUGGAAUAAUUGUUAUAGCAACUGGAAUUGGCGAGCCCCUGCAUAGAGAGCCUUUCUUCACAUUUACUCGACCUCGUGGUCGAGUACCUCAGUCUAGGCCACUCGAUGACACCACUCGACCACGAGGUCGAGUAACACCUUGCCAUACCACUCGAUCAUCACACGAACUGUCACUCGAUCAUAACACUCGAUCACAACACUCGACCCCGAUCGAUUAGAUUCCUGGCCCAUCCCUUAUCGGUUUACUUUGUUUUGUAUAAAUAAGUCUUCAAGAAUUUUGUCCCAAAACAUUUAGGUUUUGCUUCACUUUUGAUUUCUAUUUACCUAGUUUAUUCUAUCAUUGCGCCGUUUGCUCUACACACUUGUAAUUCGAGAUUUUCCAUGUUAUUCGGAUUCUACAUUUGAUUUUGUUUAGCACCUAGUUUCUCUACUCUUUAUCUCUUUAUAUAUGCAGUCUACUUGUUUAUUGGCAAUUAUGUUUUUGAGCAUGUAAUCUGAAUAGUGACUUAGAAUUUUUAAGGAUAGGAUAGAAUGGUUGGUUGAUCUGUAGUCUAUAGGAUGGUUAAGUUUUAGAAUUGAUUGAAACCCUUCUGGAUUAGUUGUGUUUAAGGCUUAUUUCUCUCUGAUAAAUUGGAAUUCGAUCCAAAGCACUCCCGCACCCAGAAGGUGUUCGAUAAAUGCUUGAUCCACUAGAUCUAGAGGUUUUCGUCUCUAUCCCAAGGGAUUGGCCGUUUAGAGCGUUUAUUGACUGUAAUAGGUUGAAUCGUAUUGCCUGCAUAGUUAGAUUCUGUUAAUGGGAAUUAGUUUGUGCUAGCUUUGCUUGAGGGUUUCUAUCACGAUAGUGAAUUAAUAUGUUGUUGAACUUGUUAUGUAGGGAUAGCUUGAUUGCGCUUUGUUAACCAUAUGAGCAGGCUAAGGAGACCACUCCAUUUGAUUACCUCAUCCUUAAGAAUUUCUCGUCCAUUUGAUUUCUUUAUUUCAUUGCUAUUGUUUAACCAUUUUUUUUUGUGUUGCUUAGUUUUCACAUUUUCUACCUAUUAUUACCAACUUACUCGACCACACCCAAUGUGUGGCAGUAGAUUGUGCGGUCGAUUAUAGUUGUUAUAAUUUCUGUUUGUUAUUCGAACAGUUACUGGACCUGUCCCUGCUACUGGCUUCAACCAGUCGUGGUCGAGUGUUUUGUGUAAUUCUGUUAGAAUUUCUAUUUUCUACAUGUUCACUUAGGACUGCUAAAAACUCCAAAACCUGCUAUUGCUUGGCUUGACUUAGUGGCUUCCGAUCACAUCUCAUCUGUUUGCAUCACACCUAAAGUGGAUUUACACCUAAAAUACUACAACGACACGAUAGUGUUUAAGGAUUAAUUGAUCUUAAAAACCUAUUAUCAAUUUUGUGUCGUUGCCAUUUGGGUGCUUGUUUGCUAUAUUGGAGAUUUCAGAAUAUUUAAGAUCCAGUUCUUUUUCGUUUUUAUUCAACGUUACUAACUCUGUGUUUUUUUGUUUGUCUGAUUUGAUCCAGGUUUUGCGAAUCACUAGCUUUACUCAACUUCCUCUGGACCGUGCUAACGUAUGGUUGUUGCUCAGUGCAUGCAAACUCGAUCGCAAGGGCAUCAGAACCUCCUUUUUAACGAUAACAUGAACCGUAUUGCUCUUGAAUUAAGGGAACAAUUAAACACAAACGCUAUGGCUGAUGACCAGAACCCAGAAUUACCAACCAACAUUGGUGCAGGCGAUGCACCAUGCAACCACAAUCACCGUAAUGGCAUGGUUCAUGGCAACAAGUUUCACGACCUCCCAUGAAGGAUCCACUCGACCACCUAGACGAGUUUGAUAGGCUCUGCAGCCUAACAAAGAUCAAUGGAGGCAAUGAGGAUGGCUUCAAGCUUAGAUUGUUUCCAUUUUCUCUAGGAGACAAAGCUCAUCAGUGGGAAAAGUCGAUUCCUCAAGGCUCAAAUGAUUGCAAGAAAGCCUUCUUUGCUAAAUUCUUCUCAAACUCAAGGACUACAAGACUCCGGUAUGAGAUUUUUGGUUUCACCCAGAAAAAUGCUGAGACUUUCUGUGAAGCAUGGGAGCGCUUCAAGGGAUAUCAGACGCAACGUCCUCAUCAUGGUUUCUCUAAGGCAUCACACCUAAGUACUCUCUACAGAGGCGUUCUUCCUAAGAUCAGGAUGCUCCUUGAUACAACAUCCAACGGAAAUUUCCUGAACAAAGGCGUUCUUCCUAAGAUCAGGAUGCUCCUUGAGAACUUAGCUUAGUCUGAUGGCAACUAUAAUGAAGCACCGCAUGGAUAUGAAAGCUAGAAAUGACAAGCUGGAUAAGCUAAUCAUUGUGCAAUAGAAGCAAGUCCAUUUUCUCAGUGAAGAUGAGACAUUUCAAGUCCAGGAUGGGGAGACUCUCCAAUAAGAAGAAGUUAGUUAUGUGCAAAAUCAGGGAGGCUACAACAAAGGUUUCAACAACUUCAAGUAGAACAAUCCUAAUAUGUUUUACAGAAGUAGCAAUGUUGCAAACUCGCAGGAACAAGUCUACCCUCCAUAGCAGCGAAUCAACCCAAACCAUUUGUUCCAUACAACUAGGGUCAAGGGUUUAUUCCUAAGGAACUAUAACAGGGAAGCUAUCAACCGCAACUUCCACCACCUGGGCUCACAAAGCAGCAACAACAACAUGCUUCCACAAUUCGAGACUCAGACUUGAAGAACAUGCUCUAGCAGAUUUUCCAAGGACAAGCAACAUGAGCAAUGGAUUUGGCCAAAAAGAUGGCCAAAAUACACAACAAGGUUGAUUGCACUUUGAAUGAUCUCAACAUCAAGAUUGAAGCACUAACGUCUAAGGUCAGAUACAUGGAAGGCCAAACUGGGUCGACCUGUGCUCCCAAAGUUACAGGACUUCCAAGGAAGUCAAUACAAACCCUAAAGAGUAUGCGAUCGUUCACGCCAUCACUAUCUGCCAAGAUCGAGAGCUACCCAUUCGUCAUGCCUCUAACUCAAUCACUGAGGAAAACGAAGCUCAGGAAGGGCAGGUUUCUAAUCGGAUUGAAGUCUUAGUUAUUGAACUUGACCAUUCAGCUGGAUCUCGCCAUCAAAUUCUGUCUACCUUAGAAGAGAAAGUAGCCAUCAUUGAGAGAAUGGUAAAACGAUCCAAGCCAACUCCAUUACCUCCACUUGUUCUUCCAAGGAAGUUCAGGAAAGCUUGGAUAGAGAAGUAUGAAUCUCUUGUAUAGGAACAACUCAAUGGGAUCAAAGCAGUGAUGUCAUUAAUAUAAGUUUUCGAGCUGAUUCAAUACCCUCACAAAGACGUGAGAAAUUUAAUACUAGAAAGGAUCAAGAGGUAUCACGAUUCAGAUGAUGAAUAUGAUGCCACUCUGUUUCAAGCUGCUCGUGAAAAAAUUGUUCAAGAAAAGUUGGAAGAUUCUGGAUCCUUCACUCUGCCAUGCUCUAUCAUGCAUUUAGCUUUCAACAAUUAUCUAUGUGAUCUUGGAGUUUCAGUCAGCUUAAUGCCACUCUCUAUGGUAAAGAAGCUUGGAUUCCUUCAGUAUAUGCCUUGUGACAUAACCUUGAUUUGCUGAUAGGAGUUCAAGGAGACCUUGACACACUAAGUCAAAUUCAAGGAGGAGAUUAACCUCGACUCAACUUUGAUGUCCCUUCAGUUUGGUUUGAAGUAGACUAUCUACCAGAUGAGGAAGCAGCCUACUUAGAGGAAAAAUGAAUUGAGGACUCAGUUGCGCAGCUAUCAAUGGAGGAUACUGAGAAUGAUGAUAAGCUCGAUGAAGAAAAGGACUUCUUAAGUCCUUUCUGUCACACUUUCCCUGCCUAAUAAGUGUGAGUACUCAAGCUAGAGAUUUAAAACAAACUCACUUGGGAGGAAAUCCUAUGUCUAUCAAUGUAUAUAUCUUUUAUUUUUUCCUUGUUGUCUUUGAUGCAUUUUGUUAGUAUUUUCAGGAGAUAAGUAUAAAGAGUUAAGUGAAGUGGGUUUUACCUCUGAGUGUGCAACAGAACACUCGACCACAUCCUGCAAGGAGCAAGUGUAUCUGUGUAAUCGAGUAUAAAGAGGGUUUCACUCUCAAGAUUUUGAAGUUUCAACAUGUCACUUUAUCACCCGAAGCCACAUGCUAAUGAGGAAAUGUGGUCGAGUAUAUGUGAUGAUUUUGGACCUAAUGUUUUUAAAAAUCAUCACUAUACUUGACCAACAGAAGCCAUAUGGUGACUAGAGGAUGAAUUUGAGUAUGAUGUUGUUUUGAUCCAAAAAUUCAACAUUAUACUCGACCAACAAAAUCUAUAGAGACUUACAGAGGCUUAAUCAAGUUUACAGGGGAUUGCGGAAUGUUCUGAGACUUUUCUAGUCAACAGGGAACCGUGUUUAAAGACAAGAAAACAGACGUGGGGUUCACCACCAAAACUUAAUGUUCCCCAUGCCUCCCACCAAAAGAUAAGAAAUCCAUCUCUUUUGCUUCUCCACCAGAUGUCAGACGGGCCGCCCUGCGCCCAAACGGGCCGGCCUGCGCCCAAACGGGCCAUCCGCAAUGUGCCCGAUUCUCUUCUGAUUCGCGACGGACCUGCCGGCCGACGACCGCGGUCUUGAAAAACGAGCCCUAACCCGCCCCGCAAAGCCCAGCGGUUAGACAGGCCGGCCCGCAGGCAUAUAUGAAAAAGGGAGUCAAAUAUAUGCCAAGAGAAUUGUCACCUUGACAUCUAUGGAAAGAAAAUUGUCAAAACAUAUAGUUAGGGCCAUCACAAUUCUCUGCGUUUACAUGUCCAACUUCAUUUGAACCACGAGCAUUUUGAUCUAUACUUAAAAGGCAGCAUGUGUUAAAACAUUGUACAGACCACAAUAGUUAACUAGAUGUCAACUCCAAGACAAAUUCACGUUUGUGUUACUGGUAAAAAUAAAAUGCCUCGAAUACUGAUGAUAAAAAUAUUUCAACUUCAUCACUUGGUUGGUAUAAAACUAGCCACAUACCAGGUUCAUGUGAGUUCUCUGUGAUUUCUUCUAUAUGAUAGUAGGUUUUUACGGUCAAUUAAUCCUAAAAUACUAUCCUGUCGUUGUAGUAUUUUAGGUGUCAAUCCAAAAGGGUGUGAUGCAGACAGAUGAGAUAUGAUCAGAAGUUGUUAAAUCAAGCCAAGCAGAAUUUGAUUGGUUAUCUAACAGUCCUAGUGUUGAUGCAAAAAACAGUAAAAAGUCACAGAAAUGACUGAUAUACUCGAUUGCAGGGUCAACUGCCAGAAGGGACCCUGUUAGAGGUGUCAGACGGGCCGGCCCGCGCCCAUCUUGCCCGCCCCGCAGUGGGCUUUCUUUUUCCGGCCGCGGCGGUCGGCCCGUUUAGGACCGCGGGCAAAAAUAUCAGUGUCCAAGCCCGGCCUGCAAAGCCAGCGGAUAUACGGGUCUGCCCGCGGGCAUUUCUAUUCACUUGUUUAAAAGAUGAAUCAUUGAAUACAAUAAUGUCUAAAGAAUUUUGAUUCAAACCUUUUAUUCAUGUAUAACAAUGUACAAACUAAUAUGGUACAAUGCCUUUUAUGAGUUACCUUUUACAAGUUCUGAAUUGUGAAUCAUUGAUUAAAACAUCUAGUUACAUACUUACAUUUGACAUCUCCUUUAACUCAAACGAUGACAUUUAUUUAAACUGAAACCAAACAUAAGUACUUAAACAUAGCUACAGUUAACUGAAACACUUUUUCAUUUACUUAAACUGAAACCAAACAUAAGUACUUAAGUAUAUAAGACUGAAACAAAACAUAACUACAUAACCAACUAAACAAAAAUACUGAAGUGAAACUAAACUAAUGCUAAAAAGAGAACCUGCAACUCAUAUUCAAAUCUGAAAUUCAAACUCAAUACGUAGAACAAAUAUCAAUCCUCAAACCAAACAUAAGUACAUAACUAGCUAAACUCAAUUCAAAACUGAAACUAAACUCAAGCUAAGAAUAGAACGUGCAACUCAUAUUUAAAUCAAAACUGAAUGCAAACUCAAUUAAAGACAUAAGUGAAACAGAACCAAACUGAAACAUAAAUUUUAAACAUAAGUCUGAAUAAAAGAACUUAAGUCGAAGAGAAAAACCUACAACAUCUCAAAGACAAACAGAAAUCUGAAGUAAAGUUUCAAACUCUAACAGAACCUUAACUUAAACUCAAAUCCAAAUAUCCCAAAAGGAACAAUGUCGUGUCUCAUCUUGCAACUCAUUUGUAAACCUUAAUCUGAAUUUAAACUCAUAUUCAAAUCUUAAAAUCAAUGUAGACUUAAUGAAAGAUACGUAGAACAAAGGAUCAUAAAAACAGAACCAAACUAAAACAAAAGUCAAGACUGAAACAUAAUUGUAACAAGUUAAACUCAAAUGUGAAACAGAAAAUGAACUUAACAAAAUAAAUAAAAAGUAUAUAGAGGGAUAGUCAUGGGACUUCCUCCCAAGUGAGCUUGUUUAGAGUCUCUAGCUUGACUCCUCACACUAAUCAAGUGGAGAAAAUGUGACAGAGGGAACUUGAGAAGUCCUCCUCUUCACUGAUAUCAUCAUCAUACUCAGCAUCCUCCCUUGACAGUUGCACAGCUGAGUACUCAAUUCUUCUUUCCUCAUAGUAGGCUGCUUCCUCCUUUGGAGGAUAGUCUUUCUCUUCUGACCAAUCUCAGGUGAUCUCCUUUCUUGAAAUCGUGUCAUGGUUGAGCUGGGGCUGAACCUCCUUUUGCAUUCGACUUAGUUUGUCUCUAAGCUUUUCAACAGUGUAGCUCAGCUUCUGAAUAGUUCUGUUCUGCAGAUCAGUCUUCCUUUUGAGUUCCAGCCAAUCAAGUGAGGAGGGUAUACUCGAUCAAGUAGUCGAGUUCGAUGGCGGAGUUUGAACCAAAAUUUGCUCCUUCGCUCUUUUGAUCUCAAGGCCUUCACUUGGAACCGCUCUCUGGACCUCUAAGGUUUUUCCUUCUAUUGGUGGCCUUGUCGGAAAUUUGUUGAUGUCAAACUGUAACUUGACAUGCCUCCCAAGGUUGAGAUCAAUCUUACCAUAUCUAACAUCUAUUAUUGCUCCCACUGAGGCUAAGAAAGGUCUUCCUAAGAUCAGUGGAUCCUUAGACUCUUCAUCCAUUUCAAGCACGACAAAAUCAGUGGGUACCUCAACUCCAUCUAUCAUUACUGGCACGUUCUCUAGAAUGCUGAAAGGUCUCCUUGAAGUUCUAUCAGCAAGGAUCAAGGUGAUGUCACAUGGAUUGUACUGAACGAAUCCCAGCUUCCUUGCCACAGAGAGUGGAAUUAAACUGACUGAGGCUCCUAGAUCACAUAGACAAUUGUUGAAAGUCAAUUGCCUAAUGGAACAUGGCAGAGUGAAAGAUCCAGGAUCUUCCAGCUUCUCUUGAAUAAUCCUCUCACCAGCGGCUUGAUGCAUAAUGACAUCGUCUUCGUCAUCUGAAUCCUGAUAUAUGUUGAGCCUUUCCAGUAUCAGGUUUCUCACAUCUUUGUGAGGGUCUGAAAUCAACUUGAGGACUUCUACUAAGGGCAUCACAACUUCCAUCUCAUCAAGUUGUUUUUCUGCUAGAGAUUCAUAUCUGCUUUUCCAAGCUUUCCUCAACGUCCAUGGAAGAGCAAGUGAGGGUGAUGGAGCUGGCUUGAAUCGUUUUACCAUCCUCUCGAUUAUAGCAGUCUUCUCCUCCAAGUCAGACUGAGCCUGAUAGAAAGAUUGAGAUGAAUAGUCGAUCUCAGCAACAGAGACUUCAAUCUAAGUGGAAGCCUCCCCUUCUUGAAUUACACUGUCCUCAGUGUUUGAUGUAGAGACAUGUUGAGUUGGCAGCUUUCGCUCAUGUCUGAUAGUGAUUGCGUGUGCAGUGGCGUACUCCUUAGGGUUUUUGAUUGCUUUUCCUGGAAGCUGGCCUGGGUUGUUUGUAACAGGUGGUGAAGUAGUGAUGCCGUCCAGAUACCGUACCCUUGUGUUCAAUGAUUCCAACCUGCUACUCAGUUCAUUGAACUGUCUGUCAACUUUGUUGUUUAAGUCAGCUAGCUUCUUAGCAGAUUCCAUUACCCCUGCGGCUUGACCUUGCAUGAUCUGUUGGAGCAUAUUCUUGAUGUCUGAUUCCUGGGGUGUAGAGGGCUGAUGUUGUUGUGGUGUGAAACCAGGUGGUGGCUGUUGCUGUUGAUACCCUCCUUGGAACUGUUGCUUAGGAACGAACCCUUGACUUUGGUUGUAAGUAACAAACGGUUUGGGUUGGUUCUGCUGCAGCUGCUGUUGAGGGUAAACUUGGUCCUGAGGAUUGGCGACAUUUGUGCUUCUGUAUGACAGAUUUGGGUUGGGUCUGUAAUUGUUGUACCCUUUGUUGUAGCCGCCUUGGUUCUGAACAUAACUGAUUUCAGCGCCCUGAUCAUUCUCCCCCUCUUGGAUUUGGAAUUCUUCGUCUUCAGAGGCGAAGUGAACAUGCUUCUGCUGCACUUUGAGGAGUUUGUCAAUUUUGUCAUGGAGAGCUUUAAUCUCUCGGCGGUGCUUGUCAUCAGAUUCAGUACUGGUGCGGAUGCUUCUGUCAUAAUCCUCGUUGUAAUUGCAAUCCGACUGAGCCAAGUUUUCAACUAGCUCCCAUCCGUCUUCGACAUCCUUGUUCAGGAAAUUCCCAUUGGAGGCGGUGUCAAGGAGCAUGCGUAUCUUAGGCAGGACGCCUCUGUAAAGUGUGCUGAGAAGAGAUGCUUCCUUAAAUCCGUGAUGGGGGCAUUUGGUUUGAUAACCCUUAAACCGCUCCCAAGCUUCACAGAAGCUUUCAUUUUGCUUCUGAGUGAAUCCGGAUAUCUCGUUCCAGAGUCUUGCAGUCCUGAAGUUGGAGAAGAAUUUUGCCAAGAAGGUCCUUUUGCAGUCAUCCCAGGUCGUGAUUGAUCCCUGGGGUAGCGUCUUUUCCCACAUAUGGGCUUUAUCUCCAAGUGAAAAUGGAAACAAGCGAAGCUUGAAACCAUCUUCACUAACUCCAUUGAUUUUAGUAAGGCCACAGAGCCUUUCAAACUCGUCAAGAUGAUCUAGCGGAUCCUCCAUUGGCAGGCCAUGAAACUUGUUCCCCUGAACCAUUGCAAUGAGACCGCUUUUGAUCUCAAAGUUGUUGUUCUGUAUUGGAGAUGGAACAAUUCCAUGACGCUGGUUGUGGUUGUGAGGGAAGUCACCAGCACCAAUGUUGGUAGGUUGCUCUUGCUCAUCUACAACGUCAGCCAUUGUGUCGGUUUCUGUCUGUUCUCUUAGUUGGCGAGCAAUACGGUAGAUGUUAUCGUUGAAUAGGAGAUUCUGAUUUCCUUGUGACCGUGUAUGCAUGCAACAGAUAGCAGCCGGGCUAUAACAGACGAAUCAGAGAUGCGUCUGGAAAGCGGGUUGCAAGGUACCUGAAACACAAAGACAGAAAAGGCACAAUGUUAGUAACUUGUGUAACAAAAACGAACCUGAUCUUAAUGUUUCUAAUGAUCUCAAAUAUAGCAAACAAACAUCAAACUGGCAACGGCGCGAAAUUGAUAGUAGGAUUUUUGUCAAUUAAUCCCUAAAACAUUAUCUUGUCGUUGUAGUAUUUUAGGAUGUCAAUCUAAUCCGGUGUGAUGCAAAAAGAUGAGAUAUGAUCAGAAAGCUCUAAGUCAAGCCAAGCAGAUGGUUGGUUGGUUCUAACAGUCCUAGUAUGCAAUAACAGAAAUGAAAUGAAACUAAAAGCAGGAAUGGCAAUAGCAGGCAAGUGAAUGACAAAGCAGAAAUGAUAACAGGCAAUCAAAUGGAUAAACGAUUCAUAAGGAUGGGGUAAUCGAAUAGUAUGGUCUAAUUAAUCUAUUCAGGCGGUUGACAAAACUUCACAGAAGCUAUCCCUAGACAACAAGUUCAACAACAGAUUAAUUCACUCCCGUGAUAGAAAUCCUCAAGCAAAGCUAAACACUGACCUAAAUCCCUUUAGCGAUCUCUAACUAAGCAGGCAUUAUCGAAUCAACAUGUUAAAGUCAAUACCCUCUCUAAAGCCAAUCCCUUGGGGUAGAGUCAGAUAUCUCUGGAAUUAAUAGGAUCCAACGCCCAUUAAACGUCUUCUAAGCGCUGGACGUCUGGACUCAUACUCCACAUUAGCCAGUGAAAUAAGCAAUAAGCGCAACUAAUCCAGAAGGGAUUCUAGUUUUCUAAACUCAACCACCUAAAACGACCAAGUAAACCACAACUAUUCUAUCCCAUCCUCAGAAAUACAGUUCACUACUCAGACAUAAUCAAAGACAAUAACAAAGCAACAAUUGAAAACAUGAUAACAGAAAUGACGAAAGACUUAAACGAAAACUGAAUAUCAAAUACUUGAAAACGAAACUACAAAGUCGCAGAAAAAACACUGCAGCUAUCAAAGUUGCGAAAAUGUAAAAGCGAGAUAAAAACGGAUAAUAGCGGAUAAUAGCCGACGCCCUAGGGAAAACCCUAAGAGGCAGUUUAUAUAAGCGAGAAAUAAAACAAAUAAGGAAACUAAAUAUAUAGCGAAUCUUCACGUCAUGAUCCUGCGACCGAAUAUGUCAUUGGCAUCUAACGGGCAGAAAUGAGCUUCCUAGUGAUCGAAUAUGUCAUUGAUCAAACUGGGCUUCAGGGGCUCCGUCUUGCGAAAUGUAGUGAAGUCGAGAUUGAAUGGUCCAACGACCUUGUGAUCGAGUGCGAUCGAGUGGAUGUCAUGAGGGUGUGAUCGAGUGGUUUCUUCGGCUUCUCUUCUCUUCUUUGUUCUCAGCUUGUCUGGUUGAGUGCAGAAUGAGCAGAUAGGCUUCCUGGUGAUAGAGUGGUGAUCGAGUGGUUCUGAUGGGGUGAUUCCUCCGGCUUCGCGAUUGAGUGAAACUGAGCUGCUUGCUUCUCCGGGGUUGCGAUAGAGUGAUUUGCCCUGGCAGGGCUCCGAGGCUGCGGAUAGAGUACUUUUUUCUGAAGGCGUCAUUGGGCAUUCUGACUUCAUGUUCUGUAUAAUUAACUUAAUUAAUACUAAGUAUAAUUAACUAACCUCCUAAUUAACUUAAUUAAUAUGCGGAUAAACUCGGACGAUCUUAUCCAUACGGAAUAGAUAGGCAUGAACGAACUUAUCCAUAUUCGUUCCUAUCUACUUCUCGUAGAACCGUAACCAUGACGGGUUCACCCAACGCAUCAACACAUUAAUCUCAGUCACCCAAGUCUCCGUUCCACUCGACUCACCCAUCCGGUUCCCCGACCACUUGCUCAUGAAUAUCUCCAAAACUGCCAGACCGUUGGUCCGACAAACAAUACUCUUCCCAUAAGGACUUUUUCCGACCGUUCCGAUUGUACGGCUUGCUAAAUCAUCGAGUAAAAUUCCUCGGCCUAGUCCUAGUCCUGGCCAGGGGUAUUACAAUAUCUAUCCCGACCUUUGAAAUCAUAUAGCCGCUUAUAGAAUACUUUCUCCUCAGGCUAUGACAAAGAAAAAGGUGCAGGUGGAAGAUAGAUUAUUUUACCUCUUUUAAUAGGAUGUAAAUCUUUUCUAACGCAAAAAAGUUGUAAAUCUUUGCGAGUCUUUAACCCAUUCUUUGGUUUCCCACAGUGCAACAAUGCUUGCACACACAAUUCUCUUAACAUGUAUGACAUUGAAACUGUGUUUAACUGCCAGAUCUUGAAAAAUAAAAUAAAAGUAAAUAUAGAUAAAUGCUAAACUUUGUAAGCAUCCCAGUUACAACAAUACUAUUCAAAGAGAUCACUAUAGAAACAUUCAAUAAGGCAACUUGAAAAAGAUAGACCUUUUCUUCAACCUUGAUGGUCUUCCUCGUCGUUUUCUUCCUCUUCCUCUUCCUCUUCAUCUCAUUCACUUUCUUCACUUUCAUCACAUGAGGCUGUCUCAAUUACAGUUUCAGUCCUAGCUCUCUUCUUCUCUGUCUCUUUCCUAUUCCCAAAAUCAAUUUUGAAUUUUUUUUAAGAGGACAUAUAUAUUAUGACUAGUUAAUAUUUUAACCUUACUCUCAUGUUCAAAUUUUCAAUCAAACCAUGUUUUCUUCCCCUGAUAACUGUGAUUUGGUGGUAGACCAUUGCGAUGACACAUAUCAACAUGCUUUCUACCUUUACAUAAUCACAUAUUGUCAAUUUUUCCUACGUAAAGGACAACCCAUCUUACCUUUUACUUUGCAUACUACAAGAUUUCCAUAUAGAGGGAAAUCAUUGAUAGUCCAUAGGAGCAUUGCUUUAGGGUUGAAAGUACUCUUACUGUAGGCAUCAUAUGUUAACUUUCCGUUGCUCCACAACUGGAUAAGAUCCUCUUUCAGGGGUUAUAACUAAAUAUCAAUGAUAUUACCAGGUUAAUGCAGCCAGAAAUCAACAAGGUAAGCAUUAGCAGCAUUAUGUUUUCUUUUUUCAUACACAGGUCUCGAGUAAUAUUAUAAUUAACUAGUUAUAUGUUCUUUUUUAAUGCAGCAAAAGUAGGGUAUUUGGCAUUUACUUGCUUCCGAGUCACAUAAUCUACAGGGUGAAAAAAAUUUCCGUCUUAUUACUAAAAUGGCACCUUAGGUCAUUGGCUUGUUGCUCAGACCUAAACAUUCUCUUUAGACGUGGUAUAAUUGGAAAGUACCUUAGAAUUUUUCUGUGAAACAUUUUUCUUUAUUUGACCAGUGUGCAUGUUUAUCUUCCAUCUUCUAUCUAGAAGCUAUGCAUUUAGGACAUGCGUCAAGCUUCUUCAGCCUUUUCAUGAAUAGAUAAUGAUUAUUAAUAAAAGCAUGAAUAUCUUUUAAUAACCUAUAUCAAAAGAUUUCAGGAACUUCUUCACAUCAUACAUUGAUGUAUAUAGAACAUUAUCUUCUAGUAAAAUGUUUGGUAAAGUCUCCUGAAGAUCAUUGAAGCUUUUGUCUGACCACCCAUUUUGUGUCUUUAUUUUAUACAGUGACACAAUUGUAGAAAGCUUGCUAUGGUUUGCACAACUUGGGUAUAAAGGAGUUUCACAUUGAUAAGUCUGCAUUUUACUUGUCUUAGGCAUCCAUUUCCCAUCACUUUAGCAUCCUAUCACCACUGUUUCAUACCAUUUCGCAACAUUUGUCAUCACAUUGCAUGUUAAGGAUAGUUUUGCAUGCAUAUUACAUAUUUGUGUUGUUUUCAGGUGAAUUGGAGCUGAUGGUGAACUAAUUGGAAGAAGUGGACCUGAACCGAUCAACAUACUCGACCAUGAGCUCGAGUAGUGUCAUCAUGGACUUUUUGAAGUACUCGCCACAACCUCUACAGCUGAUCACUCGACCACGACACUCUAUCCACCACUCGACCCUUAGGUCGAGUAGAAGACUCACCACUUCUCACAACCACUCGACCCCGAGGUCGAGUAGCAGCCAUCACCAUUUCUCACCAUCACUCGAUCCAGUGGCCGAGCAUCACCAUCAUCAAUCACUCGAUCGCACACUCGACCUCGUGGUCGAGUCCCCUCAUCAUCACUCACUCGAUCCAUCACUCUGCCACCAAGUUGAGUUCCACCAUCAUCCACCACUCGACAUCAUACUCGACUGCCAGCUUCAGAGUCUUCUUGAUUCCGCAAUCAACAAGACACUCGAGCAUAAGGAAGAGAUGAAGACUUUGGCUCGUCACUCGACCCACUACUUGAUCACCUGGGUCGAGUACCAUUCUUAAUCUGUUCCAAUACUGUGUCGUUUUGAGUAUUAGGGUUUCAGAAUAUUUUGCUAUAAGUAGCAUGUACUUUAUUUUUUCAAAAACAAGUUUUUAUUCCGCACACAGUUUGUGUGUUAUUUGCUUUUGUAAUCCGAAUUUCUUUUAAUCUAUUCAGUAUUCGCUUUUUGUUUAUUUUACUAAGUUGUUCAUCCUGUUAUCAUCAUGUUAUUACUCUUUUGCUAUGAUGUUUUCAUUCAUGUCAUCAUUUAUGGUCUCUAUAAUGAUGUCUGAGUAGUGACUAGGUUUCUGAGGAUGGGUUAUAGUAGUUUAGAAUCCUCGGUCUGUUAGGUGGUUGAGUUUGAUUUACAGAUCCCUUCUGGAUUAGUUGUUCUUAAUGCAUAUUGCUUUCUGAUCAACUGGAAUUUGAGCCCAGAUAUUUCUGCACCCAAAAGGUAUUCGACGAAAUGUUUGAACCACUAAUUCCAGAGAUUUGUGGCUCUGUACCAAGGUAUUGGUUACAGGGAGCGUUUUGGCUUUAACUUGAUGAUUCCUAAUGCCUCUUAGGUUAGCUCUCGUCAAUGGUGAUUGAGUCUCAGACUAGUUUAACUUGAGGGAGUCUGUUGCGGUGGCACUUAGAUUUGGUUAUCGAACUUAUUAUCUAGGGAUAGUUUAUUGAUCAUCUCAAUCACUUCUAGAUUGAGGAAACUAACUACUCGAUUACCCCAUCCUCGGGAAUUUCUUAUCCAAUUGAUUUAUUUGCUUACACUGCUAUUGUUCUCUUGUUCUUAUUACUCGUUGCUUAGUUUUUGCAUUUCAUACUUGUUAUCACUCAUAUACCCGAUCACACCCAGUUGUCUAGUAAGAGAUUGUGCAGUCGAGUAUCUUUGUUACAGUUUCUGCUUGUUACUCGACCUGUCACUCAACCACACCUAGUGCUUGGCAACAAGCAGUGUUGGUCGAGUGUUUUCUUUAUCCUACUAGAUUUUCUGUUUCCUGCAUGUUCACUUAGGAGUACUAGAAACUCAAAAACCUGUUAUUGCUUGGCUUGACUCUGUGACCUCUGAUGGCAUCUUGAUUGUUAGCAUCACACCCAUUUGGAUUGACAACCUUCAGUAGUACAACAACAUGAUAGUGUUUUAGGAUUAAUUGAUGUUAAAAACCUAUUAUCAAACAUCAUCUAGCUUUGCAAGGAACUCAUCUUCCAUCUUGUCCUCUACCUCACCAUCAAGGUUUAUGAGUUUGUAAUCCAUUUUCUUGCUAUUUUGUUACGAAUUUGAGUUUGAUUUUUUCUGUAGAGUUGUUUAUCUUGCUUAGAUCUACAUCAUACUCAGUUUACAAUGAUUUCUGGGUUUUGUCCUUUUUCUAAAUUUUGUAUGAUGAUGUUCUUGAGUGUUCUUGAGUAGUGUUCUCUAGAGUUCUUGAAUAUGGGUUAGGUUUAGGUGGACUCCUCUGUUUAUUUAGUUAGCUAAGGUUAUAAUUGCAUGAUUCCCUUCACGAUUAGGAGUUCUUAGUGUUAUUUCCUUUCUGAUCAACUGGAGAUUGAUUUUAGACUUUUCACGCCCAAAAGGUGUUUGAUGAAAUGUGUGAACCAACUUAUUCCAGAGAUUUGCAUACUCUACCCCAAGAGAUUGGAUGUUUAGAAUGCUUAUUGACUUUAAUAGAUUGUUGCUUAAUGUUUGCUUUGUUAUGUUUCAUCAAUGAGAAUUGUGAUUAGGAAGUGGUAAAGUUAUGAGGAUCAUUGUCACGAGAGUGGAUUGAUCUGGGUUAAUCUAUUGUCUAGGGAUAGCUUGAUUGAGUUUGUUAGUUAGCUGAACCAAUUACUCCAUUCUAAAGAGCUACGUUUUGAUUAGAUUGAUUUAAACUUCGUGCUAUUACUCUUUGCUUGUUGUGUUUAGUUAUCUUGCUCGACUUAUUUACUUGACCAAAUUUAGUAUUAUGCUCGGCCGAGUGCCUUACUUUCUGUUUAAUAUAGUUUCAUUUUGAAUCUGAUUUGCAUGAUAACAUGUUGCUUGGUUUAGUGGAAAUAAACCAAACCUAUUCACACUUGGCUUGACUUAGUAUUCUCUCAUUGCAUCAUGAUUGUUAGCGAGACACUCAUUUGGAUUGACACCUUAAAUACUACAAUGACAUGAUAGUAUAAAGGAAUUGAUCUUUUGGAAACACAGUAAAAACCAGACUAUCAAUUUGACGUUAUUGCCAUAUGGGUGUUUACUUGUUACAUUUAGGAUUUCUGAGUUAUUAAGAUCAAGUUCUAUUUCAUCUUUCUCGAAACUCACUUCUCUUUUCAUUUGCUUGUUUUUAUCUUGUAAGUACUGUCAUACUCCACUAGCACUUCGAGUGUAAGGAUCGAGGAACUUCACCCAAUGUAUGCAAACUCCAUUCUUAAGGUUUUGACAAUCUUCUGCGGUAUAGAGACAACAUCGACAUGAUUCAGCGUAACUGAGAGAACAACAAGCCACAUCAGAUCUGGUUGUGAUGGCGACUGAAGACAAUACUAAUGAGUUGCCAGGCAACAUUGGUGUAGGAGAUGCACCCAUAAACCAUCAUCGAAGAGCUGAUAUUGUCCCACCUCCUAUUCAGAUUAACGACUUUGAAAUUAAGAGUGGUCUGAUGUCCAUGAUACAAGGUAACAAGUUUCAUGGUCUGCCUAUAGAGGACCCAUAAGAUCAUCUUGAAAGCUUUGAUAUAGUGUGUAGUUUAAUCAAGAUCAAUGGGUUCGUGAAGACAGCUUCAAGCUCAAGCUAUUCCCUUUCUCACUUGGAGAUAAAGCUCAUGUUUGGGAAAAGACUUUGCAUGUUGAAUCCAUAUGCACAUGGGAUGACUGUUAGAAAGUUUUCCUAGCUAAGUUCUUCUCUAACUCAAAAACAGUUAGAUUGAGGAAUGAGAUCUCGGGUUUCACACAGAAGCAAUCUGAAUCCUUCUCUGAAGUAUGGGAACACUACAAGGGAUACACUACUCAAUGCCCUCAUACUUCACCUAUUCGAAACAUGACGGCUAUGCUUCAACAAAACCUAAAAAGUCAAACUACUAGUUCUUUGGUCUUGGAAAAACAUAUUAUUGAGAUAAACACUGAUUAGGUUCAAAUUACCCUAAGAACUAUUAUCUCAAAUAUUUAAGGAUCGAAUUUCACAAAGUUUUUUUGUUCACACAAUGAAUUAAAUAUCGAGAUUAAGCUAGUAGGGAAUGAUUGAAAAUAAAGGAGAACAAAGUAAAAAGACAGCAGAUUAAUUGGUUGUAAACGAUUAAAUAAAGAGUUAGGAACAUGGUAUUCUCAGGAAACUAUUGGUUAGUAGAUCUAAUGAAAGCUAGGUUGUUAUCGAACCAUUCUUAAACUCAAACUCUAAUUAUGCAAUAACCGGUGGUGUUCCGCCAAACUCCCUAUGCUUAUAGCUAAGAAUAACCGGAGAAGCCGAGAGAUCUUUAACCUAAACAUGCAUUCUAAACGAGUUCAAUUGUUCACCUUACUAGAUAGACCGAUUCUUAUUACACACCUAUAAACCAGGUUAAUCAAAUAAUAAAUCCAAUUACAGAUACCUAUGGUGGGCAUAUCUAUUGUCUGGCUUCAAGAUCUAGUUAAUUUCUGUAGAUCUACCAUUAAGUAUAAUCAAAGAUGAAGAAUUCUACAGAUAACCUAGAAAAGGAGGCAAUAUACUAAACCAUAUGAAUCCCCAAUGAGAAACCCUAUUCCUAACAAGCAAACUACUCAGACAUAUUGAAUGAAACAAACAACAUAAUUGAGUAACAAAGUAUAAACACAGCAAAUAAGAUAAGAGUAAGAAAGGAUCUCUUCACUCUAUUGAAAACUGAAUAAAUCUCUGAAAUAUUGAAAACUGAAUGAAUCUCUGAAAACAAAUGAUGAAUAGCUUAUGUCUCUGAAGAUAGGGAUUGCAAAGAACUUGAUAAAAGGAACUUAGGUCUAAACAACGACCUCUAAAACUAUAUAUAAAUCCUAUAAAACGUCCAUGGACUAAUAAUGCAAAUAGGGAAGUCUUUUGGGGCAAAUUUCCACUUUUGUAAACUUGAAAGCAUAAUGGACUUUGCUAGGCCGAAACUGGUGUCGAUCGUCACCAGAAGUGUGUUGAUCGACACUCUGCCUGAAUCUGGAAUCCGAAAUCGUCAUUAGCUUCCUUUUCCUUAACUUUUGCUCCAAAAUGUCUCCUCAUCUCCAUUGUCGUCCCACUGCAUAGAAUACCUGAAAAGACACUAAAAGACUCGAGAAAUAACAUAAACACUAAAAAUCCUAUACCUAAAACGUAGCUAAAAUCAGUAAAAAUAGAGUUAUAUCAACUCCCCCAGACUUAGGUUUUGUUUGCCCUCAAGCAAAACACAAAAGCCGAACCCGUGGAAGAGGUUUUGAAAACAAAGGAACUUCAACAUUCUCUAGCCUAUUGCCAUGAUCAUCCAAACUAAAUCCACAUGCCUAACAAGUCUAAUCAAAUCUUAACCAACAUGUAUUUCUCUCCAAGCUUACAGAACUUUCUAGAUUCCAUACCUAAGUUCCACAACUAUAUCCACCAGGCUUUCAUCGAUGGGUCUCAUCAAACAAGCUAACAUUCAAGAUCCUUCUAGACUCAUUCCUGAACUAUACCAUGAUAAAUCGACCAUUCUCGCAUACUGGAUCAACACCUUCGACAGUUUUCCAACCUUUGUAAUUGAUCAUUCCAAAUAAUGUAUAAUAAUGGGGUCAUAGGAAACAUUCCUACCCCGAUACACUAUCCGAAAAUCAUGUCAAUCUCUCAUUUUCUUUUUAUUUUUAUAAGGGGAGAGGAACACAUUCUUUCUAUCACAUUGGUCUCAAUAUCAAGUAUGAACAAGGAGUCAAGAUCUAUCAAUACUAACCGUUUGAAGAGGUAAAAGGAAGAGCAGUUAGAUUAGCUCCGGCCUUAGUGGUUGUGUUGGAAACUAGGAUAUCCUCAAGUCUGUUGGUAUGCCAUCUAGAUUUUCCAAUAGUCGAAUUGAGUCGAACCUGCAGCACUCAUCAAUCAGGCAAUAGUUCAUAACUAAACUAAACAAAACGUUUUUUUUUUUUAAGAGUAAGAAAAUGAGUCAAUAAACUCAAAAACAAAAAUGAUAAGAAUAAAAAAUAAAAGCAAUAUUGGUAAGAACCUCCCCCACACUUAAACGACACUGUCCCCAGUGGCAUUCAAAUCCGAAGAAGGCGGAAAAAAUAAAUCAAAAAUAAAAGAAAAGAAAAGAAAAGAAAAGAAUAAUCAAACCAGUGGGUUACCUCCCACUAAGUGCUUGUUUUGAGUCAAUAGCUUGACUUGGCAGAGUUCAGGAUGUGGGUAGAUUGGUGGAGGAUUGUUGUUGCCUCCGCCCCCUCCAUGGCGGUGUGUAAACUGAACCGGUCUAGGCAGCUGCAUGUGUCGAUCGACACUCAAUGGUGUGUCGAUCGACACUCUUCUCGUCACCUGCAAGAACAACAAGAGAAACAAGCAUUCGAGAAACUCUAGGCUUGUUAACAUGUGAAGCAGACUUCAUAGAAUCUAAGGAAUUAAUUGAAGGUAAAGCAGGAGAAGAGAUAGAAGAGAACUUAUCACAGAGGGCCUCAAGUGGUGUGGGCUGAAGAGGAUGUGCAGAAUCCUCUGUCUGUGAAUCUCGAGGGUGUCGAUCGACAGGAGGGAUGGUGUCGAUCGACACUGAUGCUCUGCAACUCUCAUUGGCGAGCUGAGCUGAUGGGAGUGUUAUGUGUGGCUCUGUUUUGGGAUUCUGAGCAGUCAGAGGAGGUGUGUCUGUGCUCUAAACGUAGUUAGUAAGUGCCUCCCCCAAACUUAAACGACAUUGUCCCCAGUGCAUUCAAAUCUGAAGUAAGCAAGGAAAUAUAAGAAAAAUGUAAAUAAAAAGAAAAGAAAACAAAACUCAUACUAGUGGGUUGUCUCCCACUAAGCGCUUCUUUAUAGUCAAUAGCUUGACUUUGUCGAAGUGCAGAUGUCAAGUGGAUUAGAUAGUGGCAGUGAUUCCAGCUUGAAACGUAGCUAUUGUAGAUAAUUCUGCUUAAACAAGUGAUGGGGGUCGAUCUACACUAGUGGUGGUGUCGAUCGACACCACCACUAGCAGUCUGAAAUCUGUUCCUAGACAAUAACAGUCUUCCUUAUGUCUCCCUGAUUUUGUGGAGCCUUGCAGUGCUCCUCCUAAAUCUGGUGCAUAUACUGUUGAGGCAUUGGACAAGGAAUUUUAUGCGUGUAGACUUGUUCAACAACAGGUGGAAAGUCAAGGCUGAUUGGUGCAGUCUGCGUCCAAUGUCGAUCUUUAUACUUUUUUGAGGCAUCCGUUAGUUAACUGGACGCAUACUGCACCAAUCAGCCUUGACUUUCCAAAAGUAAAAGGGGGACUUGCAUCCGUUAGGUAAGCAAUGCAAUCGAAUUUAUACUUUUUUGGGACUCUACGAACCAUUCUCCGUGGGUCCCACCCGCUACGUAGGGAAACUCCAUCUAGUCGUAACGAGGCUUGAUACAUGAUAAAAAUGCGAAAACAACGUCUAAACAAAUAAUUUAAUUCCCGUAAUAUCGUAUGGAUCACAAAAAAGCCCAAAAAAUUAUAUAAAGGUCUAAAUUUGGAGUAAAAAAAUUUAAAAAUAUACUUACCAUUGCCUUGCUUCUUUCGUCGGAGGGCUCUCAUUGUGAUUUCCGAAAAGCUAUCACGUACCAAAUUUUCCCUCACGGUUUAAAAGUUAUAGAGUCAAAACGUUUUAACUAAAAAAAAAACAAAAAGGGAUGAAAAAAACACGAAGACUUUUCAGGACCCACCCGCUACGUACGGAUACUCCAUCUAGUUUAAAUGAGGCUUGAUACAUUAAAAAAAUGCGAAAACAACGUCCGAACAAAUAAUUUUGUUUCUUAAUAUAGCACGGAUCACGAAAAGACCCGGAAAAGUAUCUAAAGGUCAAAAUUUGGAGUAAAAAAAAGAAGGGUACUUACCAUUGUCUUGCUUCUUUCGUCGGAGGGCUCUCAUUGUGCUUUCCGAAAAGCUAUCACAUGCCAACUUUGGCCUCACGGUUUAAAAGUUAUGAGUCAAAAAGUUUUAACAUAAAAAAAAAGGGAUGCAACACGAGGACUUCUCAGGAGGUCACCCAUCCUAGUAUUACUCUCGCCAAAGCACGUUUAACUGUGGAGUUCUGAUGGGAUCCGUUGCAUUCGUUUUGGUAUGAUCACAUCCGUUAGUACAUGCUAUGCAAUCGUAUUUAUACUUUUUUGGCCACUCUAGGAACCAUUCGCUGUGGGUCCCACCCGCUACGUAGCGAUACUCCAUCUAGUUUUAACGAGGCUUGGUACAUGAUAAAAAUGCGAAAAAACGUCCGAACAAAUAAUUUUGUUUCGUAAUAUAACACAGAUCACGAAAAGACCCGAAAUAGUACCUAAAGGUCAAAAUUUGGAGUCAAAAACAAACAAUGGUACUUAUCAUUGCCUUGCUUCUUUCGUCGGAUGGCUCUCAUUGUGAUUUCCGAAAAGUUAUGACAUGCCAAGUUUGGCCUUAUGGUUUAAAAGUUAUAAAGUCAAAAAGUUUUAACUAAAAAAAAAACAAAAGGGAUGCAACACGAAAACUUCUCAUGAGGUCACCCUCUAAUACUACUCUCGUCCAAGCACGCUUAACUGCAGUGUUCUGAUGGGAUCCGGUGCAUUAGUGCUGGUAUGAUCGCAUCUGUUAGUACAUGCAAUGCAAUCGUAUUUAUACUUUUUUGGCCACUCUAGGAAGCAUUCUCCAUGGGUCUCACCCGCUAUAUACGGAUACUCCAUCUAGUUUAACGAGGCUUGAUACGUAAUAAAAAUGCGAAAACAACGUCCGAACAAAUAAUUUUGUUUCAUAAUGUAUGGAUCACGAAAAAGCUCGAAAACGUACCUAAAGGUCAAAAUUUGGAGUCGAAAAAAAAAUGGUACUUACCAUUGCUUUGCUUCUUCGGAGGGCUCUCAUUGUGAUUUUCGAAAAGGUAUCAUAUACCAAUUUUUACCUCACGGUUUAAAAGUUAUAAAGUCAAAAGGUUUUAACUAAAAAAAAACAAAAGGGAUGCAACACGAGAACUUCUCGGAAGGUCACCCUUCUAGUACUACUCUCGACCAAUCACGCUUAACUACAGUGUUCUGAUAGGAUCCGGUGCAUCUUGAUGAAAUUUAGUUAUUUUUAUCAUCACAAAAAUAUUAGAAAAAGUAUAAUAAUGUUACAUUUACAAAAUUUCAUCAUUAAUUCGUAUUAUUAAUAAAAAUGGAUUUUAUAGUUAAUUUUUAGUACAAAAUGAUAAUUAAAUCUUUGUUUGGUAUCUUUUUUUACUAUUUAAAUAUUUUUUUGUUAUUUUAUACCUUAUUUUGCAUUGAGCUUUGAAAUUUUAACAAAUACUAAAAUACUUUAAAAACAUUUAGUAAACAAAUAGAGUUAGUUAGCAUUUAAUAGUUUUUAAACAAAUAAAAUAACCUAAUACAAUAUUUCUAAUAAUAAAACAUAUGUUACAUUUAAAAAAAAACGCGGUUUUGUUAAACAAAUGUUUUUGUUUGCUAUUGUAAUAUAUACUUAAAAAAUAUUGAAAAAUGAUAAUGUAUAAUAUAUGUUGUGUAGGCAGAAUUUUAAAAGUUUAUUUAAAUAUUAUAAUCAUUUUCCCUGUAUAUUCCAUAAAUAUCAGAUUUUUCAUCAUUUAAUUAAUUUCUUAGUUUUGGAAAAAUUUAGAUUAAUAUCUUAAUGAAUUAUUUCUAUUUUCAAUUCAAGAUUAAAACAAAAUCAACGGUCAAGAUUUUUGUCUUUUUAGAAUAUCAAUAAACUGUUGAGAUUAUAAAGUGAAACCGGGUCAAAAUUCGCAUCAAAAAGAUGUGUGUGUUUUGAAACUGUUUUUUCCAUGAAAUAAGUUUUUUUAACCCACUUGUAUUUUUGUGAUUACUUCAAACUUUUUGCCCAUCUCACUAAACAAACUGCACAAAUAAUAGUAUAUAUAUAUAUAUAUAUAUAUAUAUAUAUGCUUUAUACAAAUCUCUGCUUUUCUAAUCCAAAUCAAUUCAAGAUGCAUAAAUCGUUUGAUCAAAUUUAAAUGAUAAGACGCUAUAUAUGAUAAUGAAAAAAUGAUAAAACCAAACUGUUUAUCAUCGUAUCAAAAACCAAUGAAUGAGACAUUCAAAACUUUAAUAACCAAACCUACCUACAUGUAUAAGGCUCACCUUUUGAUCCUCAUCGGGUUUCUGCAAAUUGACAAAACAAAGACUAAAAUCCAAAAUCAAAAAUUUUAAAAAGAAUUACUCAUAUUCUACAAAUAUAGAGAGGUGGAAAAUCUUAACAUAUUACUUUGCAUAAAAGAUUCUACUAUAUUAUUUGGGAAGUACAUUUUAAAUGUAACCUCAAUUUUUGUAAUUAAUUACAUGAAAUGCCAUUAGAAAAAAUUAAUCAAAAACAAAAUCUUUUAAUGACGUCAUUAAGGUUACCAAAAUCAUUUAACGACAAUAUUCAUUUCUUAAUUAUAUGGCUUAUCAGAUCUAAAGACGGGUCAUCAAAGAUUUCCUAAACUGAAGCAAAAUAUACCGAAUAUUCAAAUAUCUAUCUGUUACCAAAUUAGAAACAAAUAAGUUAAUAAGUCAAUAACUAUUUGGAGGGACGGGUUUUUGAAUCAACAUUAAUAAAAAAGUAAAAUAUAAUUAAUCCACCGUUUCAAUACGGGUAAAAUCUUUAAUUUAUUAUUUUGUAAGACCACUAAUAUUAAACAUAUCAAAUCAAUCUAAUUUAUAAAAGGUUAUAUAAAACAAAAAAUGUUAUGUGGUAUGUAUAAUGUUACUAUAUAUAAAAUUAAACUAUAAAAUAUAAAUGUAUUAGGGAAUGAUACAAUUUGCAAAACUUUUAUAUAUAAUAAAUAAUUCUUAAAAUUUUUAAAAAUACUACUUUAAAAACAAAUCACAAGACGGGUAAAGAAAUUACAGAACGGGUUUUAUUUUGGAAUUGAGUUAUAUGGUGGAUGUAUUUGAAUCAAUAUUUAUAAAAUUUUAAGAUAUUAUUAAUAUGCUGUUUUAAUAAGGGUUAAAACUUCAGUUUUUAACAAUUGUCUCAAUAAAGAAAUUACAUAACAGGUUUUAUUUUGGAAUUGGGUUAUAUGGUGGAUGUAUUUGAAUCAAUAUUUAUAAAAUUUUAAAAUAUUAUUAAUAUACUGUUUUAAUAAGGGUUAAAACUUCAGUUUUUUAACAAUUGUCUCAUGGAUUCGUGGUAUAGCGUUACUUAAUAACAAUUAUAAACUGUAAAAUAGAAAUAUUUUAUAAAAAUAAAAUUUGUAAGUUUUAAUAUAUAUUACCUUUAAAAAAUAAAUCGUUUCGCGUGGGGGCAGCCUAAGCCUGAUAGAGGCAGAAGAAUUCCAACAAUUUCUCCCGCUCCUCAAAAGUGAGUUGCUCCUCACGUACGCAUGUUCUAAUAGUCGAGUUGCUGUUGCUAAAGCACCUAUGGUUCCAUCCCUGGUAACUUCAACCGGUAUACUGCGGGUUAAAAUCUAGUAAAUAAUUAGAAAGGAAGACAUACUUUAACAAAAUCAUUUGUGAAUCUACAUCAUCAUCUUCCACACUACCUGCAUGAAUAUUAACAAAAAAGUAUGUCAGAGAAUAUAUGAAAUUAAAAUUUUUAUAAAAUAUAAACAAUAUAAAAAUAAAUUACAGAUUUAAAACGAAAUUAAGGUUUGUAGUAGAAUGCGCUAUUUCACCUAGUGGAAUGCAUGGUCUUAUAUAGUACUGAAGAAGGAAGGCUCAUUUCAGGGUUUUGAAAAGGAAUAUUCUGUUUAGUUUGUAGAAAAAAAUUUUGAUUUAAAUUAUUAUAAAUUUUUGAAACUUGAUGAAUUAUAGAAAUAAUUAAUGAGUUUCUUAAACAUAAAGAUUUAAAAUCCCUAAAUUGAUGUGAAGUAAUUUUUCAAAUGUGUUGUAAUUAUUUUUCAAAAUAUGCUUAGGAUUUUUCAAAUUUAAACAAUACAUAAUAUUAGGAAUGUUAACUAAUAGAAUCAAUAAGUUCAAGAUUUGUUAAUGAUUUUUUUGAUGGGCUGAGGGGAGACAAUUGUCAACCCCAUUUUAUUAAAAGAACUACAAAGAAUUACAUCAAAACUGCUCUAGGGAACGAUGUCCCGUUAGCAUCCUCAACCAAAAAUAAAAGAACGUCCUCAGGACAUAUCUCAAAACAAUGAAAUCCUAGGGGUAAGAAGAAAGCAUAGUUUGCUAACCCGUCAGCUAGACGGUUAGCUUCCCUAUACACGUGUGACACUCGGACUAGCCAGUCCCUUGUGAAAAAGCCUUGGCACAACCGUACCAGGAAGGACAGCGGAUGAGCCUUGCUGAUCCCUGUGCUUAGAAACCCCACCACCAAUUCUGAAUCCAAAUUUAACUCCACCCGUCGAAAGCCCUUAUCCCAAGCAAUGAGCAACCCAUAGUAGGCACCCCAUAACUCAGCUAACGGCGCAUCACAAGACCCGAUAUUAAGUGCAAACCCACCGAGCCAUUCCCCCUGCAGAUUAAGGAUUGCCCCACUUGCCGCAGCUAAUCCCUGGUGUCCCCUCGACGCUCCAUCUGUCGUCAGUUUGACCCACCUGUCGCUUGGUGCCUUCCAUCUUAUCAUCCUUUCUACCCGAGCUCUCUUCACAUGGUUAUUUAACGUUCCCACAUGAGCUUUCCGAACCUCCUCUGCUAUAUCCUUGAUGAACUUCAAUCUAUCCCGACAUAACUUGCGUUCCCCAAAUACAUCGCCACAUCGCCACUUCCAAGCCCACCAUAUCCCCAUACUAAAGAGCGUAGGCCAAUCUCCCUUCGCCGGAUCCAGAUUUGUAAACAACCAUUCAAAUUGACUGAAAAACUCGUUCUGCCUUCUUUGUGGCAGCAGCCUUUGCCAAAUAGGUGUCAUCGCCGGACAGUCCCUCAACACAUGUAAGAUCGAUUCAUCAGCUCCAUUACAAACCGAACAAGUUGCAAUGUCACUUAAGUGUCUCCUCACACGCUCCACAUUAGUCAUAAUAACCAUAUGACUCACCAACCAGAUGAAAACUCGUACCCUCUCCGGCGCUACCAGCUUCCAAAUUUGCUUUAAAAAACUCCCUAUGAGUGGCCUCUCCUCAGCCUCAGGUUUCAGCAGCUCAUAAGCGGACCGAACCGUGAAGUCCCCAUUUUGCGUUCCCUUCCAAGAUAACUCAUCACUUGUCCCUGGGAAAUCAUGCACCACAAUAGAAAAUAAUUUUCGCAAGAUAUUCUCCAGCAGGUACAGAGUUAGAGCUCCCAUGUCCCACCCCGAGCCUGCAAUCUAGUAAUCUGCUGCUACCUUAGGAGCGCAUCCGCCGAUAUUGAUUCUUUGGCCACCGCCGAGAGUUGUUCCUGCAACAGCCAACGAUCCGACCAAAAACUUAUAGUUUUCCCAUCUCCAGGGACCCAUCUGACUCCCUUAGCCACCACUUCUCUAAGUCCAACUGUAACACUUCGCCACGUGGAGCUCCAGCUACUUUUAGGUUUCAGCCAGUUUGAAUUUUGCAUUUCUCCCACCUUGUACUUCUUGCUAAGGACUCUUGCCCAAAGUGUCUCCUUAUCAUGGAGAAGACGCCACCCUACUUUAGCAACCAACGCCUACUUCAUCUUUGGGUUGACAUAUCUUAUUCCAGGCUAAGAGGUGCUUCUUCUUCUUCUCCAAAGUACUCCCCCAAAGAAAAUUAUGUGACAAACAAUCCAAGCUAUCUAAAGUAGCAACAGGAAGUAUUAUUGCACUCAUUACAUGGACCGGUAUGGUUGACAAAACCGCUUUUGUAAGCGUUAUUCUCCAUGCCAGACUCAAAGACCGACUCUUCCAUCCCGCCAAGCUAGACGAAACGUGUUCCAAGACUUCCCCAGAAGUCUCUUUGUUCAUUCUCUUCUGUAAGAUAGGCAUUCCCAAAUACUUCCCCAACUCUCUAGUACAGCCAAUCCCACUCUCUCCACUUAUCAACCUUUCCAUAUCCCUACUCACAUUAUUGGAGAAAACGAUCUUUGACUUCUCCAGGCUGACGUUUUGCCCUGAAGCCUCACAAAACUGUUCCAACACUCGUCGUAUGAUAAGAAUUUGGGCUACAGACGCUUCUGCACAUAGAAUCAAAGUCGUAUGCAAAACAAAUGUGUGAUAGUUUCUACCCACCACACGAGAGUGCCAUCGGUUUCCAGUCCCAUGUUCCCACUGAUGCCUCUAUCAAGUGACAAAGCCUCUCAAGGCAAAGAACGAACAAAUAUGGUGACAAAGGAUCCCCUUGUCUCAAACCCCUAGCAGGAACAAAAGAAUCAGUUUUCCCUCCAUUCCAUAACACACUCAUCGAUGGGUCUGUUACCCCAGCCAUUAUUCUGUGAGUCCAGACCUCCGACAGUCCAGUAGCCACCAAAGUUUCCUGCAGAAAAUUCCAUCGAAUUCGGUCAUAGGCCUUUUCAAGAUCCAAUUUUAACAACAUCCACCCUUUCCUUCCUUUCUUCCUCCGCAUAGAGUGAACCGCUUCUUGCACUAACACAAUAUUAUCAAUGCUUAAUCGCCCUGGGAUAAAAUUCGCUUGAGCCGGCCCAAUCAGCUUCAAAAUAACCUUCUUUAGCCGGUUAACUAUCAUCUUAGUAAUAAUCUUAAACAAGACAUUACAUAGACUCAUUGGUCUAAACUGUGUAAUCCGCUCUGGCUUAGCCACUUUGGCUAUCAACACAAGCAAAGCAUCAUUAGUAGCCGCUGAUAGCACCCCAGUUUCAAAGAAAUCCAGUACAAAGCGUAUCACCGACGGUCCCACAGUCUCCUAACAUUGCUGAUAAAAAACAGGCUGAAAACCAUACGGGCCUGAUGCCUUAAAACGUCCCAUACCUUUUACUGCAACGACGACUUCCUCAGAAGUAAAAGGUUUGAGCAACGCAGCCUUUUCCCCGUCCGUUAGUGUUGCAAACCCGCCUAUUGGCAACAUGUUCCAUACUGCGCUAACAUCCUCCAAAGAGUAUAGCCUCGUAUAGUAGUUCAACGCCAUUGUUUCCAACUCCACCUUAUCCGUCAUCCAUCUGUUAUCGCCAUCUUUCGGCGAUUCUAUUCGAUUCCUUUUUCUGCGGAUAAUUGUGGAAGUGUUGUAUUUUUGUCUCCCAACUCAAUAUACUUUUCUCUUGACUUCUGAAACCACAGCGUCUCCUCUUGUUCCAGAACCAAGUCCAAGUCUUUCAAUAAUAUCUCUUCUUGAGCAAGCAACUCAUCGGAGUGCAUCACAUCCAACAAAUCCUGUACUGCCUUAAUGUCAGCCACCAACUUCUCUUUUUUGACAUGAAUGUCUCCAAAGACCUCCCUGUUCCAUUUCUUUAACUUUCGUUGCAGCCCAAGUAACGCCUCUGUCGUCGACAAAGCUGUAUCCCAAGACGCUGUCAACAACUCUUUGAAUCCCCCAUGACUCAACCAGGUUGCCUCAAAUCUGAAUGCUCGUCAUCGUGGAUCUAACUUCUGAUACGGCUCCAACUGAACAUAUAGUGGAGCAUGAUCCGAGGACAUGAAAGGUAAGUGAGAGACCACAGCCUCUUGCCACUUUUGCCUAGCAUGGGCACAGCCCAAAACUCUAUCUAGCCGUUUAGCCACCAUCGUGCUCUCUUGUCUACCCCUCCUCCAUGUAAACUUAUUACCUCUGAAUCCGAAAUCAAUCAAAGACAACUAAUUGAUCCAGUCUCCAAAAGCUAAAAAAUCUGGUGAAAGCCUCCCAUUUCCACCCAUUCUCUCAUCCACUCUCAAGAUGGUGAUAAAGUCUCCUCCAAUUAUCAACAGCCCUACCAAACCAGAUACAACUUCCUUCAACUCUCCCCAUAAACCACUCCGCCGACUCAUAGAUGGCGCCGCAUAAACCACUAUUAGAUUCAUCGGAUCCCCAUUACAGACCACCUUAGCGUGGAUAUAUUAGCUUGUUGACACCACAAUAUCCACUUCCCCCACACUCGACUUCCAUAGCACCCACAAGCCCCCACUCUGACCUGUUGCAUCCACCCUAUAUGCAUUCUCAAACCCCAGCUUCUGACAAAUUCUACCUGCUUUUUCACCCCCCCCCCCCCCCCCGCGUGAGUCUCAAAAAGCGCUAGUACCUCCGUAUCAAAUUUCUUUAGCAUAUACCGUAUCGAUCUUCUAAAGAUGGAUUUAUUCGCCCCCCAACAAUUCCAAAGCAUACAAUUCAUGAUGACUUCACAUAAACUCAUAAGAACUACCGGGGAGUACCAUUACUUCCCUCCGCUACUGAUACUAUGGCUGCAUGCCCCUUCUUUCGGGCCAAGAUCCAUCGACGCACUUCCACUAGCUGGUGAUCUGACCUCCUCUCCAUCUCUCUGAUUCCCAACUGGCAGCUGUGCAUUUCCUAAAUUCCUGCUACUCCCAUUAGAAAACGCACCUCCAGGUCUGCCUACAUUCUCAUGCUCCACCCGCAGCCUCUUCCUAGGUGACACUUCUGUUUGCUCUCCUCUGAUCGUUCCAAACACCAAACCUCUGGUAGCGAUCGUAUUCCUUCCCCCUUUACCUUUCCGUCCCCCUCCUUUCAUUGGUUUAUAGUGACCAGCUCUCCUAUCUGUUAUUACCCCAAGCCUUCCUUUUCCUUCCACUAACUUCCCAUCAGGCCCACCUAACCUCACAACGCUGGUUAACGCAGCCCCAUCCCCCUCAUUCUCUUUAUUUUCUUCCCCUGAGCUAUCUGGCACCAGCAUCCCUUGUUCCUCUUCUCUCUUUCCACACUCUUUCCUGAUCUCUUCUCCGCCGAUCCCCCUGCUGGAAACGUCAUUCCCUUUCCUUGGACUGGCCCCCGCCUGGACAGUAUACGUACCUCCGUAAACCCAUCACUGGGUUGGUCCCCACCACUUGGACUAGCACCACUCUCAGUACUGGUGACCUGCACCACCGGACCCGGACUCCUCUUAGGACAAGCUCCAGCCAAAUGCCCAAAAACUCCACACAAAGAGCAGAUAACAUUCAAACCCUCAUAAGAAGCAUAGUAGCAUUCCCCAUUCACCACCACUGUGCCUUUCAAAGGUUGCUUCAGGUUGACCUUAACACAGACCCGCGCAAAAUGUGCUCUCUCCUUCCUCAGAAUAGUUAAAUUCACCUUAAUCGGUUUCCCUAAGCCCUCUACUAUCGCGGUCAAAAUUGUCUCAUGGUAGUAAUUGACAGGCAGGUUUGAGAUGCGAACCCACACCAAAGUGGUCACGAUCUCGUCACGGAUUGGAUUGAAGUCCGGCGACCACGCCCGAAUCAUUAAUAUACUGCCUAGUACCCUCCACGGAUCCCCAAUAGCCGCUGCUAAAUAAUCCUCCUCCAAAUCAAAUUUCACCAUGAAGAAGCUUCUAGGGAGAUUCAACACUGACAUCCCCCCAUUUGGCUUCCAUAGCUCUCUCAAUCGCCGAUUUAGGUCUGCAAUCGUGAUGUGGCGUCCUAAGACUUUGACAACCAGACACUGUAGGUACAAAUCGUUCAUCGCGUCGAGGACUUCCUGUCCAAUCGUGAUGAUCGCUUCACCUUCUGCCCCAGUCAGAAACUCGACAUUCAUCCUCGAAGCCACAAACUCUGCACUCAAUCUCGUCUCAGGAAUUGGAAUUCCUCCACAGUAGCAACUUUGAACCUUAUCGACCCACUACGGCGACCCCGUUAAACCCCCUCCCGGCGGCCGGCCGUUCUCCUCCAUGUGCUCAUCGAGAUCUCCUGGAUUCACGACCCUAGCGGCGCUAGGGUUUUCUAUCGACAUCGCCUUUUCAAUCUUUUCGAUUGAAUUAUGGAAACAGCUUUCUAAAAAAGAUUUUAAGAUUUGUUAAUGAUUGAGUUAUAACUACAGAGCUAAUUCGGUAGAGUCUUAAAGAAAAUACUGUUAUUUUCUUUCUUUAUUUAAUCAAUUUUUACACCAACUUUCCUAAUUAAAACCAUUUGUUUCUUUUUAAAAUCAAUUUCUUUGAAUGAUUGUUUAACGAUUUGAUUUAAAACCAAAGUUUAUGAUAAUUAAUUAUUUUAUGAUUGUAAUAUUUAAAAAUAUUUCCUAAAUAUCUCAAAGAAAUCAUAAAUGCUAAAUCAGUUUUGAUAAUAUUUAUCUAUUUUAAUUAUACAAAAAUAUUUAAGAAAUAUAAUAAUAUUAUAUUAUUACUGUAAUCAUCGUUUGUUAUCUCUUUAUUACUAUUUAAAUAUUAGUUGUUAUUUUAUAAUUUAUUUACUAUUUAGUUUUGAAACUUUGACAAAUACUAAAAAACUAAAUGAAAACUUCGUGAACAAAUUGAAUUAGUUAGCAUUUAAGGUUUUUUGAAAAAACAAUAAGAAUAAUCCGGUACAAUAUUUCUAAUUAAAAACAUAUGUUACAUUUAAAAAACAACAUAUCUGGUUUUUGUUAAGUAAAGUUUUUGUUUGAUAUUUUAAUAUCUACAUAAAAAAUAUUUAUUGAAAGGUGAUAAUGUGAUUGGAUAAGUAAUAUUUUAAAAUAUAAUAAGUAUUAUAAAUCCCUAUAGUAUAGGAGUAUAAUUAGUUUUCUAAUUUGAAACCCACGUAAUUAUGAAUGGUAUUGAAUAAGAAAAUAAAUUAAUUAAAAAAAAAAGAAAGCUUUUUCUUCCCAAAAUCUGGCUGUAUAAUUUGAUUUUUACUGAAAAAGUCAAUGGCUACUAUGAAAUGUAAUGGAUGACUAAGAUUAGAAGUUAUGACCCAUUAUUUUAAAAUCCGGGUCAAAAGGAUCCGCGCGUUUUGAAACGAGUUUUUUUCAUUACAGAAAUUUUUUAACUCAAUGGCAAACUUGUUAUUUCUUCUUGAUAGUCUUGUUAUUUGUAACUCCAAAUUAAGAUAAUCAAAUUAAAUUCAUCGAUUGAAUAAUAAAUUAUGUACUUUAUUUUGAGAGGAGUUAAAAAAUUAAUAUAUAAAUAAUGUGGACUUUUAUGUUCCCAUCCAUUAUCCAUUUAUAUAUGUUUUCUUUUGUGUGUUUUACACUUAUCACAAAAAAGGGUGUAUUGAACUUAGUAUUUUGUAAGAUUUUGUGGAUUUUAGAUUUGGAGAGAUUUUAAAAGACGGCUAGUGAUUUGGUGGAUUUUUAGAAGAAAUAAAACAAAAUUUAAGUGGUCAUUGAAAAAAAAGUUAGUGAUCAUUUAGUGAUAUUUGAUGUCAAAUUCCAUAAGAUUUUGAAGUAUUUUGUGUGAUAGUCCAAAAUUUUUUUUGCUAACUAUUUAAAAACUCAUAAACGUUUCUACGUGUGAAUGAAAAAUUCAAAAUUUGGAGUUGCACAUUGGCGAAUUCCAUUAAUUACAAAAAAGUAUCAGAAUUAUAAAGUUUCAUUCACUAAUCCAUUUUUUAUUUAACAUUCCAUUUGCUAGUCCAUCCAUUUCGAAAUUUUGCAAUAAUACGGGGGUAUAUUCGUCAUUGUAUGUUAGUAUUUUUUAGAGAAUUGAUAAGUUUAUAAUUUGCAUGUUUUACACAUCCUUUUAUCACCAUUUUGAGUCUAGUUUCAUCCAUCUUUCAUAGCAUUCACCAUCAUUUUUGUACAUUUUGCAUCUUUAGUCGAGUCUAGGACUAGUCUUGCAUACAUUCUGCAUUUUGGAGUUGUUUCAGGUGUUUUGGAGCUAUUGGUGCUCAGAAAGAGGGAAAACAGAACAGAAAGUCACACUUCCACCAAACAUACUCGAUCACCAGUAGCAGAGAGGGAAGCAGUCAGCUCAGCAGUCCAUCUAGACACUUCUACUCGAUCAUAGACGAGACCAGGCAGUCCAUUCUGCCAGAUAUACUCGACCGCAGAGGAGAGGAGGCAGUCCAUUCUGCAAUUCUACUCUAUCGCAGAGGCGACCAGGCAGUCCACUUUGCCAGUCCACCAGUUAUACUCGAUCGCAGAGGAGAAGAACCAGUCCAUCCUGACAGCUGACACACUUACUCGAUCACAGAGGGCAAGAAGCAGCCCGGACCAUUCUGUCAACCAACCUACUCGACCACCAGCUCGACCCUUUGAUCAAUCCGCACUCAACCAGACAACCUGAGCAUCGGAAAGAGAAGAGAAGAGAAGGCCCAUUCGAAGCCCAUUCGAAGCCCAUCAGGAAGCCCACUUUGAGCCGACACUCUUGAUCACACUGUCCAUGGGCCGUAAGUGGGCUCGAAGCCCGCUAUCUUAUCUUAGUAUAAAUAAGUCUCUAAGGGUUUCGCCCUGAGACAUGCACUUUAGAGACACGAAUUUCGCACCAUUAUUCAGCAGCCGCUUUUCAUUCCUACAACUUUGUAUUUCGAUUUUUCUUCUAAGUUAUUCAGAAUUUGCUUUCAUUUUGCUUGUUCAUCUUUCGUUUAUAUGUUAUUGUCUUUAAGCAUGUUGUCUGAGUAGUGAUUAGGAUUUCUGAGGAUGGGAUAGAGUAGUUGUGGAACCCCUGGUCGAAUCUGUUGGUUAAGUGUAGAUUUUUUGAAUCCCUUGUGGAUUAGUUGUGUUUACUGCUUAUUCCUUUCUGAUCAACUGGAAUCCGAUCCCAGACGUUCCAGCGCCCAGAAGGCGUUUAAUGGAACGUUGGAUCUACUAGUUCCAGUGAUAAUCGUCUCUAUCCCAAGGGAUUGGCCGUUUAGAGCGGUUAUUGGCUUUAACAGUCGGUUCUUAUUGUCUGCUUAGUUAGAGAUCGCUAAUGGGAAUUAGGCCUGUGUCUAGCUAUGCUUGAGGAUUUCUAUCACGGGAGUAAAUUAAUCUGUUGUUGAACCUGUUGUCUAGGGAUAGCUUGAUUGAGAUUUGUUAACCAACGGAAUUGAUCAGGGAGACCACACUAUCCGAUUAUCCCAUCCUUAGGGAUUUCUCUGUUUACUUACCUGCUUCAUUCACUUGCUAUUGGAUUUUAGUAUUUUUUCUAUUUUCAACCAUUCUACUCGAUCACACCAGUCUACUAACAGUGAGACUGCGUGAUAGAGUAAACUGGUCCAUUUCUGCAUAUUCACUCUCUGUCAUCGUGUUGUACUCGAUCACAGGGUCCCUUCUGGCAGUCGACCCUGCGAUCGAGUAUAUCAGUCAUUUCUGUCAUUUUUUACUGUUUUCUGCAUCAACACUAGGACUGUUAGAAAACCAACCAAAUUCUGCCUGGCUUGACUUAGCAACUUCUGAUCAUAUCUCAUCUGUCUGCAUCACACCCAUUUGGAUUGACAUCUAAAAUACUACAACGACAGGAUAGUGUUUUAGGAUUAAUUGACUAAAAAACCUACUAUCAAAAAUAUAUACAAACUAACCAUGAUAAUGAAAAGAAUCAAUAAAUUAACUAUGAUAUACAAUGUUUUGUCAGAGGGUAGAUGAAACGACCAUUAAACCUUUCCUUUCAAUUUAUAUGUUUUAUCGUCAUCAACAACAUCUUAUUUCUCACCGUCAUCAACACAACAUCCACCACCAUCCUCAACAUCACCACCAACAGUCAAGAUUUAAUUGCCCACCACCCUCACUCCAACCAAAUCAAUAUUCCUUCUAUUGUCAUUAACAUAACCUCCACCACCAGGGACGGCCCAAACCAUUUUUCAUGCCUAAAGCAAACAAUACUUUAAGCCUACUAAUAAACAAAACUUAAAUGAAAAAAUCCAAAAAAAAAAGAAAAAAGGAACUCGAACCAGUCAUCUCAUGGACGUUUUAGUACAGUUACACGACUAUGCCACAAGUUAAAUUUGAAAUGAUGACCUCAAAACUUUUACAAUAUAUUUGUUAUGCCUAAAGCACCAGAUUCAUGAGCUUUAGCCUUGGACCGGGCCUAUCCACCAUCAUCCUCGACACCACCGCCACCAUGCUCUUGACCACUGCCACCACCAUCCUCGACACCACCGCCACAAUGCUUUAAUAACUAAUAUAGAGAUAUUUAUCAAUAUUUCAUGCUAUUCAAUAAAAUCGAAUAAAUUCUUGCAAUUAUGUUCUAUAUAUUUCAUGCUAUUCAACAAUAUCACAUGAAAUCUUGUAAUUAUGUUCUAUAUAAUUUCAUGAGAUUCAACAAAAUUACGUGAAUUUUCACAAUAAUGUCCAAAUUUCUCAAUAUACCAUGCUAUUCAAUAAAAUUGAGUGAAAUCUUUCACAACAAUGUUCAUAUUUGGCAAUAUAUCAUAUUAUUCACCAUAAUCAUAUUCAUUUUUGCAAUAAUGCCUCCUCAACCCUCGUACAUUUUCUCUGCUACCUAUUGUUCUCUAAUUCUGAAAAAAUAUAGAAAUGAUUAUUUGGUAAAUGUCCCUCUUCUAAAAAAUCAGUCUAUGGUUAAUUUCUGAUAGAAAACAAGUCAAACAUUAUUUUCUUAACUAUUUUACAGUUAAAAGGUUAUUCAGUAAUAUUACCCUAUUUUUUAUUUUCUUAGGUCAUCUUCUCAGUCCUUAAGUAAAUUACUCAUUUUCGCAUCAAAUCGAUUUUGUUUGUUCUCUGCUUUUUGGUUUAGGGUUUUAGCUUUUCAAAGUUAAAACCUUUUUUCCCCCCGAAGAAGAAUCAAUACGACCGAUCAAAUCAAUCCAUUGAAUCUAUGGCGAUGGCUAUGAGACUUCCAGCGAUAUCUAGAGCUGUGACGGAAGUAGCUUCGUCUCCGGUUGGUUUGAGACGACUGUUCUGUUCAAAUGCUUCAAGGUUCUCUUUUCUGUCUCCACCGGCUCGUCGUCAGGCUGAACCUAGCACCAAUCUCUUCCACUCCGGUAACAAACCCUUUUCAUCUCUCAGUUAAUUUCUGGUUCUUUCGAGGGUUUAUCGUUGUUCGAGUAUAUGUUUGAUGCUUUUUAAAGAUCCUUCCUUUAUGAAUUCAGAUUUAGAUUAUCAGGUUCGUCUAAGAUGAACUAUAUGUGUUUAAGAAUUUGAUAAGUUCAAUUAUUCAUUUUUGGUUCUGAUUUCCAGAAAAAUGUCUGCUUUCGAUUGCUUAACUCUAGAAAUGUAUUGUAAGAGUUAAAGAGAGUUUCUUUGCACUCAAUUACUUCAGAAUUCGGUUUGUUCGGUUAAAAUUUGGAUGCUUACGUGAUGAUAUGUGUACCGGAUCAAUGUCUUGUUUCAAGGGUCUAUGUGGGCUGUUUCUAGCAUCUUCAAGGCUUCUGUUUUUGUAAACUACUUCCUAGUAUCAAUUAGUUUUUGAAAUACUGCUUAACAUUGGGCUUUGAUGCAAGCAAUUUUGAUUAGGCUCUUACUUUUGUUCCUUCAUAGCCUCUGUUUCUCACUUUUAUCACAUGGCCAUUAUCACAUACAUACAUCUAAGGAAUGUUAUGUGUUCGAUACUGUGUCUCAGUUUCGUGAAAGUGUCUUUUUGUCAUGUUAUCUUUAUCUUUGUGUCACUGGAUAUUUCAGGGCUUAGUAAGCGCAUCACUUCUGAAAGGUCCUUAUGGAACCGAAUAUUCUCUCGGAACAUGGGUGGUGGUCCGAGAACUUUCCCUGGAGGACUAAACAAGUGGCAAUGGAAACGUAUGCACGAGAAGAAAGCAAGAGAGAAAGAGAACAAGCUCUUGGAUCAAGAGAAACAGCUUUACGAAGCUCGAAUUCGGACCGAGAUCCGAGCUAAAAUGUGGGGUCAUCCAGAUUCCGGUGAGAAAACGGCGAAAUUGAAGCAGAGUCAUGGACCAAUGAGCCCGAAAGAACAUAUCAAAACCUUGGCUGAUCGGUUUAUGAAAGCUGGUGCAGAUGAUUUGUGGAACGAUAACGAUGGUCCGGUGAAGAAAUUUGAUCAAGGGUCGAGAUCAUGUUCGGAUUCAAUUGAUUCUACACCUAUUGAUGUGAGGAGAUUAGUUUCUGCGACAUGUGAUUCAAUGGGUAAACAUCGUGUUUUGGAUAGUAGUAGGAGAGGUUUUUCGAGUAUGAGUAGAUUUAAGAGAAAUGAGAGUUCUUGUGAUGAAGGAGAUGACGUUGAUGCUAAAAAGUUAGAUACUUUGAGUCCUUUUUCUCCUAAAUUUUCUGGUACCAAGGAGAAAGUGAAGAGCUCGACGAGUGUUGUUGGAGUUAUAAGGAACAAAGGUUUGUUUGGAAGAAGGAAGUUUAGGAAGAACGAUAGUUCAACUGAAGAGGAUUCAGAUGAAGAAGGCAAUGAGGGAAAGAUGAUAGGUUGGAUGGAUUUGAGGAAAACAGGAAGCAGUGCGUCGUUAGGAAACCACGAUAUCAAGCUGACGAAAAGAGUGAAUCGUAAUGUCACAGACGAAGAGCUUUAUCCUCCUUUGGAUAUUAAUAGAGUUAGAGAAGAUCUCAGUAAAAAACAAUCUGUGGAUAAUGUAAUGGAGGAGAAGCAAGAGCCUCAUGACUCGAUUUACAGUGCAAAAAGGUAUUUUAAACUCGCUGUGUAAAGGAUUUUGAUUUGUCAAGUUUGAAUCUUGAUGAGCUCUGUUAAUGGUUGCAGAUUUGAUGAGUCUUGUAUAUCUCCUUUGACGCUUAAGGCGCUUUCUGCGUCUGGCAUUGUUAAGAUGACUAGAGUGCAGGAUGCCACUCUCUCUGAGUGCCUAGACGGUCUGUGUUCUUCUAGUUCUUUUGGCUCAAAUGGUUUGCAUUUGACAACGUAUUAUCCUAUAUGUAACGCAGGUAAAGAUGCAUUAGUCAAAGCCAAAACCGGGACGGGAAAGAGCAUGGCGUUUUUGGUAUUUUACAAUCCUUUCUCCUGAGAUUAUGCCUUAGCUUUUGUUGUUUCUUAAGAUAACGUUGUAAGACUGAAAAAACAGCUUCCUGCAAUUGAAACAGUUCUGAAAGCUAUGAACAGCGGUAAGGGCGUUCACAAAGUUGCUCCGAUUUUUGUUCUUAUCCUCUGUCCUACAAGAGAACUUGCAAGCCAGAUCGCUGCAGAGGGCAAGGCUCUGCUCAAAAACCAUGACGGGAUCGGUGUUCAGACUCUAAUUGGUGGUACGCGCUUCAGACUUGAUCAACAACGCCUAGAAUCUGAGCCAUGCCAGGUUUGACCAACCGUGAUUCCCUGUUUAACAGGAAUUGUUUAUAUUUUCUAGUUGUUGUGGUGAAUCUUCUUUUGUUUCCGUACCUUGUUGCAGAUACUAAUAGCAACUCCGGGAAGACUCUUGGAUCAUAUAGAGAAUAAGUCUGGCUUAACAUCGCGUUUGAUGGCCCUUAAAUUGUUUAUAGUUGACGAGGCUGAUCUAUUGCUAGACUUAGGAUUCAAGAGAGAUGUUGAAAAGAUCAUAGAUUGUUUGCCUCGUCAGAGACAAUCUCUUCUCUUUUCCGCAACCAUUCCAAAAGAGGUACAAUUGCUAUAUAGCUAACUUCAUAUAUUCUUACCUUUAUCACAAAAUCCAAUGCGGACACAAACGUCUAAAAUGUAGUUUAAAUUCAGGUCCGUCGAGUCUCACAACUUGUUUUAAAAAGGGAUCACUCUUAUAUCGACACAAUCGGGCUCGGUUGUGUAGAAACUCAUGAUAAGGUAAACUCUUAAGCUCUUCUUUUUGUCUCAAAAGCUUGUUACUUGAAUCUGGUUAUUGAGUUUCUUGCUUUGGUUUUAGGUGAAGCAAUCUUGUAUUGUUGCUCCACACGAAUCUCAUUUCCACUUAGUACCUCAUCUUCUAAAAGAGCACAUCAACAACAUGCCUGAUUAUAAGGUAAAACAAAUCCUCUUAAACGAUUGCUUUUUUAUUUCUGACCUUGGUAAUUCUCGUAACUAUCCAAUUUCAUUCUCGCAGAUAAUAGUCUUUUGCUCAACCGGUAUGGUAACAUCACUGAUGUACACUCUGCUCCGGGAAAUGAAAUUGAACGUUAGGGAGAUUCAUGCUAGAAAACCUCAGCUCCAUAGAACAUGUGUAUCAGACGAGUUUAAGGAAUCAAAUAGACUUAUUCUUGUCACAUCUGAUGUAUCUGCUCGUGGAAUGAACUAUCCAGAUGUUACUUUGGUUAUUCAGGUAAAGCACAAAGCGAACAUUUUCAUGCCAAAAACAACCUUUUAUGGAUAUUUAACGGAUUAGACUUUGUUUUACGUUUUUGGUAGGUCGGUAUACCGAGUGACAGAGAACAGUAUAUACAUCGGUUAGGUAGAACUGGAAGAGAAGGAAAAGGAGGAAAAGGAUUGCUUUUGAUUGCGCCAUGGGAGAGAUAUUUUCUUGAUGAGCUUAAAGAUUUACCUCUUGAACCAAUUCCAGCUCCAGAUCUUGAUUCAAGAGUUAAACAUCAGGUUUGUUCGCCUUCACUGUCAAUACCCAUAAGUGGAGUUUUAUUGCCAAGUGACAUUGAGGACAAUUGAUUUUUGACUAGGUUGAUCAGUCAAUGGCUAAGAUUGAUACAAGUAUCAAAGAAGCAGCGUACCAUGCAUGGCUCGGUUAUUACAACUCGGUUCGAGAAACCGGUAGAGACAAAACCACGUUGGCCGAGUUAGCUAAUCGGUUUUGCCAUUCUAUCGGUUUAGAGAAACCUCCUGCUUUGUUUCGAAGAACCGCGGUUAAGAUGGGUCUUAAAGGUAUUUCUGGUAUUCCAAUCCGAAAAUAAACCGACCCGUGUUGGUACUUAGAUGUAUCGUCGUAGAGAGAAAUGUAUGAACACAUUUAUGGUCAACAUCAUGUUUAAAUAAUUUUGUUAUUUAUUUAUGAAUAUAUGAUUAACUUUUUAAUUACAGGAAUUUUUGUUUGUCUAAGUCAUGUGUUUAUAUAUUUGACUACUAGUGUAAUGGCCUAAAUGGAGAUUAAUUAAUUUUAAUAUGUACAUUACAGAUCCUUAAGCAAAGUAAAAACAUACAUUAUUAUUUUACUAAAAAAUGUCCCACGCGAUGCGUGGGUGAAAUGAAUGUAGUGAAAUAUAUGUCUAUAACUAAUAUAUAUUAAUAUAAUAUUAAAUUAUUUUAUAAUACAUUCAAUAAAAAAUAUCAUAAAUAUUGUGAUUAUGAUAUUUUAGUUUUAAACUAAACAUUUAGUUUAUGAAUUAUAAUCUAAAAUUAUUUUGGGUAUUUAUAAAUUAAAAAUUAUCGAAUUGAUAAAAAAGAAAAAUUAUAAUAUUGAUAUACAAGAUAAGGCUUGUGUUUUAUUUAAAUAUAUGAAAAUGAUAUGCAAUAUUUCUCUGAGUAAAAGAUUUCAUAAUUGUAUAUAUCAUAUUGAUUAUAGUAUGUGUGUAAAUUGUAAAGUAGUUAAUAGAUUUGAAGUUGUGAGAUUGAUAAAGUCUUGAUUAAUGAGUAAGAUUAACAUAUAUGAAUAUUGAUAUAUUAAUACUAAUUGAUAUCAAAAGAACUCUAAAUACUUUAUACAAUUAAUAUUCAAAUUAUUUACUAUUUCUUCCAUCUUUGAACAAUAUGGUAAGAAAGUAUUGAAUUUAUUUACUAAUGAUUUAGUAUAUACACAUGAUUUUUAAUAAAGAAGUUUAAAGUUAUUUCGAUGCACAUAAUCAAAUACUAAAGAAAAUAUACCAUAAUUCGGUUGAAAACUAAAUAAAUUUAAAAUUUAAAGUACAAUGUAACAAGUAACAACAUACAAAAUAAUUUAAAUUAACAGAAUUUCCAACCAAUGAUAUCAAUGAAGAUUAUAUAUUUUGUAUAGUUUCAUCAUUCAUCAAAUCUCGUAGGUUCUAUAUUAUCUUUAUCCAUAUAAUUUCUUUCUAUAUUACCUCAUUUGCCAACAAAUGCAUCAAAAGACGAAUUAUUAUGGUCACUAUAAAACUUAAGAAACGAAAUAUAGUGUAAAUUUAGCAUGAUAAGUAAAAGAUAAACAUUUUUUCAAUUACUAUGAUUAGUAAAAUGAGUUAUAAGUUACUGUUUAGUACAUAAGAUCAAUAAUAAAUCAAAUGUGUACAAAUAGGAAUAAUGUUUGUAUAUUAAACUAUAAACUAAAUGAAAAAGACGAAAAUUAAAGAAGUAGCCACACAUUAAAAUAAAAAGUGAAUAUAUUAAGCAGGACCAACCAGGAAAUAUCAUAUGGAUCCAAUAAACAUUUGGCUAUAUAUGUUUAUCAUUUGGUUGAGUAUUCACUGUUGUUAUUUUUUAUUGAAAAACUAAAAUAAUUUUAAAGAUUAAUAUGAAUUUUAGCAACUUGACAUAAAUAUUUUAUAAACAACAUUGGUCAACUUCAAAACAUGAAGAAUAAGUAGAAAAUGAAGGUAAAAGAUACUUUGUUUCUCAUGUAAAAGUGAGAAGGUACCUUAGACAUUUUUCAUCAAGUCAUUUCUAAAGGAAAUCCACCUUUCACAUAUUCACUUAUGCAUAUACUAUAAAAUUUGACUCAACCUCUUUAUUUCAAAACCUACGAAAGUCACAUAAAAUUUUGUUUUAAAAGAUAUUUAGUUAAAUAUAUAUAUAUGUAUAUCUAUUAAUACUAUGUUUAUAUCCUCUAUUAAAAUAUCGGACAUGUUCAUAAAAUAGCAGGUUGAAGACACCGGGUUCCCAUGUCGAACCACUAAAGUGAAGCUAAAGGCCUUUGACACCAUUUACUAAACUUUGAAACUUUGACUAUGGUUGUGACUCGAAUAGUUAAAACACAAAUAGCUGGAGAAAAAAUUAGAACCAUGACAUUAAUAAUUAAAUAAAAUAUACAUCACAGAUGAGCAUCGAGCAACACAUAUAUGAUUUGCCUACCUAUUACCUUCAUCAUGAACAGAAAUUCUCAGUGUUAUGAUUGCUAAGAAAUUCUUAGUGUAAUAAUUUUUAAGCCACUUUGUAUCUACCAUUGCACCUAUAAAAGGAUGUAUUAGCAAAAACACAUGAAACAUGUUAUAAAGAAGAGAAGUAACAAAGUGUGAAUCAGUAUCACCACAUUUGGACGAUACAAAGGCUACACAAAACAAAUAUUAAAAUUAUAAAAAUGAGAGAGAGAAACUUGAUUUUAGUUCAUUUCUUUGGUGAAAAUGAGAAAAAUAAAAAACAACGUAAUACAGAGGACGAAGCAAACCUUUGAGAUUACCAUUCUUUGGUUUCUCCAAUCCGUCAUACUCAUAUGGUUCGUGCUUUGUCUUUUUUCUCUUUACUUUCAAUUUAAUUAUGUGGAAAGACUUAGCAGACCACAAAAUAUUAUUUCGAUGUUUAAACAAUCCCGAAAGCAACACAGAAUGAUAGAAGCUUAAAAGGAGUUGUAAGAAACAAACCUUGAGGAACCGAUGUUGAUGUUGUUCCUAUGAAGAAUCCUACCAGGAGCAGCGUCACCACCAUCGAUCAACUCUCUAAGCCCCCAAUUCUCCACCUCCUCUUCUUUCACCUCCUUCUUCUUCUCCUUCUCCACAUGGCGGUUAUUAGGAAGCUUCACAGGCAACCUCUCGAAGUAAUUCCCGAUACUUACGAUGCACGUUUUUAUUAUCUUCGUAUAGAAAGAAUGAAGCUUCAACCUCAAGCGUUAACAAAUGCAGAGAAACCAACUUAAAAAAACUGACAUGCAGCGUCUUGCAUUUUAUAAGGUGAAGGGUUACACUAAAAAUGAUAUUAAAUAUGAUACUAAAUAUUGAAAUCAUGGUCAUAAUUACAUAAAUGAUAAUUAUGUUAGUGUAACGUAACUGCUUUGAUUUAUGAAAUAGAACAGUUUAGUUGACUAAAAAAAAACUGCAAUAGUUAGACAUAAUAAAUAAAAGAAAACGUGAUAUCACAUGUGUCAUUAAAUAGAAUAUUAACCUCACAACAUAACUGAAACGUAUUAUGAGUAAUUCAUUGUUUUUUCAUUCAAUUUAUUAUAUUGUAAAUGAUAUUUAUGACUUAAGUUAUAUGGUCAGUUAUGUUGUUUAUUUUGUUUCAAGAUAUACAAAUAAACAUUUAAUCGAUUAUGUGAGAGGCCAAAUUUUUUUAAAACAAAUAAACAAAUGAUCAUAUUGUCAACAAACACAUACCAUAAUCUACUCAUACAUUUUUUAUAUUUUGAAGGUAUUUUAGAGAAAAAAUAUUUGAUCUUUGGUUUGAAAGAUAAAACUAAUAUUUUAUUCUUUAAUUCUUGAGAAAUUAUUUUGUUGAGAAAUUCUAAUGUUAUGGUAAUUAUAUAAAAAUAUUGAUAAAUGAUACAUUUUUAGGAAAAAUAAUUAUUUAGAAAAAGUGCAUUGCAAAAAUGUUAUAAGUUUUUUUUAUUAUAAAACUGUAAUUAAACUCAAAGAAUAUGGAAAAUAGUAUAUUUAAAUUUGAGAAGAAUGACACAUGUCGAAUGAAUAGAGCGCCACUUGUCAGAUUUUUAGAGUACAAGUUUGAGGAAACCUUACUUUAUUAUAUAAGAUGUGGUUGGUUACUUGUUCGUCUUCUUAAUUUUUCGACAAUUAUUAAAUAAAAUUGUGAUGAUUGAAAACUAUAUAAUAAAGACAAAGUUUGGGAAAAUAAAAAUAAAAUAAAGAAACGUGCGAGAGAGUAUAGGUGGUAGAUUCUUUUUCAGCUUGUUCACUUGAGUAUAAUUUUUUUUUUUUUUUUUUUAAACAUUAUAUUAAUAACCGAUACAAAUGUUAUGACCAAAAGUCACACAGUUUUUUGAAGUUCGAUACACAAUAUAGCCAUAAACUAAAAGUAUAUAGAGAUAAUAACCAAAUCAUCCGCUUCGGUUACCUUUUGAGAUCAGCAUAAUAGAACCAUUAGCCACGUCCACGGUUCCCGCGUCCACGAUUUCCGCGUCCACGGUUCCCACGCCCACGGUUACCUCUUCCUCGAGUAGUAGAGGACGCUUGUAUCUCCUUAGCUUUGAUGGAUGGUUUAACCGGUCUUUCGCGCAAAAGACGUUGUCCCGAUGGAGUCAUAAGUUCCAUCAAUUCUGACCCACUGUCUGACUCAACUGAAACAAUUGAGUCUUCAUCUGAAUGAAGAGAAUCCCCAUCAGGAAACGAAGAACCCAAACGACUAAACCUGUUUUCAGCAAGGACGUGUCUUAUCUCACAAUCACUAAGAAUCACUUAUCUUUUGUGCCUGCAAUUUCGAAAACUGAUUCAACUGUGCAAGUUUCCUCAGUUACAACUUCAGCUUCAACAUUUGUAAAGCAAUCUGCCACUCCGGUGCAAUUAUCUUUGUCUUGGAUUGGGCCAGCCUCAAUAUCGAAGACUGUAUCGAUUUGGAUUUUUGAAUUUGUGAUUGGGACAUCAAUUGGGGUCUUGGUUUGAAGAGUGAUUGGCGAUACCAAAUUUGUGGCACUAGCUAAACUUACAAUAGCAGGAGUAAUGAUCUCCUCUGAGACAAUUUCUGUUACUUUUUCAUGUGCCAAAUGGGGUUUCAUACAGCGCGAAGCCUUAUGCCCUAACUGCCCACAUUUUCCACAUUUAGCUGGGAUCCAAGCAUAUUCAACAUUAACCAUCGAUAUAUUGCCUUUCUUAUCAACUGCGGCAAUUCUUGGAGGGAAAGCUUUACUCAACUCCACUUCCACCAAGAUAUUGGCCUCACUCAUUAGGGAAGGGUCAAGUCUAGGUUUGUAAGUAGCCAUAGGAGCACCUAAACCUGAUGCAAUAUGGCUAAUUCCUAGAAUUGAGUACAACCGGUUUGGGAUAUUUUUAAGGGUUACCCAGACAGGAAUAGUUGAUAUUUCAGGAAGAUCAAAUGUAUUUACAGUAGACCAAGGCGCUACAAACAUAAGACAAUCAUCAACAUGCCAUAAGCCCCUCUGAAGAACCCAAGCUCUAGUUGAAGCAUCCGGGAUGUGAAAAAGAAAUUUUGAGUCACCUAAUUUACGGAUAAAGAUUCUACACUUUCUACCCUAAAUUUUAUUGACUACCGCAUGAAUCAAACCACCAGGAGGAGGACUACAUCUAUAGAACUGGCCUAAGACAUAUUCCUUUUGAUUCACAAGACCUUGCAAGAAGACAUGACUUGGAAUCGUUACCUUUGGAAUUCCGUCUUCCAUGAAUUCCGGCGAGGUUGCCCUGUAAAGGUUCCUUGCCGCUGGAUCCAUUUUUGCAGCCCAAGGGAAGCGAACAUUAUCCUCCUUAGUUGCUUCAAGAUGAGAUUGCAUCGGUGCUCCACCAACAUCUUGCUGAGAGGCCGAUGACGAGGUGAACUUUAGCUGCUUUGCCCAAGCUCCUUUUAGAGUAGGGGAGACCAACUUAACAGGAGCAAUGGACUCGUCGAGAGUAGCAGACACUAUUGGCGGUAAGGCGGAAGUAGGAAGAGACACUUCUGCGGAAUAAGACAAUGAUGUAAUACUCACCACAUGUUCAAUUGGAGGCUCGACAGUGACCGGUAAGGUCGAAUCCAGCGAAGAAGUAAGAUUCACGAAGUCAAGAGAAGAAGAGCGAGCAAUUUUCGGCGAGGAUCCAAUUGUCAAGGGUUUCACCAGUGAGAUAGAAGGAGAAAUCACUGAUGGAGAUGGAGAAGGAGAAUUCUGCGUCCACCGAGUCAAGUACGGCCACCGUGGAUCAGGGACAGAGUUGACAUUGGAAGAGUCUACGACUACAACUUUUGGUCCGACCUCUGUUUCCUUGCCUUGAGUUAAAACUGAGACAGAAUUCAUCGAGUGGGAUACUGUGAAGUGAUUGAUUGGAAGUAGGCUCUCCUAAGAAGAUUAAGAGAACAGCCGGCGACGUUUCGCGGUGGUUACAGCGAAACAAAUUCUCAGGGGCUCCUCUUGGCUGAAGAGUAAUCUCAUACACUCUUCUUAUAAAGAGCAUUUUCUUUUUGAUUUUUUUUAUUCCGUAAAAAAAGUACUCAGAAAACUCUAAGAAUAUUGAUUAAUUACGACCCAACCAGGGCAAAUGGAUCCCAAAAUAACCCAAGCCCACUGUUUUCGGGUCAAAUCCAAAUAAAACCCUAAUUCCCCUAAUUCUCUGCGGUAAAAUUGAUUCACAUCUCUUUCUUCCCUUUGUUUUUUGUUUCUUCCUUAUUUCGUCACUGUAAAAUCCAGUAAAACCAUUCUCAAUUCUCGUCAACGACAACAACAUAACUGUUCGUCGAUCUUGGUAUAUCUACAGGAAACUAAGAAAUUGGGUAAGUGAUUUAAUUGUUCGUCGAUCCGAGUUGUUUCAGAUUGGGUUUUGUGAUCGAAAUUGACUGAAGAGUAGUGCUAAUCCAAAUGAUUUUGUUUGUAGGUUUGGAGAAAUGGCUCGAACAAAGAACGCAGGUGUGCCAUUGGCGGCAGAGGUGGUGGUUUCACAGACAAUCAAUGACGAAGUAGUAGUAGCAUCGGCUGCUGAAGUGGAUUCUGAAGCAACAAAUUCAAUCUCUAACGACGAUAGAGCGAUAUGAACUUUAAACUUUACACAAUUAGAAAAGUAUAACUAUGUAUGAAUUUGGUAUAUCUUUAUUGAUAUUGUAACUUAGAAAUUUUAAAAAGUAUAUCUAUGUAUAAAUUAGUAUAUCUAUGCAUAAAUUGAGUAUAUCUUUUUUGAAUCUAACUUAGAAAUUUUCGAAACUAAAAACUAGGUAUAUCUAUGUUCGAAUAUAACUUAGAUAUUUUAGAGACUAAACAAUAUAUCUAUGUAUAAAUUAGGUAUAUCUAUGUGGAGAAGUUCUUCCUUAGGGCUGUGGCUGAUCUAGAGUUGUGCAAAACAUUUCCGUGGGGAAGAUUUGCAUUUGAAGAAAAUGUGAAAGACAUUUUCUAUUUGAUUAAAAAGUGCAAUGAAGUAGUUGGUCCACAAAAGGUGUUUCCUAGUUUUGUUAUGCCUUUGGAGGUAUGUCAUUUCAUUAUGCAUUUAUGAAUUGUUUUAAGAAAGUUAAACUAUGUACAACUGUGUUUUUAUUAGCAGUUAUACUUAUUAGUUUUUGAAAAAUCUUGUAUUGUUUUUUUGUAGUAUCUAGCAUUUGAGGCGAUCCCAGUUCUCAGAAAAAUUUUUUGCGAAGAUAUUGAAUCCGCAGAUCCUCAGUGUUCCCGGAUGUGUAAAAGGAAGUUUAAAUCAAGCACUAUGAAAGGGUUUCCAAUGUCAGAUGUGUAUGACAAACUCGGUACAACUAAGGUUAGUGAUGACAUAUUUAUUAGUUAUCUAUCAUGUAUCAUGUAUGUUCUAUCAUGUAUGUUAUAUUAAUUGGACUUUCUUAUCAUGCACAGGACAUUCAGAGUAUCUUGGCUUCAACUCCUGAUGAGAAGCUACUUUUGGAAAGAAUUAUGGAUAAGGAGUGUGAAGUGAAUGAUGUCGAUGAUCUAAUAGCUGAUGGCUGGAAGAAACGUCUAGUUGAUGAGGAGAGGACUAUAUGUUUUGAACCGUUGCUCAAUGAAGAUGUAGCACACCGGAGCUUUGUGGCUAAUAAAGCUUUGUCUACUGUGGUAAAAGCUCCAAGAAAAGCCGCAGUGGAAAAGAAAGGCAAGGGAAAGGCUGCUGCAGCUCUGACUAGUCCAAGUGAUGGAGGUUUGACUGAGGUUGUAAACGAAAUGAAGAAUUUGAUGGAGAAUGGAUUUAAGUCCAUGAACAAGAGGAUGAAAGAUUUCUGUAAGAAGUAUGAAGAGCAAGAUAAAAGACUGAAACUGAUGGAAGCUGCAAUCAAAUCAAUUCAAUCAGGCAUUGGAACUGAAGACGCUUGUGGUUCAAAGGAGAUUGAUGAUAAAGAAAACGAGCUGGAGGAAGGGAGUGAUGCAGAGACUGAGAUAGACAAAGAGGUGGCUCAAGGUGAUAAGGAGAGAGAGGUUGGAGAAACAGAGACUCAGAUAGACAAAGAGGUGGCUCAAGGUGACAGUGAUAAGGAGGUGGCUGAAAGUGAGAAGGACAAAGUGGUGGCUGAAAGUGAGAAGGAGAAAGAGGUGGCUGAAAGUGAGAUUGGGGUGGCUGAAAGUGAGAAGGACAAAGAGGUGCCUCAAGAUGAUGAGAUGGAUGGAGGUAAGGUGGCUGAGAGUGAUGGAGAGAUGGAUGGAGAGAAGGACAAAGAGGUGCCUCAAGAUGAUGAGAUGGAUGGAGAGAAGGAGAAAGAGGUGGCUGAGCCAAGUGAGAUUGGGGUGCCUGAAAGUGAGAAGGACAUAGAGGUGGCUGAUAGUGAGAAGGAGAAAGAGGUGCCUCAAGAUGCUAAGGUGGCUGAGCCAAGUAAGAAGCGAGGAAAGGCACAUGAGGAUGGAGAUGAUCCUAGUAAAGAGGGAGUUAAAAAGCCAAAGGUGGUCAAGAAGCUGGCAGAGUCGAGGACGGAUGCUAAGCCGGUGUAUCGGAGUCCUAUACAGACGAGGUAUAGGAGAAAAAAGACAAAGAAGAAUGUUUAAACAAUUUCAACUCUUGGUUUGUUUUAGGUAUAACUAUGUUGGUUGUUGAAAACUUGGUACAUCUGUUCGAACUUGGUACUUGGUUUUUUUUUGUAUUUCUCCUUAUGCUUUUGAAAACUUGGUACAACUGUUGAACAUGUUUAUUAGGUUUUUUGUAUAUCUACUUAUGUUAAUUUCAAAACUUGGUAUAACUGUUUCAUGUUCUAUUGUUUUAUUUUGGUAUAUCUACUUAUGUUUUGUAACACUAGGUACAAUUAUAUGUUUUUGUAAUUGAUAAGAAAAGAAUUUUAACCGAAAUAACUAGAUUCAACACAACACUUAGUCUUUAUAAUUAGAUUCAUAUCCAUUCAUCACAUCAAAUUCAACACUUAGUCUACAUAAUUAAACAUUACAACACUUACUCUUCAUAAUUAAACAUUACACCACUUAGGCUUGAAUUUCUACGACAAACACAACAUGCCAACAAUUGCCAUGGUGAUUAAACAUCCACAACUAAAAACGAUUACCAUCUUAAAGUCCUUUCCCUUUUUAUUCUUUUCCAUCGGAUCUCUUUCCAUCGUCUCUUGGUUCCUAUCCAUCUUCAUCACUCUUACUUCUUCUUCAAGAACACCGAGUUGAAAUUCCAACUGUUCAAUCUCAUGUGUAAAAGCCUCAUCUACCCACUUAAACACAUGUUUGUCGUUCAUAAGCUACAUUUUGAAAUUGUAAAAAUUGUUAAAUCACAUGUAUAUCUAUGUAUAAACUAGGUAUAUCUAUUAAGUAUAUCUAUUAGGUAUAUCUAUUAGGUAUAUCUAUUAGGUAUAUCUAGGUAUUUUAGUGACUAGUCAAAUUAUUGUCAAUUGCAUAUCAGAAAUCUAUAAGUGAAACGUGAAUUGAAUGAAAAAUGUACCCAGAAAAACGAAAUGCUUACCCAAAUAAUUCCACUCUUCUCUCUUUUUCUCUCUUCUUCUCUCUUUUGAGUCUUCUCUCUUCUUGUCUCUUCUUGUUCUUUUUCGAUUUGAUUUUUUUUAUUUUUGUUAAUAAUAGGGUUUUAAAAAAUUUCUGCGAAUUGGGGAGAAAUGAAAAUUUAGGGGAAAUUUUUUUUGAUAGUGUGAAAAGGAAUUGAUAGUGUGAACACGUUUCUUAUAGUGUGAAAAGGAAUUAACCGUGGGACCCGCGUACGAGUUGUUCAGAACAAAAAGGGUGGGGCCCGCAAACUCUUUGCACACAGAUAUUCCAAGUUAACAGGUUGUACCUGUGUAUACACAGUUUGACUUUUGUUUUUUUUUAAUUUUAUUAGAUAUACUUAAAUUUAAACUAAACAAAUUUAGUUAUACCAAAGAGUUUUGAUGUUUUAUAAACAUUCCACAUAUUUUCAUAGAAAAAUAUGUCUGGAAAAUUCAAUUUUGUGUGUUUUGCAAUGUUAUGAUGAUAAUAAUUAUAAAGUUAUCUUCAAAGUGUAAGGUGUUUCUUUUAUAACAAAUGAAUUUGGUAAAGACUAAUUUUUUGAAGUUUCAUUAAAUUAUGAUUUUAUUAAUCAGUAGUUUUAAUACUCAACAUAAGGGGUAUAAUUUGUAUAAGAAAUAACAUCACAUCAAAUUUUGUUGCAAAUUAAGCACAUUUGUUACAUUUGUCAUAGUUGUACCUUUACAAAACCAAGUUUAAUCAAGUUUUACAAAACCAGAGAGUACAAAAAACACGAAUUUAGAGACAUACAUAGUUCUACCAUUUAAAAAUUAAGUUUAACCGAGUUUUACAAAAUCUGAAAGUACUUAAAAACAUGAAUUUAGAGCCAUACAUAGUUCUACCAUUAGAGAAUAAAGUUUAACCGAGUUUUACAAAAUCUGAAAGUACUUAAAAACACGAGUACAUUAAUUUCCGCUUGUGUAUUGGCCACUCCCCUGGCUAUCACUUUCGUGGUUUGGAAAAAACCGGCUCUCCAAGUUUCUGCCUUUCACACGCUUAUUCUUGGGGCGACGUUCUCCAACUGAUGGGUGUCUAGUUUCUUGAACUCUUCCCUUUUUAACAACAUGAACCGGAGGAUAUGCAAACAAUUCUUGGAUUUCACUUGGAAUAACUCACUCUGACUUAUGCGGCACCGGAUAAAUGGUUCUAUCAUAUGCCAUAACCCACAUCUCAACAAAGUAAUAUUUCGUGAUCAAAUCAUAUAAACUUUUUACCUCCUCGGAUCUAUCUUUUUGUUUCAAGUGAGUCAUCACAGCCGCUAUUGCAUGUACACAAGGAUACUUGUCCAAGUCAAAACAACGACAAUAACAACUUUUAUUCCUCAAGUCCACCACAUAGGUCUUACCAUCGCGACCAAUGACACUAUAUUGAAGCUCGUAGGUGUUAAGCUCUAUCACCGGUAAUUUUUGUGCAACUUCACAUGUUUCAUGUAUCUCGUUCUCCACAAAAGGAACAAGUCUCUGUAAAUUUGAUCCACUUAAGGCUUCCUUCCUAUUAUUGCAGCUCCAUUCCGCAAAUUUCUCAAUAAUUGCAUCUAUCAUAGGUAAUAGCGCAUACCCUCUCACAUCCCUAAACACACCAUUCAUAGACUCAACCGCAUUACUAGUGUCAACGUUGUACUUUACUCCCGGAAAAUGACAUCUUGCCCAUUUUUCCAAAUCAGUGUUUUCAUCAAGAUAGGUGGCUACCUUAGGGUGCCUUCUUCUAAACUCUGCAUAUUCAUGUUCAAACUCAGACACUGAACAAAUGGAUGCAAUUCUUCUGAACGUUUUAGCAACCUCUUCUUUGUUGUAUGCAACUUUUGUUCUCACAUUCUGUGACAAAUGAUACACACAGUUUCCAUGGUGAGAGCUCGGGUACACCUCAGCCACUGCCUUGAUGAGGCUAGAAUUUCUGUCAGACAUAAAGACCAAUUCCGAACUGUCUGGUAUAACGGUUUUGAGAGUUUUGAAAAACCACUUCCAAGUAACAUCUUUUUCGCCAUCAGCUACAGCAAACGCUAAGGGAUAAUGGUGAUGAUUCGGGUCUUGAGCUGUGGCAAAAAUGAGCACACCUUUAUAUACAGUCUUCAAAAAUGUUGCAUCCACAAUAAUCACUUUUCUCAUGACUUUAAAUCCUUCAAUGGCAGCCCCCAAAGCAACAAAUAGGUACUUGAACCUUUUUUCUUCAUCUAAUACCACACUAGUCUUUGUGCCAGGAUUCACCUUCUCUAACAAAUACAAAUAUUGAUAAACCAUCUUGAAACUCUCCUCGGGACUAGCACGAAUAUCACUAACAGCUAGUUUUUCCCCCUAUUAGUAGUCGAGUAUGACACAGUUGUACCAUGUUUUCCCUGAACAAGGCCAAUGAGACUUUUAGGAGUUGGGGUCUUGUACUGACAUAGAUAAUCUUCAUGCAAUACGGUUGCAACUAAACGUGGUGUACCUCUCCUUUUAAUGCCUGUAGCAGUAUUCGACCGUACACAUGUAUGGAACUUCCUAUAUGUUCGAACCGAGAAGCGAGUUGAAUCCUUAGCCUUCGAAAAUCGUAUGUACCAUUCACACCCUUAUUCAGUACAUUUUACCACAUACCGCUUCUUAUCCGAGUUGAGUAAUGUUAGUCCAAAACAAUUCCUAUUUGCUCCUGUCACAUCAUCGCUAUUUUCAAAUUCUUGACCUAUUACUAGAUCAAGACCAUCAUCCCAUGGACCUUUAAACUUAGAAUGUUGGCUGUCACGUGGUUCCUCAACAUAUUCACGAAUACCAUCAUUCUCCUUACUCAUACUCAUAUUACUAUUAACACCAUUAUCCACAUCUCUAAGAGGCUCCAAAGGCUCUAAAGGCUCCAAUGUCUCCAAAGGCUCAGCAAGUUGUUCUCCUAGUGGCUCAUUUGCGUAAAGAGUUAUAGCACCAACAUUAGCUCUAUCAUCAUUAUCUAGACCACCAAAAUUCUCCUCUUCAUAAUUCACACCAACUGAACUCUUUCCUUGUACUCUCGAUUGUUGCUCGUUUAAGUGAACCAUUUCCAACUCAUACCGACUUCUACAUGCAAGACACUUCUACUUUUCUCUUCAUCCAACGUGGUUAGAUAAACAUAUACAUCAUCAUCAUCCCUAAUAUAUAAAUAUGUAGGAGGUUUAACACCCGUUGGAAUGUAACUCAAUUUCAGCUUCAUCGUAGAUUCAUCUAUCUUCAUCUUUGUGCAUAUCUUAUCCACUAACCACGAAUAAGUAAUCUCCUCCAUUGAUGAUGUACUAAACAAUAUACCAUACAAACCAACUACUUUUGGAUUCCAUUGAUAUGCUUCUCCGGUUUUUGAAUAAUAUCCAUCAUAAUCAAAAUAUAUGAUUAUGCCCAUUCUCCUGGAAAAAACAAAAAAAAAAACGUUAGCUAUACUUAGAUUUUCCUGUUCUAGCAAAUUGUACUUCGAACAGCUAUACCACGCUCAUUUUCAGAAAUACCAGUUAUACUAUUCAAACAGCUAUACCACGCUCAUUUUCAAAAAUACCAGUUAUACCAUCAAUUGUACUUCAAACAGCUAUACCACGCUCAUUUUCAGAAAUACCAGUUAUACCAUAAAUAGUGCUUCACACAGCUAUACCACGUUUCUUAGGUAUACCUAGAUUAUUCUGUUCUAGCAAAGAUUUUCGGACCAAAAACAGUAAUCUGCCUAAGAUUAACUACGAAUCAACCAUUACAGUACAUUAAAAUGUCUUAAUAGACCCAGAAUAUAUAGUUACCAACAUAAUGUCUAUUAAUUUCCAACACCAAUUUCAAAUCUAUCAAAUCUAAUUGAAAUCUACAAAAUUCAAACACAACAACACAAGACUUGAUGAAUUAAGAUGUCCAAAGUAUAAGAAGAGAAUGGUAAAGCUCACUUUGAAUAACAGAAGCAAAACGACGGCGAGCUUGGUCGAUUGGAUUCAACGUCGGAACAAAUCGACGUUGGCUGCAGUCGUCGAUUUAGAUUUUGUGAGGGAGGAAAAGAAAUUCUGGGAAUUUCUGAUAGGUUAAUAUUUUGUGACUUAAAUGGUAUUGGUUUGGAGACUUAACCGUAAUUGGUUGGUUUGGUUCGUCCGUCCGGUUCCGGUUUGUUGGGUAAGGUAAACAAGGAUUUUUAAAAUUCAUUAAGAGUAUAGGAGUAUGUUAGAUUAUAUGAGAGUAUUUAGACUCAUUGUCCGAUUACAGCUCCGUCGAUUUGAUCUGACCGGAGACUAGGUUUCGCCUUCGAGAGAAAAAUUAGGGGCGCGUGUCACACACCAUCUUUCCUUUCCUCUCAACCGCUAUCAAAGAUUGUUCAUCCUGAAAUUUGGUUGCUUUCUUUCAUCAACUUCUACUUUUUUUCUAAUCAGCUUCUCGUCCCUCAAUUCCACCGCCAACAAAUCAUGUUCUUUUUUCUCUGAGAUAGUUGAAUCAUCCACAAAAAUUUUUGAUUUCUUAUCUGAUGGUUGAGAUUUAAUAUCAGAGUGGACAUCCAUCUACUGCAAGUUUACCCACAAGGCAGCAUCAAUGAGUGAAUCCCUGAGUAAAAAAAGAAGUGGAGGAAAUAUUAGAUCUUAUAAACUAAUGGUUAAAACGAAAAAAAUUUACACAUGAACUAAAGGUGAAAAUAAAAAUUACCCAAGAUCUUUAAACUAAAGAUUAAGCAAUAGUGAUGAUCUCCUUAACUUUAUUCAUCCCAAUAAUCUCUCUAAUAAUGUUUGCAAAUUAGAAAAUUGCAUAAAGAAAUAACUUACGUUUGUAUGAAGAGAAAAAACUGUAGAUAAUAAAACAAAUUAUAGCGAUGGCAAUGAUGUACCCAUAAUAUAAUAUCCUACUUAUAUCCUACUUUUUACUUUUUACAGAAGCUUGUAUCCUACUUCCAUGUUUCAAAAUAAAAUAUAAACCUUGUCACUAACAGUUUACAUCAAGUUAUAAAAGAAUACAUUGAUUUAGACAAAUAUCCAACUAAAAUAAAUUUAAUUUUAUAAAAAAAAAAUAUCCACAAGGUCGUUUGAUUCUAAUCCAAGUCAUUAGUAGUUUGUAACGACAAAGAUUAGAGAGGCGGUUUAGUAUAUGUGAUACUGUUUCAUAUAGCAAAGAAUGAAAUAUAGAAAAUUGAAUCAAACGAACCUCUUAUAAUACCAAACUUUUAAAGAUGGUAAAAACUAUAAUGUAGUAGUACAACAGAGCUCUACAUUAGUCUCAUCAGUUCUCCUUCUUCUAAGUAAAUCUUAACAUAGGUCAUGAUAUAAUAGAUUUUAGUGAGACUUCAGAAAAAUCCACAAAAUUGUACCUUAUCAUCUACAAGAAGAAGAUUCAAUCCAGUGAAUUCCCUUAUUUAUCCUUUUUUUUGGGGAAAUCCCCAAGGGCACUUCUCACCUUGAUUUUACAUCGAUCCGUUACUAGAGUUAUAUGAGAGAUAGGUGUAAUAUUGAGUGACAUAAUUGGAGAUUGGAAUUUGGAAUAUGAACCUACAAAUAAAAAGUUGUUUUUCUUAAAUAGAGAAUUUUAUGAGCAAGAGAAACUUAUGCAAUUUAGAUAAAGAGAAUAGACCAUGUGGGUCAGUGGUUCGACACAGUAAUGCCAAAAAUUCUAAAAUUUGCAGACACAAUAACACCAAAUCACUUGAGAGAAGAUAAUUGAACUAUAACAAAAUUUACAAACCUGAGAAAUACG
rnacentral:lncRNA from 1 species